GGGCGGAGAUAGUUAAUCCAUCGGAGACGGCAGCUCUUUCCGCAGCGGAGGAGUCCGGCGUUUCGAGCAAUGUCAGUCCAGCAACCUUGGCCAUUGGAGAGCAUGUAUCUCAUUAGCUUCUCAUCCUCAUCCGGCGACCAAAGCCCUUUCCUCAGACGGAUGUUGGCGGCGGCGGUUGAACAAUCACCUGGCUUCCUCAUCAAUAUGUUUAACCUUUAUAUUAUUGUUUCUCUGUAUAUAUAUAUAAUAAUGUGCAGUACUUAAAGCUUAUAUAAGUGAUGUGUUUUUGUGUAGUUGGAAGUGUGAAAUAAUAUAAUGUUUAUAUGUAUAAGGGAAAUUAGAGGAAGGGGGGGAAGGCUUGAUGUUGUGGUAACGGUGAUGAUGAUGGCGAUGUGGUUGUGGGGUUGCUUAGAAUGUCAAUCUAUGACUAAAUGUCUCUCUAGAGAGAGAGAAGAAAAUGAAAAGAAAGGAUAUUUCUUUGUUGGUUGUUUAUUCAUAUAGCUAGCUAGGGUUGAGUGGACAAAACGGAUUGGAAGGGGACCUAUAGGAAGAGAAGAGUGGGUUGAAAUGUCCAUUGAAACAUUGAUAUGUUUGUAAGUGAGAAGAUUCGAUAUCAACAAAAAGUGAGAGAAUUAAAAUAUAUAACUAUUCAUAUAGGUCCAGAAUAAAAAUACUUAAUAUUGAUAUAGUUGAAGUAUCUAUAUAUUGAUAUGUUAAAUAUAUAUGUCUUGCAUUUACCUUCAAAACAAGGUUUAAUUGUGGUUAUUUUUAUAAAAUACAUUUAAAAAUAUUCAUUCAUAUAUCCAUAAUUUUAUAAUAUAGUUAUUGACAUAGCUAUAUUGAUAGAGAUUAAGUCAUCACUAUCCAAACUAAAACAAUUUGAUCUCUCUAACAAUAUAACAAUGUUUGUCAUUGCUCUAUUAUAUUUCUCAUGUUGAAGAAUUUUGUAUUUUGUUAUAGAGGUCAUCCACCGACCUUCAAAAUUAAACUCUUUCAAACACGUUGGAGAAUUAAAAAAAUAUAUAUUAUUUAAGUUUAACAUGAAGUAAAAGAUUUAAACUUUUUAGCAACACAAGUUCACUUUUGAAACUAUAUUAUUUAUAUCAAUUAAAUUACUAAUUUAAUAUCAUAUAGUUUAAUUUAUGAAAAAUGUUUGAAUUGAGUGAUCCGUACGAUUUAUUCUUAAAAUUUAAUCUCUACCGUCUAAUAAAACUCUUAUAAAAUUGAAUGUUCAAGAACUCUUAAUCAACUCUCACAACCUUUUUCUAAUCAUAUGCAACAUUAUCUUUUGUGGCCUAAAACUUGUUUGUAAAAUCUAAACAAAUUCAGAUUGAUAUACCACAUAAAUAAUAAUUGCUAAUUGAAAAAUUAUAUUCUUAGAAGACUGCUAAAAUUUUAUAGGAAAAAUCAUAAACUUGUUUGUAUAAAAUUUUAAUGGUAUAGAUAUCAUCUAUUUGAUUUUUUUUUUUAUAUACAUUAUACAUAUCAUCUAUAUUAUAUAAAGAUAUCGUCAAAAAUAGAAAAAUUAUCAAAAGCAUUUCUACUAAAUCUAGUCGGUGAUCCAAACUCGUAAUUUUCAAACCUCCUCGAAUAUUUUUUUUUAAAAAAAGAGGAAGAGAGAGAAGGGUUGUGUUCUUGUCUUUGACUCAAUUAGGUUAACUUUUUUUAAAUGAAAUAUUUUUCUUCACUCACAAGGUAAUCAUCAUUCUUUUAUUUCCCAAACAUUUUUGCUUCCACUUCACAUAAUCAAUCAAUCUCUCUCUCACUCUCCAAACUUACACGUGAAUUUUAAGUAUUAAAUCGAGGGAGAGAAAAAGAGAAAACAAAAAUAUUAUUUUAAAAAAAAAAGUGCUUUUGAGUUCGGUAAGUCGGUGGAAAAUAAUACCCAAAAAUUAUAAACGAUAAAACUAUUUAAAAUAUUUACAAAAUAUAGCAAGUUUUUCAAAUUUUAUCAAUAUCUAUUAAUGUACUAUUAGAAUUUUUAUAAAUAUUUUGAUUCGUUAUACUAUAUUUAAAAAUAUCCUUUUUUUUUUAUUUUGCAUCUAUAAUUUGAUUUCUAAAUUAAAUAUGAUUGUUUGGUUUUGAAAAUGUGUUUCAAUGGACACUAACUUUAAUUAUUUAAACCAACAACCCUAUUUUUAACAUACUCUUCAACCAAAUUAUAUCCCCAACUUCUAAAGCAAAUCAGACCCCCUAUAUCAUAUAUCUAUACAUUAUUUAUAUUAUUUUCUCUUUAUCUUUAUUAAUUAAUAAUGAACACAUUAAUUGGUUUCCUCUCAAUUAUAUAACUACUGAAGAAAAAAAAAUAGUUACAAAUUCUCUACCUCUAAUGAUGAGUAGGUGACAAUCUCAACUGAAAUAUUUUUAGUAUUAAGAGAGUAUCAUACUCAUUUUGUUUUGUUUGUAUAGGAAAUUUGUAUUCUCAAAUAGCAUAUUAAUACCGAGAUACUUAAAAAAAUUUCGUUCUUUUUAGAGGAUUGCUUAAAAAGUUUGCCCAUCAAAUGUAUUUUAUUUAGUGAAAUGAUAAUUUUAAAUUAUAUUGAUUUAAAAACGUGUGAGAAUCACUUUUUUAAGAGAUUUGAUAUAUGUUAAGGGUUUCUUCUUUUAUAUAUAUAGAAAAUUUGGGGAGAUAUUGGAAAGAAUUUAGAGGCACAAACUUUCUAAUAAUUGGUGAAAUAAUUUGUGGGAAUUUCUUCCAGAGGCUUUAAAAGCAAUGACAGACCAAUCAUAGGGUGAAAAGUUCAAAGUACCCAAAAAUAAAAUCGUACAAAGAAAAUUGAAUUAAAUAAAGAAAUCAAUAGAUGGCCAAAAUAAAUAAAUAAAUGGAUGCAUUUAAAAAAGUAAAAAGUAAAUACAAAUACAAAUAAAAAUGAAUGCAUUUAUGCGAUGAAAAGCAAGUUUUCUCAAUUUGGCUUCUCAUAAAAAGGAAUUUCAAAAGAGUGCUAAAAAUAUUCCAUAUUUUUAUUUGUGGAUUGCACCCAUGAUUUAGAAAAAUUCACUUUUGUUUAGGAGCUGUUAAAGUUGUUUAAACACUCUAAAACUAUUUUUAUUAACAAUAAAAGUAGUUAGACUGUUAUUUUCUGUUGUAUUAGUUGUAUUAGUUAAUCUGUUAUUUUCUGUUGUAUUAGUUGUGUUAGUUAAUCUGUUAGACAGUUAUCAGUUGCUGCCAAGAAUCUAUAAAUACCAAGCUUGGUUGAUGUAAAUAUCCUAGACAUACAGAAAUAAAGAAUUUACUGCAGUCAGUAAAUCUUUUCUCCCAAAUUCUGCUUCUUCUGUUAAUUUUUACUCUACAUUCUCAUCUCAUUUACUCCAAAAACGACUUAACGUUUUUAGAUAUUAAUCGCUUGAAAAUCUAUUCAAACCAUCGAUCUUAUUCAAACCAUCAAUCUCAUUUUCUUCUAAGUUAUAAAGAUUUAAGAUUCACUAAUGGUUGUUGCACUUAUGUUCUUAAUCUUGCAAAGUUAAAAGUUAAAUCAUCCUACUUGUCUAAAUUUUAAAAAUGAUUUUCAAACUUACACAAAUCACUUGUCUAAAUUUUAAAAUGAUUUUCAAACUUACACAAAUUAUAUCAUUUUAGAACUUUAAUUCUUAUCAUUUGUUAAAUAAUUAUAUUAUAUUAUUUUAGAACUUUAAUUCUUAUCAUUCUAAUUUUAGCAAUUUUAAAAAUUUAAAACUUUUAGAAGUUUAAAUCUAAUUUUUAUAAUUAUUAUAGGUUUGAAAGUCUAGAAUUUUUAUAAUUAUUAUAAAUUUGAAAGAAUAGAAUUUUUAGAAGUUUAAAGAUCCAACUAUUAUUAUGAAAAAAUGUAAUUAUAAUUGGGAUGGAAUUUGUGCUAUUUAAUUUUACAUGGAUUGAACCCAAAAAUUGAGAUAAAUUAACCUAUAUGAUAAUAAGCAUAUAGAGCUUUUAACCUCGAAUUAUGCAAACUCAAACCACACCACCAUUGGAUCUUUGAAACAAAUCUAUUAUUCUAAUAAAUAUGGUUAGGUUUUUUUCUUUUGUCAUUUAAUUUUUUCCAACUUCAAAAAUUAUUCUUUAUGAUUUGAAAUAAGUUUUUUCUGCCAUAACUCAUCGGUAAAAUGUAACUAAAGAAAACUUAGAUUUAACUCCAAACUACCAAACCCAAAGAAUAAGAUGAACAUGUUAAUCCAUAAUCAAAUUCUCCAAUAUGACUGCACAUAUUCGUCAAAUUUUAAAUUGUCCAACAUGGAUAUAGUUAUGAAGAAAAAUCAACUUCUUAUUGGCAUCAUACAUAGAAAGAGAGGCAUUGCCGCCCGUCAUGCAAAGGCAAAAAAAGGGGAGGAAAACACCAAAAGUUCUCUUUUCAUGGUUGAAAAAUGGUAGAGAGCUCAAAGCAGGAAGAAGGGAUCCCCAUAAUGUAAAAAUUACCCUUUUCAGAGGCUGUUGAAGUUCACAGGUUCUCGCAAGAACCGCUCCAUCUGUUUUGCUCUGGUCUUGAUCGACAUGUCGAACACUUUCUCCCCAAAUUCUACUACUAUUCCGCCAAGAAUACUUGGAUCAAUCUGGCAUAUACAAGAGAUUAGAUGUGCCUGAUAAAAGGGCUAAAACAGACCAAAAAAUAGGCAAACCCUGUGAUUUUAAGUACCUUCUGUUCAAGCUUGACCUUUUUCCCCUCUCCAAUAAUAUACUGUAGAGUCUCCUUCAGUUCUUUCUCUUCUUCAGCAGGAAGGGGCUGUGGCAAAAUGAAAAUUUCAAAACAGAAGGAUUUGUUCUUUUUUCUUUUUUCUUUUUUUCUUUCGUAAGAAAAAACAGGAGGGUUUCAAGUACUAAUACCAGACUUCCAUUGGUUUUAUGUUAUCAUCCUAAUGGCUUCAAAUACUAAGUUGGGAUUUCUAAGCUAAAUAUCUCUACACUUGGAGAAACUGAACCACAUUUUACAACUUUUAACAUUGAUUUUUUUUUUUUAAACUUUGUAAUUACAAGAUAUAACAAGGUGUAAGGCAAUACAUUUAUAUCCUAAGCAUUACCUGCCAAGUCCCACAUCUAUGUAUAUUAACUUGUUCUUGGACGUUGAAUCCGAAUUAAUAUAAAACCAUGCAAUAGCAUCAUGUACAGCAAAAGAAUUAAGCGCUAUAUAGGUAAAUGAAUGAUAGCCAUAUGCCAUAUUAGAACUUAUAACCAUGGAAGAUAAUGAAUUUCAUUAUAGGAGCUCGGGAACUUACAAUAACAGUAGACACAAUGGCUUUCACCUCUCCUCUAUGAGCCAUUGUCAACUCUUGAAACUUCUUUGCAAUGCCGUCUACGUAUUUCAGCCUUCCAUUCUCAGCCAAUACAGCUGGAUAGGAGUGUGAUUAUGAAAUGGUGUAUCAAAUUGUUUACUUAAACAUACCAUUUUUUCUUAAAUUAAAGAAAGAAAACAUCAAAAUUUUAACGCUAUGAGUAGUAGUAAUACCCAAAAAGUUCUUCAUAAUUUCUGAAAACUUAGCAUCAGCACAAACAUCGCUAAUAACCUUGACCUUGGUAUCUUUAUGCACUGUGGGAUCACUAAUGAACUGAGAGAAGGUGGCACUUCUCUUUAAAGCCUCGGCAAAGUCUACAAGCUCUUUCUCAGCCUUAUCCAAGGAAUUAGCUUUUACUGCGGCAAGGUACAAAGCAGAGGCAUAGUUUCCAGUCCCCCCAAACAAAACCAGAGGAACCUACAAUGCCAUACAUAGAAGAGAGCUAAAUGAAAAUAACCAAAUUAUGUGUAAAUAUAUCGGAAAAACAUGUCACAUGAUACUCUGCAUUUCAUUAAGCCACAACUGAAGAUAACUGGUACAUAAAACUAGUGAAACUUUUAAGUCUUAGUAAAUGCAAGCCAGUUCCAUUACUUUAACUUUUGCCUCGCUUUUCUUGGAAGAAGUUGCAUAGUUCCUCGAGAUCUGCACUUGAAGGAAAACAAACAUUCACAUUAAUUCAAUGAAAGGAUUAAGUUGAUUCAAUAAUCAAGAGCUGAGAGAUGAAUGGUCACAAUACAAUGAUUGAAUAUAAACAACUACAAACACAUGACAACCAGAAAUUUCACAUCCAUGAGGAUUGAAGCAGACUAUAAUUUGUGCCUACUCAAGCAAAACAUUCAAGACAGACUCUGGAGGCCAAACAGAUAACGAUCCAUGAUGGAAAUGAAUACAAAGAACUUGGAAUUUCUUUGAGUUGCAAGCAGGAGUUUGAGAAUCAACUUACGAAUCUAUUUGCUUACUAAGAAAAAAUAGGAGGCGAGGAAACAUAGAGAUUAGUAAAUACUUUCAAAAGCUAACAGGAGUUUUUGCCACCAUUACUUGGAACUGGCUCUCAGCGAAAUCCAAAAACCAACAAAUUCAGGACUAGUUUGUGCUAAAUUAAGUGGAGAAACUUCCAUUUACCCGUAGAAGAUUGAAUAUAGCUCUCCUAGUUCAAUUGAGCGUCUCAUCAUAUUCCUUUCCCCUAUUCAAAAUUCCAGCAAAGUACGGUAACAGGUAGAACAUAAUAUUAAGAGCUUCUACUGGUUAACUUGAAUGAGCAAUCACUAGCUUGGCUAAAAAUGGCGUCAAUCUCAUCAGGUUUGGCUGAUUUUGUUUUUUAAACCGAAAGUGUAAAUAUCAGAAAUUAUGAAGAAAAAUAUCACAAAUUAUGAAGGAAAAAUGUUUUUUGGUGAACAAAUAACCUUCCAUUGAGGAAGAAAUAAAAAAUACAUGGUCAGAGACUGUUUACCCAACCUUUCUAUGGAGAAGAAUUGUUAGAAACAAAAAGGGAAUUGACAUAUGGCAACCAAGCAAUUGAUUGUCUACCAAAAAGUAUUCCAUUAAAAUUACUAUUUACCCAAGCCCAUCAUUUCGGUAACUCACAAGACCCUGCAAAAACCAUUUGAGUGAGUCUUUUCCUAAUGCUUGAAAAGUGAAGAGAUUGUUUUGUUGAAAUGAAAAUAUUAUAGCCUCCAAGUCCAUGUAAUGGAAACUCCAAGGCAGAGAUCAGAGAAAAAAAUAGACGAAAUCAAAUUGUGUUCCUGCUUAUAGUAAGUGCUUUCCCUCGAUGCUUCAACUUCUAAGGCAUAACUUUCUUAUAGGUUUAAUUUGAAGAGAAAAAGUCCCAAAAAGCAACAAUUUCACUUAGGAGUUAGGACACGGAUUCAUAGAAACUUAAGUAUGCAAGGAAGAUAGCAAAGGAAAGACCUCCUUCAGUUAUUUUUCCCCAAAUUUGUGUGAACUGCAAAAGAAACCAAUACAUACGGAAAUACAUUACUACAUGUUUCGUCAUCACCAACUGAAUUGGCUAGAAGUUGAUUUUUCCUUUUUUAAAAGUUUGUUUCAACAAGGUUCAAACCGAAAGAUGCCACAAAAAUUCUUAAGAAAAUGUUGCAAGGUUCUUCUUCCGAGCUACUUAAACCGAACCUCCAAAAGAAUCAUUCUCCAUAGCAUAUAUAAGAACUCCUAUGAUUUCUUGAAACUAGCUAAAUACAAACCUUAAAUUGGAGUGCUUUACAAAAAAGAAACCAUGCAUCCCAGGUACCCACUUAAUUAAUUAAGAUCAAAGCCAUUCGUUUAAAACCCUCUUUAGCAGGGGGGAAUGCCUCAUCUCCAUGAUCUUUCCGAUGUACGAUGCCUAAGCUCCCAUCCAAUCGUCUUUAUUUCUCAAGCUUGUAUUCAAUUAUAAACCAUAUCGAUAAUGUCGAUGAGGGAUUCGCAAAAUCAUAAUCGAUCAUGAAGGGGAAAAAAAAAAAAAAAAAAGCAAAACCAUUAGGGAUUCGCUAAUCGUUCCUCAUUCUACAUCACUGACGAUUUGACGGCACUAAAGCCCAUCAUCACUUCUUAUCCCUGCUUUUUCCCGCAAAUCAAAUGGAUAUUAGGAAAUCAAAGCCCAUAUACAGGAAAGCACAGUAGGAGACGAAAUAGAUUGAGAAAUAAAUGAUUCUAACCUCGGAGUUGGCAGUCGUGGGGCAAAGUAGGGCUCUUGUAAGAGCAGAUCUCUGAGCCUGUGACUCCGAUUUCAGAAGCUGAUUGAAUUGAGGAAUGAUCGAUCUCAUACGCCCAGCCAUAGCCAUUUCACAAAAAGGAAGGAUAAACCCUAGUUUUUUCUAAUUGACGAAGGACUGAAGCGAACAGCUAAUGGGACAGAACUACAAAGCGGAGAACUUUUUUUUGCGAAGUGAAGAAGCCUCAAGGUUGAUGGAGCCGGUUGAAGAACCGGCACGUGCAUUGCACAUGUUGUAUGAUCGGUCCGGAAAAGUAGAAACCCAUGCUUGUAUGACACGUAGGAUGCUACAGCCAUUGUAAUAAUGCCACGUCGCAAAGGCACAAUAUUAAUUUACUUAUCAUCAAAUAGGGCUUAUUCGUAAGUUUAUUGGCACAUUGUUUGACAUGUAUGAUACAACCAUUUUGGUGUAUGGGGUGAAGAACAUUCUCUAGAAGUAUAAGUUUUUAGUAGGGUGAUCAUCCAUUAGUUGGAAUCGAUUUUUUUUAUCAAACUGUCACUGAAUCGAUUAUGGUUGAUUUAGUAAAUGUUCAAACUGAUUUUGAUCAUCGAUGAAUAAAUGUCGGUCGGUUGGUAUAAUACUAUGAAACAUAUUUGGAAAUUUCUCAAUCUGAAACUUUCUCAAACCAAUAUCGUUGGUUGGAUCGGUUUUUUGGUCUAUUAUGUUGACCCUUUGUUUGUGAGAAAGGAUUCGUGUGAAGAGUUGAAGUAGAAAUGAAAUGCAAUUAUGAUGAAAUCCAAUAGAAAGGAAAAUGUUAUUCCUUUGUUCUUAAUUAUUGAGGUUGUUAGUGAAAAGUGGGUUUUCAUCAAGAAAUUCUCUCUUCCAUGUUACUUUUCUGUUCACUUUUACAACUUACCUUUCUUCCACGUUUUUAGUACAAGUCUCAUAAAAUGAUCAUAUAUCAAAAGGAAUUGUAUUGCUGUACAUUUACUCUCAAACUUGAAAAAAUAAAAACACAGAUAUGGAACUACAAACUUGCAAAUACAGCAAAAGAGAAGAAUUCUUCAAGUAGAAAACAUUUCAAGCAAGAACUUAAGUAUGAAGAUUAAGGGAAGAAGAAGAAUAUGUAGAGGAUUAUAGUGGUCACCUACAUCUACUCUCAAUAAGGCAUCAUCAAAUUUUCAUUUAUCAAGUGUUUUCAACAUACAUACAGAGGGUAAACUCACAGAAUUUUUCUUUUUUUCUUCCAUUUAAUAAAGUAUAAUUUCUCAGUAUUCUCAUCACUGCUCAUCAUGCAUUUUUUAACUUGCCUCUUUUAAUUAUAAACAAUGUUAUGAGUUGAGGACUAAAGAAACUGAGAGUUUCAAAACUUGGUUAAUUUUUUUUCUAUUUUAUUUUCUAGUUAAAGAGUGUUUCUUUUGCAUGUUCUUUAACAGGUGUUUUCUUAGAAACAUGUUUUACUAUUUUACUAAUUUAAUAUAGUUCUGUAUAAGUACAAAGCCGACUAUUGAUUGAGCUAGAAAAGGUCGUGUCAUCCACUAAUAAACUCAUGAAGCUUUUGAGAGUCAUGCCCAUGAAGAGAGGGAUGGAAGACUUCUUCAUUUAAAACUAGAAGAGAAAAAAGUGAAUUAUAUAUAUAUAUUAUACGUGGGAACAAAGAAAAAAAAAACUGACCUCUCGCUAGACCAUACAUUAUACAUAUAUUAUAUAUACUUAAACAACAAUUGCUCGAGUUGCCUAACGGAGAGGCAAACCAAGAUUAAGAUCGUAUGAAAACCAAAACCAAAACCAUAAGCACCAUUUCUAGCAGAAAAUCAAGAGAAGUUCAUACAAAUACAGCAGCAAGACACAACUUUCUCUAAAUGGUGUGUUAUUAUAUUGUAAAGAAUACUUUUUCUAUUCAAUGAAACUCAGUUCAAGAAAAUUUGUUUGGUGGCUAAAUACAGCAAUCUUAUCAACAUGGAACUUCUCCAUUAUCUGUAAGCUUACAAGAAAUGAGUACAACACAAAAAGAAUGAAAGAAUAUUCUAAAUGAAUGACACUUUGGCUCAAGUCUUCGUGAACUUUUUAGUUGGAAAGAGUGCAAGGCUUGAGAAACCAAAGAACGUCCAAUGCUUUUGCUUCUUUUUCAACAACAGAAGAAAUGGCUUUAACUCUCUCAGCAGAUACCUCUCCUUUUGUCACCUCCUUUACCUCUUCCAUUUCCUUCUCCUAAUCGAAAACACAGAUGAUCAAUCAGAGAAGUUUGAGCAGCUGUUAUAUAAUAAUAAAAACUCAUGGUUCCAUUCCUUACCUUAAGUCUAGAUCUCGACGCUUUUGAAGCAGGAAUUUUGUUCGGUGCACGUAUGCUGGAAAAGCAUUGAGGAGAUGGAGGAUUGGUUCGGAUUUGCAGUGUGUUGUCGUCUCUUUUGUGCCAUGCUCUCUCCAAGUCCAGAGGGAUCAAGACAUUUUCGCCGUUUGCCGCACUUUUGCUGCAUCAAAUUUUGUAUAAACUCAUCAUUGGCUAAACACAACAAAACGUGUUCUGGCAUAGGCUUAAAAGCCAAAAAAAUGGUACUUUCAUAUUAGGCACAUGAUUGACAAACAGCACAUGAUUCGCAAACACACAUAUACAAUAAUGAUCCUUUUUUUUUUUUGCUUUACCCUUUUAUAUUAGGCAUACGAUUCACAAACACACAACAAAACGUGGCAAGAGUCUAAAGCAAGAAGAUUGAAAACAAAUUACUCACGUAUUGAUCCUUUUCUUUUGCUUUACACUGUUGCUGAUUGAUCCAUCAGAUUUCUCUAUACUAAGUUCACCAAAUGGCUUCCUCUGUUUCUCCUUCUUUUCAAGAUCAUUCAAACCCUUGGCCGAAACCUCCUUCUCCUUCUCUGCAAAUUUCUUCUCACCCUCAACACCAUUCUCCACAGCUGAUUGCUGCUUAACAUUCUCUCUCUCUCUUACCCUAAUAGCCAUUCUCUUUAUCUCAUUACAAAACUCUGUAAUUUGAUUCAGAAUAUCUCGUCCUGCAAAUAAGUUCCUUGCUGAAAGUGUGCUUUUCAGCGAUGGUGCCCCGUUGUUCUUCUGUUGCCCAUCCUCCAUCAAUGGCUUCUUCUCUGCACUCGAUUUGAUCCCUGCCUUGGUAGCUUUGGCUGAGUGGCUUGGAGGCGUAGAAGAAUUGGGAUUCUGAUUCUCAUUAUUUGAAAAUUGAGGAGGCCCUCUUCUCUUCAACUUUCCAUCUCUGAAUUAACCCAAAAGGGGAAAUGAGAAGAAAAAAAACUCAGAUCUAUUUGAAAUGAAGAAAAUCCUACUGUCAAAGUUACUAAAACUUAAACUAUUUUAAUGAACUACAGUACCUUCCUAUACGAUCACUGGAUUGAAGAGUAUCAGUGCUGUAACCCGGGCUUGUAAGCUUCAAAAAAAGAACAAGGCAGUAUAUUUAGAAGAAAAGAACAUACGUGCAAAGAAAAAGAAAAGAGAAAACUAUGUGCACUGUGCCCUGAUUUGGCCAGAUUAGCUUAGCUCAAAUCUGCAAAAUCUUCACAUUCUUUCCGCUUAAGCGUCAAUCAAACAGUACGAAAUCAAAGGUCAAGAAAAUGAAAGAGAGAAAUAAACCGAUACCUUCGUAGGAGUUACCCGAAGUAAUUCCUCAGCCGUCUUCGGAUGCUUACAAUCUACACAGAACCAAAAGAAAACAAAACCCAUCAUUACCUAAAAAUGCAAAAGAACUCACAGAAAAGAGUUCAGAAUCCAAGAACAUGAUCGAUCGAAAAAGAAACUCACCGGGUCGACAAAACCAGGCCUCAUCAUCCACGGGGUCGUGGAUCGCGGUGAAAUCGACCCAUUUGGGGGCGUUGAUGUGCUCGUACAAUUCGUCCUCUACGAAUCUCCAUUGAACAUUUUUCCAGUCGACUUUUGCUGGUUCCAUUAUCGUGCUCGAGAAGAUGGAGAAUGGAGAAGCCGAUAAAGAAGAAGAAGAUGAUGACGAAGAAGAAGUGACCGUUGUGUUGGAGAAUUCUCUGCGUUUUUUUGUGAACGUUUUUGUGGGCAGCUUGGUUUUGACCGUUGGAGGAUUUUUCUUUUCUUUUCUUAAUAUUUUAUUGUUUAGUUAUAAAUAAAUUGUUAGGUUGUUGGGCUUUUUAAUUUUGGGCCGGUUCGCUUCGACCCAUCAACUCGGUUUAUUUUUGUUUUAGGUAAUUACACUUUAUACAAAUUUAGAACAAUAAUAAUUAAGUAUAUAUCAAUACCUAAAUAUAGCAAAAUGUAUGAUUAUUAAAUUUAUAUGGUUAAUACAGUUUAACAGAUUUUAUUAUAUUUGUAACUUUUUAUUAAUACUAUUAUAUUUAAAUAUAAUUGUUAUAUUUGCAACUGUCGUUAUAAUGUUUAUAAUUAAGCUAAUGCUUAAGGUCUAUUUACAAUUUAACUCCUAUAGUUUCAAGAAUUUCUCAAAUUUUGGUUCUUAUAUUUUAAGUCUUUAUAUUCUUAAAUGUCAAAUUUUGAUCAUUGUACUUUAAAAUAUUAAAAUUAGUCUCUCCUAGUGGUCUGUCAUUAAUUAUAUAUAAUAGCACUUUCACCAUAGAUUAUUGUAAACAACAAAAACGGUUAAACGUAUUUACAAAAUAUAACAAAAUUUUAGAUUAUAUCAAUAAAAUAGAAGAAAUUCUAGUGGUGUUUAUAAAAUCCAAAAUGCUACUAUAUUUGAUAAAUAUAUUGGCUCGUAUUGUUAGAUUUGAAAAUGACCUUAAAAACAUAUUCACUUUAUUUAUUUUGUGACAUUAAAAUCAUUAUUAAUACCGUUUCCUAAUUCUAGAUCUUAAAAUAUGUGAGCGAAAAUUAUAUUAUAAUUUUCUUAACAUUUGGGUUGGAGGUUUGUAUCCUCAAAUUUCCACUAAAACAACAAUACAAUACACUGUGAUAUAGCUGAAUAAAGGAUAGAAGCAAAAUAAGCUUUUCUAAAAUACUAUGAAAUUUAGCCAACCACAAACAAAAUUCAAUACAAAAAAUAAAUUGACAGAAACAAGUGAAAACAGGUAAGUAAAGUCUGGAAAAGUAUAUCAUUCUCACUAUUUCUUUUACAAAACUUGAAAUAAAUGAUCAAAUGAAUUCAUGGUCUUUCACUAACAAGAGUCACUUAGAUUGAACAAAUAUGUAACUCGAACAAUUGGGUUAGAUCCAAAACGUCUAUAUUAACCUAAUCUAACUCACCCCAACUCCACAACAUCCUAAUUUGAAGCAGUUCGAGGCGACCCCCAGUCCGUAAAAUGACUACAAAAUAAUCUAAUCUUAAUCUAAGAAAAUAACUAGACUUCAAUCUUAAGGCUAAGCAGUUAACAAGUUAAGAAGAGGGGUUACAUUUUCUUUCUUUCUGUUGAUCAUAAGGCAAGCGUGGGGAGGGAGAGAGUAAGGAUUAGAGUGUACUUGAUUCGCUUAGUUAAGUAGAGAUUUACAAAAUGUGGAGAGAAAUGAAAGUGAGAAGGCAAAAAUGGGAAAAGAUGAACAAGAACAAAAUGUUAGAGCUUCCAAAAUCUACUGUCAGUUAUCACUGGCCGAUGCAUUCGUGCUUCCAUCUCCGAACACCUCGAUGUUGCAGAUUGGACAUAUCUGAUAAAAACGAUGGUGAGUGACGAGGUAGAACAUCAAGUUAGAACAGAAAUGGUGGAAGUAUGAUAUGAGAAUGCCAAGAAAAUUACUGACUUUGUUGAUGGUGAGCCAUUUGGUUAUGCAUUUGUUGUGGUAGAAAUGCUUGCAGGGUAAUUUUAUUUGUUUGUCCCCUCGCUUGUACCUCAUUUGGCAAAUCACACAUCUGCAGUUGAAACAAAACAAGUACAAUCAAAUAUUCCAGUAAUGAAUACUGUAUCGAGAAAGUACCAAGAUGUAAACAUCUUCUUGUGUCUCAUAUGACUAUCUUAUUCGUAACAUUGGUUAGAGGUUCGAGUUCAACAUUGCUACACUAAAAACUAAAGAAACCAAAGUGAAUGUAUUAACGUGUACUAUGACAGAAAAAUGGAUCCAUAUGACUUCAGUGUAGACACAUUGACACCAAACCGAUUAAACAUCUCGGUUUAUAGAAACUGUCAUCUACAUUGACACCAGACCGAUUAUUGACAGAUGAUUCAAAGUUAUUCUGACAGGAGUCUUCUCAUAUACCCACCAAGUAAAGCAGAUUAACAAAGAUGGUGCAAGAUAACUGAAAUGUAACAUUUGUCAAAAACUGACCUCUCAUCGAGCUUUUUUCUUGAGAAAAAGCUCGUUAACUUGCAUCGUGCAGUCGGAAGCAAACUUAUUUGUUCUUCAGAAAGACCCCGACUUUCAGUUCCAACUGAUUCACCCAAGUCCAACAGUUCCUGUAAAACCAUAUAAGAUCAUCUGCACAGUCAUGGCUAAAGGCAGUCCUUUUAUACUCUUCUGUUUUAUACAAUAAACUUCUGUGGAUCCCAUUUAUUUGACAACCAACCAUAGUUCAUAUGGCCAUAAGAAACUAGCGGCUAGUUGAUAAUUGAGCUAAAAAUCUUUUUCUUUAAACCAAAAUAAUCAUGCGCUCAAUAAAACAUUGGUUUCAAGUGAAGAACAGCCUCAACUUCUAUAGGGCAAUCUAUUGAAGAUUUACAGAACAUUUCUUAAAACAUGUUCUUAAACAAAUCUGGUUUGUAAAUGAUAGAGUUGAAAUCAUACCUCAUAAGUCAUGUGGUCAGGAUCAAUCUCAUCUUGCCAUGUAACCUGAAGAGACGAACAAAAGAAGACUGAUACAAUGAGCCCUACCAAAUAAAAAAGGAACCUAUUCCCAUAGUUCAAAAGCAAUGGAACUUCGUUGGGCACAAAACUGAUCAGAAAGAGAAACUUUCUGACAUAAACUAAGACUUUAAGAGUAAUAACAUUUGAUGAACAUUCUACAACCUUUGAUGAUAAUAAGAUGAAACCCUAGUUCAUUAUUUACUGAACUACGUGAAAGGAUACCAAAUAAUUUUUUUACUAAGCCACGGUUCGUAAGGAGCAUUAAGUAGAUCAUGGUCAUAACAGAAAAAUAAGGCAUAUUGCGAAAUCAAGGAGAAAGCAUCAUACUUGAGACGUACUAGUUUCCUCCCGAUGGCUUAAAUCACCUGCAAAACAGGAAACAAGGUAACAAGAUGCUGGUAAGAUCCAAACGUACCAACGAUUCAACAGGACGAUGUGAUAGUGACAAACUCAUUGUUAGCUUUGAAAAGUAUGAAAUAAACAGACUCGGUAUCAAAUUUGUCAACACUUACAUUCUUCUGGUAUAGAAUGAGCAUCUACAACAUCUUCCUCCACGGAUGGCGCAUAGGAUGGUUCGGGGAUUUCGACAUUCAUCGCUGAAGUAGGAUACUCCCAUUCCCUUUCACCAACAUCCAUUGAAGGUGGUAGAUGGUGACUUUCCUCCGAAUGGCCGUAAUACGUAUUCCCAUGAUCAGAUACUCCAAAUUUGUAACAUUGCAUAUUCAUUGACCAGUAAGCAUUUCCCUGAGAAACAAAUCACCGUGCAUUUCCAAUAUUAUUCUCUCAAAUGACAAAACUCGAGCUCGAGCAUUGACAAAUAAAUUGCAUCAGUUUUUCAUGACCCGCUCUGUUACCUGAUCGAGCAAUGGUACAGCAUUGCCAUAAGCAGGCACUUGAUGUUGGUGAAGCCCUUGAAAGAAAUCCAUGAAGCUCUCUGUAUUCGUGUAAGGAAAGCCGGUGUCCAUGUAAUGCAAUUCCAUUUGUCUAUCCUCAUUCAUCUUAAGCAACAAUCACAGUAACAUUUGCAAAAAAGACCAAAAGGAAAAUAACAUAUCAAACAAAAUGAAAUAUGAAAUGAACUUAAAACCUACAUUGUCAAAGCUUUAGAAUGAACUUAUCCACAACAAUCUGUUUGGUUGAUAAUAAAACUUAGAGGAAAAGAUGAGAAAGCAAAGGAAAUUGAAGAUUUGAAAUUUUCUAUCCAAUGAAAUAGGAAACAGACCCUAAAAACAUUCAAAAAAAACUUUAAAACAAACAUGAACAUUACACAAAACCAAAAGAAAAACUUACAUUUAACUUCUUUUGUCUCCAAAACGAAAAACACAAAGAAAAAUCUUAUGAUUUUUCUUACUUGAUAGCCAAACAGAAACUUCCCCAAGAAACUCUUCACACUCUGACAGAGGAAAAAUCUGAAGGAAUUAGACAAAUGUAGACAAAUGAGUAUUAAAGAUGUUAAAGAAUCCUAAGAAUCAGAUAAAAACAGACAAAUGAGCAAAAAAUAAAUAGGUACAGAUCCCAGUAUUCAUUAGAAUCUUCAUAAUAUCCACAAUAAAAACAGAACAAAAAAAAAAGGCUUCUUCUUCUAAAACUUAUCAAACAAACAAACAAACAAAAAAUAAAGGCUUGAGAAAUGAGGUACAAGAGAAGCUUGAAAAAUGGAAGAAUGACCUUAAACUCUCUCUCUAAAACUCCUUUUUUUUUUUUUUUUUCUGUUUCUCUCUCUCUCCAAAACUCUUGAUUUCUGGCAGAGUCUUAGCAGAGAGAGAUGAAAAUGAAAGGAAAUGGGGUUAUAUGGUUUUGUGUACCCUUCCUUUCCUUCUUUGUUCUUCAAUUUGUUUUCUGGCUAUAAUCCAUUUUCUUCCAUCUCUUUGCAAAAUGAAGGUUUUUAAGCUGCUUGGAAUGGGCUUUGAAAUCUUCUUCAAAUGGCAAAUGGGUAUUUUACAAGUUUCUCUUUUUUUUUACUUGUAUUUAUUUCGAUAAACUAAAGAGAGAGAAGAAAAAGAUUGUAUUUUUCUCGAAAAAAUAAAUAAAUAAAAGGGUGGUCCACUCUAUGUUCAUGGCCUCAUUUUAUCUUAUUUUAUUUUUCUUGCUGGCCAAACAUGUUUUUAUGUCAGAAACACUAUUCAAGAAAAAUAAAAUAAAAUUCAGAAAAGAAAAACAAAGUUAAAGAUAUAUAUAUACACACAUAUUGACGUGAAUUAUACUGUAGAAUUUAGUAUAUAAAUUCAACGAAAGUAUGAUCAUAUUCAAAUAUCAAAAGAACAGAAAAAAUAAUCACUGUUUUUCCAUUAAAAUGAAAUUUUUACCAUUUUUGAGAAGUAUACAUAUUUUCCAUAGAAGCAGAGAAGCUAUUCUAGUUGGCAGAGAGCAUGUUACAGAGAUUAGGAAUAUCCCAAGGAACCAUAAAGGGAAAACUAUUAUUUUUCUAAGAAAUGGCAUUUAAAAGGAAAAAUACUUGAGAAAAAUAAACAAAUAAAGGAAAGGAAAGGAAGAGUAAAGGCAAUUAAAUUCAGUUGAGGUGAGACUGAGAGACAGGACAUGAAGCAUCAGAAGAACAAAAUAUAAAAUAAAGCUUUUGUUUCUAAACUUAAGUCUUUAUUUAAUCCCUCACAUGUUCUUAUAACUUUAGGGUAUGCCAAUAUAUUCGUAACAUGACCACGGUUCUAGUUUCGAAACUCUCUACUAUAUUUAUAGAUCUCAUCGUAAUUAAAUAUAAACUUUUAUUAUCGAAAAUAGGUUCAUAAAACUACAUUGCUAGUAUUAUAAAAUCAAUAAAUAAGGAACAUACGACGUAAAAUAAUCAAAAAUAACAAUGCGUUGGAUAACUCGUACUUGGUCAUUGGAAGCAUCGUUUAACAGAGAUAGAGAGCAAUAAAGAAUUAAAUAUUGAAGGUAAUAUAUCAUAAGUUAAUAAACUGACUUGUAGUAAACAGAAAAGAAAGAAAGAAAGAGAAAUAAUGCAUUGGUACAACUUAGACGGUACAAAAUAAAAUGAUGUGUUAGAAACAAAAGAAACAGAAGUGCUUUUGAAUUUUUAGUUAUUACCAAAACAAAGUUUCUAAAGUCUCUGAUUCUUCUGAUUCUGAAUCUUAUCCUUCUUCUCAUCUCUUCUUUCUUUCUCUCUCUUUGUAGUUUUUCUUUUUCUUGUUUUAAUAAAUCACUUCUCUCACUGUUUUUUUGGCCCAUCAAAUCCAAAAUACACACUAAAGAAUGAUAUUAUUUUACUAAAGUAAAUUUUCAUACCUGUAUGUAUUUAUUUUCGUUAUCGAAAUCGGAAGUAUAGAAACUAAAAUUUAAGAAAAUUGAUUGGAUGAGAAAUGAUAUUUUAACGUAUAAAGGUGAAAAAGGAAAAAAGAGGAUAAGAUUUUAGGAAUAGUUUAAUGAAAAAUGUGUUUGUGUGUUUGAAAUUUGGUGAUGUAAAAGUGGAAGUAGUUGACAGUACCCAAAAAACAAUUGCCUUGUCUUGUUGUAUCUUAGCCUUUGCCUUUGCCUUUGCAUUGUUUUGUUUAUGUCUUCUCCCAAUAACCCCUAUCUCCUUCCUUUCCCUAUUUCUUUACUAUUUCAUUCUUUUGGGGGAAUGUUUUUAGCUGUGUCUCCUUUCCUUUUUCUUCUUUACUUUUAUUUUCAUAUACUCCCAAAUCUACUGUCAUUUACCCAACUCUCUGUUCUUCAUUCCUAUCUUCUUCAUUUCCAUCUUUACAUGCAAUGGGUUCGUAACACAACCCUCUACUAAUCUCACAUAAGAUUACGAGUUGUAGAAGUAUAUUGAGUUUUAGUAGGUGAUUGUGAUGAAUUGGAUUCUCAUUCACUCUAAACAACAAGACAUUAUACGUAAUUAACUCGAUGAUGUUUUAAUGGCUUUAUUGAGUAAGAUUUUCUCGUUGAAGAUGUGUUGUAUGUUGAAAACUUAGUUAAUACUUAUGUUUCUUGUCACGUAUCGAGAGAGGAGAAUAACUUAUGACUUUAUUUCACGAUGAUUUUUUUAUUUAUUUAGAAAGAUGGUUUUCUAGAUAGCAUUCUCCCCCUCGUCCACAACGAGUUGGUUAGGGAUCAGAGUAAUUAGUUUGUGCUACUAUUACUAUUUGUUGACUAAAAUAGCAAGACAUUUAUUGUACACCCAUGCAUGACGUUUGUUUGACCGCUAGGUCAACAACCCUAAUUUCAUACUCCCUCUAUGUAUUAUAAUAGGUCAUAUAAACAUACUUUUAAAUGUAAUUUGGAUCUAUUAACUUUAAUGAUAAAUUUAUAGUGUGAACAAAUAAAAUAUGGUAUUACUUACUUAAAUACUCUAAAUAGUAUUCCUAUAGUGUUCUGUGGUUGUUAUUUGGUCAUGAAUUAAGUGUUUUUCUUUUAAGAAUUCUAAAACGAGGUGUGAAAAAAACUUUAUAGACAAAAAGUAGACUUAUUAAUCACUGCCUAAGCUUUUUUUUUUUUUUCUUAUAACAAUGUUUGAAAUUUCUUUUGAAUGUUUAAUAUUAAAACUUGCUCACUUAGCUAAGCAUAAGAACAAAAGGUAUUUUGAAUAAUAGAUAUUUGGUAAGUAAAAUGAUGAGAUAUUUGCUCUCAACAUCAUCAUUAUCUCCUACCUCCACACCUUCUAAGCAAAGUGUUAACCAAAACCCAAUAGCUUAAAAUAAAAACCUACUCCCUAAUUAUUAAAACAUAUAUAAAAAUAUCACCGCUAUAAUAUAUACCGUCGUUUAUGAUAUAUACACCUAAUUAUCCACCGAACAUACCAUAUUAAAUUGUUUCCAAAUCCUUACGUUCAACACAUUCAUUUCUCUCUCUUCGUAGGUUACCAAACAAUCAAACAUAUCAACGAUGGUCUCCACGUCACCAACGUAAACUCAAUUCGAUUUGAAAUUUAAAUAAUAUUUGAAAGAAAAUGGAAAACAAAUAUGGGAUUUGUGAAAAAUGGGUCAGAGUCAUAAUCAUAUUUCCAUGUGAAAGAAAGAAAGAAAAAAAAAAAGAGUAAAAAUUGUUAGGCAAAAAGGACCACUACAAAACCUUGCUCCCAAGCAACGAAUUAAUUCUUUUGCCCUUUUUUCUAAAAUAUAUUUAUUGUUUUUUAUCUUUCUAAUUAUUAUAUUAAAACCCAAUUAAUUUAUUGUUUGCUCAUUUCAGAAAUUGGGAGAAAAAAUUAAAAAAGUUGGUCAACAAUUUUACAAAAAUAAAAUUGAAAAGAAGAAAAAGGGGAAUUGUUCCAAAGACAGAUUCUAUUUAAUUUGAUUGAGUCAACCCCGCUGAUGUUGGGGAUUAGUUUCUCAUAAUUAUGUUAUUACUUCUAAGUUUGUUAAUUAACUACAUCUCAUUGUACUUAUUGAUUAAUUAAACUAUUUCAAACUACACUUACUUCAUUUACUUUUUAAUUCAAAUAUCUACCGUGUAAUCCAUAGUAAAUUUUUAACAUAAAUGCAUGUUCGUAGUUUGUUUUUUUUUUUGUUUUUUUUUUAUUCGGCUAAAAUUUAACUUUUUGUUUGCUUUGGAAUUAUUUUCAAACAAAUGAUUUUUUUCUAAAAAAUAUUCAAUUAUUGGAGAUAAUAAUACUAUAUACACAACAUAUAAUUGAAAUAUCAAAUUCGUCGUGAUUUUUAAAAGUUAAAAUUUUAAAUAUUAAAACAUUUGGAUGUAAGAUUUAAAAAGUUGUAGAGUUAAUCGAGAUCUAAGGACUUUAUAUAUAUACAAAAAAGAAAAUUAAAACUAUAUAGAAAAAAGACUUGGUCUAGGUGGAGAGAGGGUUGUAAGGUAGAUUUAGUACUAGAAUAACUAACAAUUUCGAUAAUAUGUGGAGAAGCAAAGUUCAUCCAACCUUAAUGAAGUGGUUUAGUGAAUAGAGAGAAAAGAUUUUGGUAAUGUAAAAAUUGGAAAAUCUCCAUACCAUAAGUUAUUUAUUUAUUUAUUAUAUAAUAAUAAUAAUUGGAGAAAUAUUGAAGAGGUAAGUAACAAAGAGAUGAUUUGAAGGGUUGGGAUAAUGAAUGAAAAGAAAAGGAAGGGGGAAAUGGGAUUCCCUAUAAAAUCUUUAUAGAGACGUAAAAUCAAACAAAAGAAACUGUCCAACUUGUUAGAGGACAAGACCAAAGCAAAAGGAUGAGAAUUGAGAAUUGAGAAUUGAGAAUUGAGAAGAAGCUUUUUUAUUACCAAACCAUAUUAUUGUUUCUUUCUCCCCCUCGGACCCACUCUCUUACCUCUUUCUCUUUUUUUUUAACAUAUUUCUCUUUCUUUCUUUUUACCCAACCAAGCCACACAAAAAUAUAUUUGUAUAAUCAUCUACAUUAUUAUUAUUAUUAUUACCAACAUAAUCAAACCUCUUAUAAAGGUUGAUAGUACAAUUACAGUAUCAAUUCAAUUAUAUUUAUUUUAAAACUUUUGUACUGAUAAUUAGAGUAUCUAUUCAUUGGGUCAUACUCAUUUAACUUAAAAUGUCACCUUAAACUUCAAUAUUAAUUUAUAAAGUGAUACAACAUGAUCAAAUUUUAUUGAUAAAAUGUUUGUCUCAAGAUUAAUGAAUUAUUAAACUUAGAAGUGUAUAGAAAUAUUCGGGUUAACAACAAAAUUAACUCGAUUGGUUAUCCUAACCUAAUUCAAAAAAUUCGAGUUGAACCAAAUUGAAUUGGCAUAUUGAUUUUUUUUUUCUUUUUAUUUAUAGUUUAUUUUAGGUUUAUAUAUAUAUACACACACGCAUAUACAUACACAUAAUCGAGUUGGGACAAGUCAAUUCACCUACGGUUUGAGUUACUUUUAGAUUUAUAUAUAUACACGCACAUAAUAGAGUAAUCUAGGUCAAUCUAGUUAUCGAUUUUUUUAAUAAGAAUUAUAGAGUUAUUGAAUGGUCUCUUUUGGCAUUAAGUUUAGGUGGGCUACCAAAUUUUGAAUAGAAUACAAAAAUUACUACAUUUAUCUUUCCAAAUUAUGUUUGAAGAUACUAAUAAUAGAUUUGUUUUUACCCUUUCUUGCAAAGGACAUUUUCUUCAUCUUUUAGGAGCGUUUUUGUAACUACAAUUUUAACUCGUAGUCAAUCAGUUAGAAAUAAAAGGCAAAUCUAUAUAAUUCUACUUGAUGUUCAUAAACAUAAUCUACAUUAUAUGAGUAGGUAAAUCAAUCAUUUGUGAUUCUGUGAUAUACAGAUUCAUUUCCUAACGAUUCUUUAAUUGAAAUGCUAAUUCUCCAUCGCUCAAAUGAACUGAAUGAAGAAACUUUAUUGAAUGGUGAUAUGAUUAUAAGCUAAGGACACUUUUUCUGGUACCCAUAAUCUCAUCUCGAAAAACAUAAAACCCCUUUUGACCCUCUUGCUAGGGAAAGACUACAAAAUACAUAAACCUUAAACCCUUCUCUUCAACUUGCUCUAUUAUUUUUAAGCUUUCAACAGCUAGCCAGAGUUCACUUUUCCCGACUCUCGCAAGUCUCAAGCCCAUUAACAACCGAGGGGGGCCUAAACACACUAAGUGCUCUAUAAACUCUUUCUCCACUAUAAAAAUGAAAGCCUACAAAUUUGCUUCUUGCGAUGAGACCAAAGUUGCCACAUGACAACAAAUCACGCCUAUCUAUCUUUACCCAAUCAUAACAAAAAUCCUUCAUAUCAAUCACAAAUCUAUCUAUACUCGAAAGUGCCAAUAAAACAAGAAGAUUUUCCAUAACCAAAUGACAUGACUAGAAAUUUUUUUUGUCUAUGUUUUCCUUGGUGGAAUCGUACAUGAAUAUUGUCCAAGCACAAGUCUUUGCUCUAAGGGCAACCUUGUUGACCCCCAAAUGGCCUCCACAUGGAAACAUCAUAAUCAUGGCUAGAAAAGGAGACCAGCCCUUGGGAAGGCUAUAUUCAUCGAGAGGUGAUAAGGUAAAAAUUUGCCACCCACCUGUCUUUCCAGUCUGCUCUAAGGAGUAAACAUUGGACCAAUCCCUCAUUAUCCAAGGAGCUUGGUCAAUAAAAAUUCCCCAAUAAUCACCAACUUUACACCUAAAACCUCUGACAAAGAGAUCUCUACCCCACAAAAUGCUCCUCUAGAUGAAAAGGGUGCUCGCCUAUGGGGCCAUAAGGAAGCCCCAUCCACGAAAUACUUAUCCAUCAAGAUUUUAGUGACAAAGCCAUUAGGCUCUCAAAAAAUAUUCAAGCUGUAAUUAGCUCAAAGGGGUUGGUUGAAAAAAUAACUUAAUUCUAUAUUAGUCAGUUUAUCUUGAAGUGCCCAUAUCUAAUCUAUAUACUUUCAACAAAUUUAAAAAGAAGUAUACGUUGUUAGAAGGCUAAAAGAACUUCAUACUAUUGAUUUGUUUACAACUUAGUCUCUUUUAGCAUCUACUAGAAGGCUAAAAAUUGCAUUCCAAUACUUUCCAUGUAAUUCCAUGCAAACUUACAAACUAAGUGACAUUAGCCACCUCGAGCCUCGCGUCUGGUGGCAUCAUGCAACAACUCGACAUCAACACCAUCUGGUGGAAGUUGAACAUAUCUCACCACUGAUCCCCUGAUGAAACAGUUUCUCACAGAAAGCUGAAGACAGAAUUUGAACUCCAUAAGUUUAAUGACCACCAACAAAAAAUUACAUGUUCAGCUGACAAAAUGUGAAAUAAUUGACUUAACAUCAUGGAAAAACAAGAAUCUAUACCAUUCCUAAAAUAAUCAACAACCAACAUCUGUCUUUCCACUACCAUCUUCAUAAAGUAGUUUGCAAAAAAAUUGUUUCUCUUUUCAGAAUUUAACUAAGAAUUGAGGUGUUUCUUUACAAUAUGGGAAAUCUAUAGCAAGGACAUGGAAAGAGAACAAGAGAAAACAUGAAGAUAACUCAAAUAGAAACCCCGUUACCCUCCCCUUCAAAUCAUCAAAUAAAAACAACAACAACAAUGUCAAUGACUCAAUGGUUAAGACAUCUUUAUUUCUCUAGAGAGAAUCUUCUAAUUAAAUGAAUCAAAGUAACCUUAAUACAAAAGAAGCAGAAAUGAAAAGGGGUGCCUAUGAGAAAUGGUAAACAAAGAAAAACAAAAUCAAAGUUGGCCUCGCCUCAAGUGUAGAAAAUCAAAAUAAUUGAUCAAAUAUAUUGCAUAAAUAUAAACACGUCUGGAUACCAUAUGAGGGUAUUUUUCCUGAUCAACAACCCUGGUGUUUUCCAGUUUGAUGUUGAGAUACUGAUCUACAGAAUGCAGAGUUCCUCUAAUUGCUAGGUCGUUCUUCAACUCAACUGUCACCUCUCUGCCCACCAAAUCCUUGAAGUACGAGAAAAACAACUGACAAACAAAACGCAAAUCAAAUCAAAAUCCACAUACAUAAACCAAAUAUUGAAAAAACCGUGAAGGCCAGGUUAAAGACACGAGAAGAAAAAACAAAAAAAAGAAGCAACAAGCAACAACUUGAGCACCUAAAGUAAGAUAAACAGUAACGAAAACUUAAAAGACAGAAACCAGUAUGUAAAUGGAGUUACCAUUUUCACUAGAGGUUUGAGGUGAUAGCCUUCAGUCUAUCUACGCGUGAAGAUCAACGACUGUUGAAGGUUGAAAUGUCGUCCGAGCUAUCAAUUGGGAAAACACGCCUUUUUGGAUUUAGAGAAUAAAAGAUAAUCUAUAUCUGUACAAUAGAUGAUCUUAGAAAAAACACUUUCAGUUUUAAUGAAUUAUUAUAGCGUUAAAAUAAAUUGUUUGUAAACGAUACAUAUUAUGGCAAAUUAUCAUCGUGUUAAAUGCAUAAAUUUAUUAAUCAUUAUUUACUCCAUCGAAGCAUGCCACCAGUUGAAGUCCAGUGUCUAUAUAUAAAUCUAAUACAUUAUAAUCAAAACCUGCUAAAUUAUCCCCCAAAAAAAAAACACCGAAUUCAUCUGUGAGUGGUUUUGAAUGGACAAAAAUGCAAGACAAUGAAAAUGGGAAAUGCAGUCAAGGUUAGAAAAUAAAUGAAAGAAAGUGCAAGAACAACAAGAAAUACGAGGUAAUCAAACACUAGGCAAGAGUUUAGAGAUCAUACCCAAAACAUUUGAUCUUCACAGUAUUAUGAAAUAUCAAAAUGCCAUAACAAAUAAGGAAUGGGUUUUACAAAAGACGAACCGCUAAAAAAGUGAAUAUAUCAAGAACUAACGGAUCUGAGUAAGAAAUUGAAAGAGAGAUAGUGGUUGUGAAAGAUAGAUAAAGGAGUGUACCUUGAGUGAAAACCGAUGGUUACGGUGGCGCGUUGGCAGAAAUGAAAUCUUUCUGGCGGAAAGAACGGUUUUGUCUUACGAACAGUUUUAGGGUUCUAUGGAGACGCCAACGAUGAGUCGCAAUUCUCGGGUAAUAGAAUGGGCCGAUAUUGGGCCGGUUGGGCCUAUAUUAAAACCUUUACCCAUAGAUGAUUGCGGAAAAUGUUUUUUUAAAAAAAACUUUUUUUAUUUAAUUGACUUUUUUUUUUGCCCCUCCCCAAAUUUUGUCAUUUCAUCGAAUUAAUUUUUUAAUAUUUUUUAUAUCCACGAGUUUCUAGGUCUCGACUAAUUUCAACCAACAUCCCAUUUUGGUGUCAAGGAAACCCCUAGAAAACUUUUUAAUUUGGUUCAUAUAUUUCAAUUUUUACACUUUUAAAUACGAUGUGAUAUUAGAUACUCAUCUUUUGUCUUUAGUGGUAAUAUCUAUUGACUCAUUUAACACAACUACAAUCGAUCAUGUUCAACUUUUUUUUUAUUGCAUUUAGAAAAAAUUUAAAUUUUACUUUGUAGUUAUUUUAACUAAUUAACAAACACUAAUGUGAAUAUUAAGGAAAGAAUAUAAAUUUAAAGUGAUACAAAACUUUGACCUGGAGAGUGAAAUUGUAUCCUUUUGAAACUUGUAUACCAAAUUGAAAUCAAACUCAAAAUUUGUGAACCUCAAACACGAACUAUUAGAAAUUGAAACCUUAAACGUAGAAUGAGCUAUAAUUACAUGUAUCGUUUACUUGAAAUCGAAGACCGAAACACCUAUAAAUUCUUAAAUACAUUAUAUAUAUAUAUAAUGUUUAGGAUUAUAAUUGGCGUGGAAAAGAAAUAGAAAUGGAGUUUGUAAACAGGUGAAGUAGGUAUUGGGUAACUAUACAAUUUCAAUGCUUUGUUUUGUACAUUGGAAAAAUGUAUGGCCCAUGGACCCAUCUCCCACCAUCCCCUAUCCUUCCAUUCACUUCUUUUUCAUCUCACUUUCUUCUCUAUUUUACACUCUUUUUAACCAUAAACUUUGAAACUAAACUAUUCAACAUAAGAGAUAUAUUAUUAAUUAAAGAGAAAGUUACGUGCUCAUUGGAUUCAAUUCAUUAUUCAACAUCUGAUAAUCUUAGUAAUCUCAUGUAUUUCUUCUUUGAUUUCUUUGAUCUGACUACAUCAUCCUUACUUGUCUUAAACUACUUUCAAAACUAAAAUCUAUCUCCACAAAUCAUCACAAAAUCUUUUUCUCCUCGUUCAAAUGUUUCAAGGGACCACCCAACAAAAGACUACUCUAGGUUAAGUAUACUUAAAUUUGAACCUCAUAUGAUUGAGCUACAAAAAGAAAAAUCUAACUUGUUAGUAUGGAUAGUAAAUCUUUCUAACUAUGUUUUCGUAUCCACAUAAUCUCUCCUUUUUAGAUGUGAUCUCGAUUCAUGUAUCUUUUCUAAACUCAUAUGUUACAACCAAGUUUCUUAUUUAGUUUAGAUAACGUUGUUCAGUUUGAUGAUAGGUUUAUAUUUAGUCAUAAACUUUUAUUUAAUAUUGUUAUUUUUCACAAUUUUUUCUAAUGUCUAGUAUUAUGUGUUAGUCAGCUGUCAUACUGAAGUCAUUAAAGAACAUGAAUUUUUCCUCUAAAGAUUAUCCUGGUUCAGUAUUUCAUUUAUGUAAUUGUUGUACUAAAAACAAUCUAUAGACGAAAUAUUUUUCAGUUAAAAAUUUAAAGUUAAAAGUGAAAUAUUUUUUUCAGUUAAAAAUUUAAAGUUAAAAGUUGAUAUGAGCUUUUGAAACACAUAGCAUAAAUUUUGAAAAUAAUUUUGAGAUGUCCACUUAAAUAUAAGUUAAAUGAUUAAAAUAUACUAUCUCAAUACAUCAAUAAGUUAAAUGUUGAAAUUUAUGUACCAAAAAUAAUAUGAUUGUAUUUGAAGAAGAAAACAAAAGUAAAUUUUAGAGGUGCAAUUUUAUGAUAAGAAGAAUAUUAAUGUAGACAUAAGUAAUUUGGAGCAUCUAUUAUAUGAUAUUGUUUAACUUUUUGCAAGUAUUAUUUGGAGAAUAAUAAUCCUCAUGGAUUAAACUUUAUAGGCAUUGGUAGAAGUGACAAAUUGAAUUAUUUUAUUUUAAUUUAGAAACUUUCUAAAUUCAAUGAUUAGCUUUAAUCAAUCUCUUCUUCAAUAUCAUUUUCUUGUUUCCCCCAAUCAUAUCAUUUCCAAAUCAUUUCACCUGCUAAACUCAAUCAUCAUUAUUCUACCCGCCAUGCUUUUGUUUUUGACCCAUUUUUCAAUUUUCAUAAGAAUACAUAAUUUAGGUCGCAUCUACCAAACCAUGAUGAAAAUGAAUGUAAUCGUAAUAAAAUUCUAUUGACAAAUCAAUGAAAACGAGCUUGAAUCGUAAUCGUAAUUUGAUUGUUUUUUAUCGAUCACGUAUACUUAAAGUUAUGAAUUUUGUAAAAUGUAUUGUUAUUAUUACCGUUAUUUCUAUCUUUGAGGGUCAAGCAACAUCGAUACCGAUAACAAUAAUGAUUGUUGUAAUGGUAAUUAUAUCGGAUAGAACGUAAUUAUAAUUUAGGGAGUAAUCGAAUUAAUUAAGCACCACUCUCAACUCAUCACUUCGGAUUGAGUUAUUUCAUUAGAGAUUUGGAUGGGAAACCUAAUGUUUCAUUACAAAUUGUACAACACAAGUAAUCAAACGAGAGUCAAUAAUUUUGUAUUCUCUUGUUCAUCUAUUACGUUUCCACCAAAGUAUGAACGUGACGUAGGUUUUAAGAAAAAAUUGUUAUAUAAGAACAUAUAUCAUAAAAACAAAAUCUUUUAUACUAAUAGCUAAUACAUCAUAUUGACAAGUACAUUAAACUAGUUUUGUAAUUUCAUUAUAAAAUAUCAAUAUAGACUUUUUGAUAGCAAAUUAUAAUCUUCCUUAAAAUUGAAUCUGUUUACAUUGUCAUGAUAGUGUGGGUCUAAAUUUGCAUAGAUUUUGUUUUUGAUUUUAUCAAAAAAAGAGGACUACAUAUAAGUGAAUAUCUAAUUCUUACAUACUAUAUUUGAAUUCCAAACAAAAGAAAAAUAUGUGUGUAAGUUAAUCAGAAAACAAUGUUAUGGAAGGUUUUGUGGGACUAUUGGUAUAGAUUAUAGAUCCAUUUUGUGCCACAAAUUAACUAUAGGGUAUAUCCUAUAUGAUUUGUGUGUAUGAAGUGGGAGAUAAGAAGUCGUUGUCCUAAAAAAUUAUGUUCGUUUUAGAGCUAUCUUUUUUUUAUCCAACCCAAUUUUAUUAUAAAAAAAAGCUAUUUUUUUUAUAAAAAAAAUUUACGUGAAGUUAUUGUAAAAUUUUAGUUUCUUUUGUUAUUAUGGAUAGAAGAAUGACGGUAAAAUGAUGUUUAUAAAUGGAAAACUGUCAGAAAUGACAAAUUUGAUAAAAUAUUGCGACGAUGACAAUGAGCGAUUUCAAAUGGUAUUUUAAAAUUUUAGGUUGAUGUUUGAAUUGUGGUAAAAAGUUGGAGUGGAUUAGAAGGAAUAUAAGGGUGAGAAAAGUAGUUUUAGUGGAAGUGCUUUGGAGACAUACUACCAUGACGGUUGAUUAUUUGAAAUUGUUUGACAUUUACCUUUUGUGUUUCUAUUAUUGGGCAUUAUAUAUUCUAUCUCAAUUCCACACCAUUCAAUAAUUCCUCUAGAUAUUUUUAUUCUCCAACACUGCAUAUAACCUCUAAAAAUUCCCUUCAACCAAAAACAAAAACUAUCCUAAAUGCUUUAUUUGGUCUAGAAACGAAGUAUCGAAUAAAUCGAUUAUUGUGUUUGACAAUGACAAAUCUAUAACUUGUGUCAGAAUCUCAGUACUAAAUUGUUCCCGAUCCUUUAUCAUCACUUAUGUAGACUAGUGUUCGAGCUAGGAAUGAUUGAAAUUAAGUGAAUAUAUACUUUUACUCGGACUCGAAGAAUGAAAUUAGAGAAAGGCAUUACCAAAAACUUGGAGUGUUCUUCAAGAACUCAACUCAAGCAACCAUUUAUAAGAACAAACCUUUCGUAUCUAAAUUAAAUACAUAAAAUGGCUUCGAAUUGAUAGGGAUUAAACACUUGUAAAUCUUUCAAUGUGAGACCAAAGGAAAAGGCUAGUUUUAUGACUUCAUUGUUAUUAUAUUCAAAGUGAUUGACGAGUUAUUGUUCCAACAAACAAAAGUCUCUAAUAGUAAUUUUUUAUAUAUGUAAAAAUUAAUAUAAUUCAACUGACAUAAUUUGUGUUUCGUUAUUGACUUUGAAGUCAUAGAUUCAAUUCCACUCACACUUCCUAUUCCUAUCCUACACGUGUAGAAAAAAUAAAUAGAAGUCAUUCUCAAUGUUCAAAUUUUAAUCUAUUUUUUUUUAAUAAAACUAUCAUUUUCAUUAUUUUUGGAAUUUGACUUUAAAUACAAAAUAUACCCAUGAAAGAUGAAAACCAAAGUCAUAAGAGUUGUGUGAAGACAAAUUAAAAAACAAAAAUCUAUAAACACGUAUGAAAACUAAUCAAACAAAAAAAAACCACAUAGAAUAUAAAUAUACGAGACUAAUUAAUAGUAAGAGUAGAUUGCAUGAACUACUCAUAGAGUAUGGUCGUAACUAUACAUAUUAUACUCUCAAACUUAUGCAUUUUCUUUUGUCAAAGUGAGUUUAGCUCAGCAAUAAUUGACACGAUCUUUCAUUCUAGAGAUUGAAGGUUCGAUUUUUCAUGCUUAGUUAUUGUACUAAAAAAACUUAUACACAACUUUUAAACUUUGAUUCUCAAAUAUAUGAAAUUGUAACAAUGACAUACAUUCGAGAACUCAAUAAUUUUUGUUAUUUAGAGAUCCAAUUCAUGAUUAUAAAAUGAAAGAGUUAAAUUGUAAUAUAAUAGUUUGUAUAAGUGUUGAUGGUGUGAUUACAACAACCCACAUUUGAUAUGGGCAAUUCUUGUCAAUUCUUGCCAUUUGCUCCAAUAAUAAUAAGAAGAAGAAUAACAAUAAUAACAACAUAUGCAACCAAUUGGAUAUCAAGCUUGAAAGGUACAAAAUGGAAGGAGGCAAAGGCAUUGAUUGGCAGGCAAAGCAAACACACACAUGAACACAAAACACAAGUCUUUUUUUCUUUCUUUUUCUCAAUAAAUAAUUAUAAAAAGAAAAACCCUAUUGAAAGAUAAGGCCAUCAUCACCCUUUCUUUCUCAAAAAUUUAUUAAUGAUGAAAAAUAAAUACAAGUGCUUUUUUGGGGGGGCAGAAAUAUGACAUCAUAAAUGUGAGUGAACAGUGAGUUCCAAUGAUAUGAAAAAGAAAAAGAAAGUAAGUGUGUACUGUUUAGCCAUCCCCAUGCAAUUGCUUUCAUCUCAUCUGCUCAUCCCAAAAACUCACUGUUCAUUCAACUCUAUCUCUUUUUAACUUAUUUUAAUUACAAACACAUAAAUAUAUAAGCAAAUAUAUUAAUACCCUUUCCCCCUAUAUUGUCCCUAAACUAGUCCCCUGCCCCUAUCAUUUUGGCCUACCCCACUUCUUCUCCCCAUCACUUUCACUUCCCUAUUUGCUUCCAUAACUACUACCUAGGGUUUAACUUUGUACGUAUAUACAUGUGCUUUUCUUAUACUGUAUGAUAAUUUGUAUCAACUGUGAAUUUUUACACCAUGUGUUUACUGCAUAAUGGAUGUAAUUAAAACUUCUGUGGUUGUGUUGAUAAUUUGGGUCAGUGUAGCUUUAAAAUGUAUAUAUUAUGACCUCUUUCCAAUUAUAGUUUUUGUUAUUAACUUCAUCCAUUAUUUUAACGUGACGUGAUUACUUAGUUAUUUAACGAAAACAUGGCAAGUUGAUUUCAACUUAUUUAAACACUUGAUACUGAAAAUUCAAAUGGUAGGGACAACCACAUCCAUGAAAAAAAUCAUAAAAGUUUAAAAGAAGUACGCGAUGUAACUCACCGACGAAUUUAGUAUAGAUCCACCGUUAACGUAACUUUGAAUGUUAAAAUAAAAUUGUAAAAAAUAACUUUUUGACAAUAGGGGUUGUGGAGUGACGAAUCGAACCUCAAACCUCAAAUUUCAUCACACAAAUUCAUGUAAAUUAAGCACAAACCCUAAGUUUAGGGGGAGGAAUCCUAGUUUGUCACAUAAAUUAUUGGGGGUAUACAUAUAUAUGUGGUGUGGGGUAUGUGUGAGAGGGGGUGAAUAAUGUGAAUAUAUAUAUGUGUAUAUAUUAAUGAAGAGAGGAGUUAAGGGCAGGGUGUCCUAAAAUGAGAAGAGGAAGGGGCACAUAAUGAUGGCAUUUGAAGACAGAAGUCAGGGUCAGGGGAGAAGGCAUGGAGAAGAGGACCCUUGAGAUAAAAAGAAAAGAAAAAGGUUAUACUAUAUACACACAUAUAUAUAAUGUUGUGUGUCAAUAAUAAUGAUAAUAAUGUAAAUUACUGUAUGGUAUUGUGGCAGAGGGAAGAAGGGGGUUAUUUUGUUGUUAUUUCAAAGAGAGGUUAUGUAUAAUAAAACCAAAAGUAAAAUUGGAAAAAAACAAUCACUAAUUCCAUUUUGUUGUGGGUUCCAAGAUUGGGAGACAAAACUCUUUUUUGUGUUCAACCCCUAAUUUCUUUAUAAAAAAUAAAUGUUUCUGUAGAAAUUCUGAAAAGGCUUUGGAAGAGAUGAGAUGUGAAAAAUAAUAUAUAUAUUACAUAUAGUUUAUAUAUAUUAGAAUUCAGAGGGAGGAGAAAAGAGAGAGAGACUCAUUUCCCAAUUACCAUGCACACUCGUGUUGUCUUGAAUGCAUUAAAUUAUUGCCCUUUCAAUUUAAUUCUACCCACAUUAAUUUCUUUGUCUCGAAAAUUCUAAAAAAUAUUAGGUUAAAGUACAAGUUUAGUUGGUUUGAUAAUAUUUCGUUGAAAUUUUUAUUUUUAUUUUAUGUUUGAUAUUCUUUUAUAGUUCAAAUAUGAUUAGAUAAAUAAUCUUGAAAUUAUUAAACUUAUUUUAGUAAUUUACUCAAAACCUAAUCUUUCCUAAUUCUCUUAUUUUAUAUAUUACCAAUAAUCAUGAGUUCAUAACAUUUUAAAGCUCUUAACCUAGGCUAGCUAAGAUAAUUAUACUAAUUACGUUGGUUAAUUAAUUGUGUACUUACUUUAAUAGGUUAGUACACUCACAGGGAAAAGAAAAGCAUGUUAACAAUUUUAAUUCUUCCCUAUAACAACAAUCACAUUUUUAAAUACAUUUCCAUGUUUAAAGAAUAUUGAUAAUACUUCUAGAAGUCUCGCAUAUUUAUUAAGUGUCGUUUUCUUAAUUUACUAAAAAAGUUCGAAAUAUAUUAAUUAAGGUAAAUUUAAUUAUAUAUCAUGAUAAUUUUACAUAUAAUUUUGAUCUUAAAUACAAUAUAUGAGUGUAUUAAAGAGGUAUUUCAAUAUAUCUUCUUCUAAUUUAUUUUAUCACGUAAUUAUUGUUUAAGUUUUCGAACUAGAUAGUAAAUGAUAUCUAUACCAACCAAGCUAUGUUGGGAUUGUAAUAUAAAAUAUUAAAUAUAACACCAACCCACUUGGCUAUACAUAUACAUGAAAACAUUGAACUUUCUAUUAUGAUUUUAACUUCUUUUUUUGUUUUGAUGAGUUGGGUUUAGGUUGGUUUAAUAUAAACUAUCUGAUUGGAUUUGGUUUGCCUUUAUACAACCAGAACAUUAUUAAUGGGAUUUGGGAAAGACAUUAAUUAAUGGUAGAAGCUCUAUACUUUAUUUUAUAUAUAUAUUCAAAAUUGAUUUUUGUCGUUUAUCAAUUAAAUUAGGAAGUAAAUUAUAUGUUAAUAAUUAUAGUGUAAUUAAUCAGUAUCUAUCACUCACUCUCAGAAAAUAGCUGUCAUAUAUAUGUGUGUAUGUGUAUGUGUAUUUAUUUUUGGAGAAAUUCAUUUUAGCAUUGCUGCAAGCAAAAGGUACCCUUGUUCUACGCUUCUGCCACACCCCAACUUUUUCAAACCCUUUUUCUUCACUUCCCUUUACUUUAGCCGACAUCUUAUUUUACUCCCAAAAUUACCCUCUUCUCUCGACUCGAACGUAGUUCAAUCGAUUUAAAAUAACAAUAAAUUUAUUUUAUAUAAAUAGUCAUUGUUUCUUAUGUGUCGUUGAUCAUGAAUUGUAACUUUCUACAAAGUUGAACGUUUAAAUCUUUCAACUACUUCUAGAUUUAUUUCACCGACGUUUAAGUUCUCAUAAAGUAGUUUGUCGUAGAGUCUUUGAUGUCAUUCAAUUUAUAUUUUUCUUAUUUAUAUAUGUAUAUUAAACUUGAUUUACUUUAUAUAAUUAAAGUAAAUAGUCAACCCAUAUAUAUAUUUAUAUAUCAUUUUUUUUAUAUAAUGUUCAAAGUUAAAUUGAUAUUAUUUAUUUUAUAAAAGAAUGUCAUCAGUUAGUUAGAAAAAUAAUAUAAAUUAUUUUAUAACUAAAUUAUAUGCUUUAAACAAAAGUGUAAAUAAUUUAGCAUCAUAAAUCUAAUACUUUUUAAAGAUUUUUUUUAGGUCUCUAUUUUUACAGUUGUCGUCAUACCCCGUCCAAAGCUCCUUCUCUAACCCCUAAUCUAACCCUAAAAGAGGGUACGAGAGUUAACAAACAUUGUCAUACUUGACUGUUUGACUCAUUUAAACGUCUAGUCAAGCUUUCCUCACCUAAGGUGUAUUGUUUUUGGCUCCUAACCUGAUGUCCUUAGUCAAAAUUCUUUCCGCAAGGUCACUUUGACUACAAUGACACACUAACCAUGACACUUAACAAACUUUUAAUGAGAAUUUGCUUGGGAGUUCUUAGGUCUAGAGUAGUUGUGUUGGUCAUAAAUAAUAGUAUAGUUUCAACAUAAAAAUAAUAACAACUUAACCUUAGUGUGUAUAUAUAUAUAUAUGCCACACAAAGCACAUUUUCCUUUUCCUUCCUAAUAUUAACUUGUGUUUGUAAUAAUUUUGUAUCAGUUGAAAGCUACUGUAGGUUGUCAUGUAAUUGAAAAUUUCAACUAUAUAUUUCAAUGUAAUGAAACCAACAAAAAAAAAAAAAAAAAGAGUAAAAGUGAGUGACCAUUUAGAAUAAAAUUGAAUGUGAAAUUAAUGAGUAUGGGAGUUUGGAGAGAGUGGUAGUUAUGAGAUCUUAGUCAAUGUUAGAUUUUGUUCUUAAUUAUCAUAUUUAUUAUAUAUCUCUUUCUUUUUUCAUUGUUUAUUAAAUUUUGUUAAUAUAUAUAGUUUUGUUUUGUUUUGUUUUUAUGCUUGAUAUUGAUUAUAUAUAAUCCUUAAUCAUAAAUAAUUAACAAUUAUUCUCAAUGGUUUUCUCCCUCUCCCUCUCCCUCUGAGCUGUAUAGGCUUAAAUUUUUGUGUUUAAGGUUAAUGCUUUAAAUUGAUGCUUUGAGAGAUUCCCAAACCCUAAACCCUUGGUUUUCUUCUUAUUCUUCUCUUUUUGUAUUUUAUUUGUUUGCUCACAAAAAGCCACACCCAUUUUAUAUCUUUUAGUGGGAAAUAAUUGAACUCAAACAAGUUUUCACAUAUCUAAUAAUAUACCUAUAUUUUAGGUACAGUGUGGUGUAUUGUCAUACCUAAGAAGUAUACUUAAUAAUUAAGAUGUGUAUUAUCGAUCAAUAAAACACAUAAAUUUAAGUUAUGUAAAUAUUUGUAUUGCUAAAAACAUUCUUUUAAGAUAGAGAAGUUCAAAAACUAGAUUCACACAUUUGUCAUACAAAACAUGGACCGAUGAUUAAGGUAUUUCUAUUCUUCUUCUUCUUUUUUUUUUUUUCAAAGUUUGAUUAUGUACACAAAUUGGAAAAGGGGCAACAUUCUUUGUUCCAUUAAACUCUACUACCUUUCUUCGGCUUUAAGUGGAAUUUUAAUUUUAGUAAUGUGUGAUAGGUUUAAAUAUGUUGUAAAUAUAAUAAAAUAAAUUUAUCGUUUAAAAUAAUUUCUUUGUGUUUUUAUUGAUUUUCUAUUAGGAGGGUUAAUUUGAUAUCUUACAUUUCAGACUUUCUUCACCACUAAUAACUUGAUCUAGUGGUUAACAUUAAAAUAGAGAGCAGUGACGAUAAAGUUUAGAAAACCAACCCAAGAAAUUCCCAAAAAAAAAAAAAGAAAAAGGGAAAAUUAAGGAAAUCCAAAGGCAUUGGAAUAAUUGAAAAGAAAGGUGAUGGGCUACAAGAGGUAUAAAAAUAUUAUAGGAUCAUGAAAAGACUUAACAUAAAACCUGAAAGAACUUGUCAAUGUCACUUCGUUACUUCAAAAAAGUUCUUCCCUAUAACAAAAUUUCCCUUUUUUCUUUGAAAAAAAUAUGUAUAAUGCAUGAAAAUCAAUAAUAAAAAAGAGAAGAAGAUUUAGGAAAUUUGAUUGAUUGACAAUUCAAAAAACCCCCUCUCCUUUUUUUGUUGGUCUCAGAAAUCUUUGCAUGUAUAAAGCUAAAACCAGGAGACCAAACAAUGGCCAAUUUAAAAAAUUCAGAAUUUAAAAUAAUGAUCGAUGUGGGAAACAUUAAACACGAUAAUCAAAGCAAAUGCUGGGAUUUGGAUUUGGAUUUGGCUGAUGAGAUAUAUCAGAGAAAUUGAAUAAUCUCUUUUAUGUUUUCUUUUCUCUAAAUUAAACAGAAUGUUCUCUCUCUCUCUCUUGAUUAAUUAAAUUAAUUAAUUUGUUUGUUUAAUUGUUUCUUUUUUAUAAAAAAAUUGGUAUCUCUCUCUAUCUCUCUCUCUCUUUCCCAAUCUCUCAGGGGACAACCAGCAUGUACUCUCUGACUUUGUCUUUUGGCUUUUUUCUUCCAUCUUUAUUUUAGGUUAUUAUCAUUUUCCCCCCUACUUAUUACUACCCAUAUAUUCAUAUAUAGGUUAAUUUCAGUGUUUUAAUAUGUCCAGGUCUUGUUUAUAUUCAUUUCUGAUCCCAUCUUUGAUGUCAAUGAACAUAUAUUAUGAACUAAAAAUAAUGACACGAAAAGAAAUUACAACUUAAUGAAAAUUUUAACCUUGAUGAUAAUAAUAUAUAAUACCUUUUUUUCUUCCUUUUUCUUUUUGGCAGGGGGUAAAAAUUUCCACUUUUUCUCAGUCUCAGCUCUCAGCUUUCUGCUUUCUUUCCAUUGCUUCAAAUGCUAAAUAGUUUUUGGAAACUGAGGUUUGGUUUCUUUGGGGUUUUGUUGGUACUAUUUUUGUGUGUGUUUCUUUGCUUUUGGUAACUUUACACUGUGUAUAUAUUUGAACUUUUUAUUCAAUUUAAUCUGUUGAGUUUCAUUUGUUAACUGUUAGUUUUUUAAAAUUAUGUUGUGAUUUUUUUUAUUAGUCUUUUUUUAAAAAUGAGUUGAUGAAUCAAUCCUGAGUGUAAUUCGUAAAUAAGAUUUUGUAAAACUAUUUUUCAUAAUUACUUAACUCUUAAAUUUAUGUUUAAAUUUAAAAAUUAGAAAACAAAUGAUCAUGAUACGAAGUUCUUAUCUUUUUCUUUUUCUAACUUUCACAGAAUGUAACUUUUUUAGUUUUAAUGUAAAAAGAAAAAAGGUUGUUCUAAUCUUUAUUAUAUUAACCCUUGUUUAUGGAAGCGUUAAAGAAAUUCAAUCAAUCUCACAUCUAGAUUUUGUAAAAUAAAAUUAUGCAAACAAAACAACCUCUAAUUAAUUAAAGGAACACUUUACUAGACACAAAUGUAAAAAAUUGAACCAUACACAUGAAAUUGAAACAAGAAUAUAAUUUUGAAAAGAAAAUAAAUAGUAUUCUCUAACCUCUAAAUUUCAUUUUAUUUAACAUGAAACAAAGUUAAGUAAAUUAAAUGAUUAUUGAUUGAUAACUUAUUACAAUAGGUUUAUCAACAUGAGCUCAACCCGAUUGACAGGAAGAUGAAAUUGUUGUGUUUAAAAGAGACACAACUCAAAGCUUAAACAACCCCAUACCAAAACUUAAUUGUGCAUCAAAACAUCACAUCUCUAUCUCUAUCUUUCUCUCCUCAUUCUUUCUCUUUCUCUCACUUCUUAUCAAUAUAUUACACUGUACUCCCCAAAGUACACAAAAGCCUAACACUCAAAAAGCAUAAAGAAAAAUAAAACCUUUCAACCCUUUUUUCCAUUUUGCAAUUCCCUUAAUCCAAACCAUGACGGACCCAAAUUACUCCUCCAAUUCCUUCAAUUUCAUCCAUCUUCCUCCUUCCAAUUUCCUCCUUUCCCAAUGCCGUCGCCCUACUCCUCCUCCGCCACCGUCAUCUCCGCCGCAAGCCCUCCCUCUCCUCAACACCCUCUCGCCGGAAACCGCCGAUCAUCCCUCCUCCUCCACCACCACUCGUAGUUACGAUGACGAAUCUGCCGUUCUUGCUCUUGACAUCAGCCUCUCUUGCCCUAGCUCCGAUCUAGACUCCUUCUCGCCAGACCCCGGCACCGGGAAAAUAAUCGACGGCGACGUUUCCGACCACCCUUUGCCGAUCUCCGGUAAGGGUCAGUACUGGAUUCCGACCCCAUCGCAGAUCCUCAUCGGUCCUACUCAGUUCUCUUGCCCUCUUUGCUCUAAAGCCUUCAAUAGAUACAAUAAUCUUCAGGUAAAAGUUUUCAAUUCUUUUUUUGGUUUUAGUUUUAUUUAUUAUUUUUUUUCUUGGGGUUUUGAUUUAACGGUUCAAGAAAUGUUCUUUGUGUCUUCCUUUUUGUGUACUUCUUUUGCAAGAUUGAGUUAUUGCAUUGAGACUAUGAGUGAGUGUUUUUCUUUUUCUUUUCUUUUCUUUUGUGGGUUUUUGCUUUUUUGAUCAGUCUGAGAAAUUGAAGUGAUCUGCUGCAAAACAACUGUUUGACAUUUAUGAUUAUUUUUUUUGAGAACGGUGAAAUAGUGAAGUAAUUAUGGGGAGAAGGGGUUUUUUUUCUUUUUGGUGUUUAAAAAUAUUUCAAAAACUUCUCUAAAUGGUAGAAUUGAUUAAUAUUUUCUUUUCAUUCUUUUGGGAUUUAAAGGAUUUGAAUUGAGUUUUGUUAUAAAUAAUAUAUUAGAAUUGUGUUUUUUUGGUUGAUUUCAGCUCUCUUUGAUACGACUUCGUUGAAAUGUAUUCUUCCUUUCCCAUAAUUUUUUAGUGUUAAAAAUUUGAUAACUCAAAAAGUCCAAUCAACCCAACCUUUGGAUUUUCUAUUACCUAAAUAACUUUCUGAUGUUCAUGAGUUUGAUUGGUUUAUAACUUUAAUUUGCCUAAAAUUACUCAAAUUAACCCUAAAACUUAUUAUUAGUUUUCAAAUGUGUAUAUAUAUAUAUUUUUACUUAUUAGAAUAAUAUUAUAUAUUCAUAUAUUUAUUUGAAUGUUGUACUUUUUGUUUGAUGACUUAUUCCCAGCAACUCCUAAAAAUAUUGUUUUUAGCAAUUUAGAAAUAAAAAUUUCAUAAGAUAAAAAGAGAAAAUAGAUUCCAAGAGUUAUUUCAAAUCUUAGUCAACACCUUUAAAAACAAAUAAACAAAAAAGUUUCUUUCUUUUUUCUGGGUUGGGAAAUCUAGGUGAGAUUUUCAAAGGAACUGUUAGUAAAACAAUAUUUGCUUCUUAAAAACUAAAAUGGGAUUAAUUUCUGAAAGCAGAAAGAUAUAUAUAUAUAUAUACAUAUUCACGUUUUCUUUACUAAAAAUGUUCCUCGUUUUUCAUAUCACAGCAUAGGAAAAAUUGCUUUUUCUACUGUUAUUAUUUCAUUCUCCUCUCAUAAUUUUCAUACAUUAUAUCAGAACAAUAGUUAAAAAAUGUAAUAAUAAACAUUCUUCCAUUUUAUUUGGAAGUGUUCUCUUUAGAAAAUAACAGUGAAGGACAAAACAAUAACAUGUUUUAUUAUGAUAUAUACUUUUAAUAAUGUUAUGGAAUGACUAUUUUAUAUGAUUACAUUUUAAGAUAUCUAAUUAAUGAAGAGUCGGGACUGUAUAUAUAAUGAAAAUGAAUUGACAAAAUUAGUUAUAGGGAUAUGUAGAGACGAAAAUGAAAACAAAACCCACCAGUUCAGGAAGUGGCGACGUUUUUCUUUUCUUCUUUUAGAAUAUUAUCUUUUCGGUUCAAAAGUUCUUACGAAGCAUAUGUGCAUUUAGUCUUAAUUUUUUUAGAAUAGAUGUAUUUGUCUCUGAGAUUCAAUAUGUAUAUACUUUUAGUUGUUGAACUUUUUUUUUUUAAUAGAUUUCUUAGACCCUUGAAGUGUUUUUUUUCUAAAAAUAAAAUAACAAAAUAUGCUGUUAAAAGUUAAUAUAUAAGUUAAUUUUAGAGUUAAAGAGAUAGUUCUUUUAGAAAGUAUUUUUUCCAAUUUAAACCAAUAAAACACCUAUCUUAAAAUCGUAGUGGCUAAAAGACGACGUUUUGAGAUGUUCAAACAUGGCGAGAAUGUUGAGAACAAGUUAAUGUAGUUGAUGGAUAUUAAGAUAUACCUAUCUAACCCUCUCAUUCUAAGAAAAACGACAUUUUGUUAUCAUAGUAAUACCGAACACAAGUCCAUAUUUUUCAAAAUUCGAGAACUUUGUUUCAUGAGUUGAUGCUUUUAAGUUAACUAAAUAUGAUUGUUUGACAUGCAGAUGCAUAUGUGGGGACACGGUUCACAAUACAGAAAAGGACCAGAAUCACUCAAAGGCACACAACCAACCGCAAUGCUAAGGCUACCAUGCUACUGUUGCGCAGUUGGUUGCAAACACAACAUAGACAACCCUCGUUCACGCCCACUCAAAGAUUUCCGAACCCUCCAGACACAUUACAAGCGCAAGCACGGCAUCAAGCCUUUCACUUGUAGAAAAUGCACCAAAGCCUUUGCUGUUAAGGGCGAUUGGCGAACCCACGAGAAGAAUUGUGGCAAGAUUUGGUAUUGCUUUUGUGGCUCUGAUUUUAAACAUAAACGCUCCCUUAAAGACCACAUCAAAGCCUUUGGUCGCGGCCAUGGUGCCCUUGGCCUUGAUUACUUUGACGAUGAUAAUGAACCCUCUCCUGAACUCGAUGAAGAUCAUCUCUUUGUUCGCCUUCGUUAAUCACGUCUUCUCUCUCUUUUUGUUGUGUGGUUAAAUAAUAUAUAUGAUGUUUGUUGUUGUAAUUUGUGUUGUGUAUAUGAGGAGGAAGUUGAGAUGGGGGACUGUGAUACAAAGGUGCAAAUUGAAAUAUUGAUUUAGUUGUAAAAUUUUUGAUAUGAUGUCGAUUUUUAUGGCAAUUUAUAAUAUAUGAAUGAACGGAUUAUGACCCUUGAUGUUUGAUCAUAAAUAUGGAAACUCGGUUUCCAUGUAGAUAUUUAAUAUUUUUUUUAUAAGAAAAACGUAGAGUUGUGUGAUUUUGUGUGUUAAUAAAAAUUGUUUAUUAUAGCUCGUUAUCUUUGUGUAUACUACAUCCAAUCAUUUAAUUAUAGUUUGUCACACGAUAAACUUUUAUUGUUUUUUUUGUGUGUUUAUGUAGGAUUAGAGUCGUUGGAAUUAAAUACUCUACCACCUUUAAACAUUGUUCUUUAUUUAUUGUUCGAAUAAACUCGUUGUACUUCCUUUCAAAAGUGUGAAUUCAUAGUAAUAUUGACCUAUAAUAAAUUUAGAUUGGUCCAACCAUUCACUUGUGACCGAUUCAUGAUGUAUUUACUUUUGUGACUUUUUCCUAACCUUUGUCUAUUUCACAAUGUUCAAACUAACUUAUUGCAUGAAAUACCACACAAAGGUCAAUUAGAAAAACAAAAUUAGAAUAAACCAAUUGUGGUUAAGCACCUAUUCAUGUAUGUAGUUAAGGUGGUGUUUGAGGCAAUAAGUAUUUAAGACGUAGUAAUCAUCAUUUACUACAAUAAAUACUAUUUAAAAAUUUUCAAUUACUUACGUUUAACACUAUUUUGAAAUUAAUUUUUUUUAUAUCUUUUGCUAUUUGGUGCAUUUUUUUACUAUUUUAAUUCUAUCAAUUUUUAUUAUUUGGUACAUAAUUUAUUUUUUUCUCAAACUAAAGCAGUUUAUACCUUCGACGCAUAUUAUUAUUAACCAAACUAAAAUAGUUUAUACCUUCAACGCAUAUUAUUAUUAACCAAACUAAAAUAAUAUACGUGAUCGAGUAGUAAGAUAUAAGCCCUAGGGGCAAUAUUGGGAUAUUCUAAAAACAAUAGGGUUAUUAUAGUAAAUUUGUUCCUCGUUCCAGAAUGGGCCGAGGAAAGUUCGUGGGCUUUAUUUAGCCUCUCGUUAUCGGCUCUACUCGAUCUCUAACUCAUCCCUAACCUUGGAAUCUCAUUGUUCUCUGUGAAACGAAAUUGAAUGAGUGCUUCCAUGGCGUUAGCGCCAAGCUUAAAUCACAGCCCCAGGUUUCCACCAUGGAACGGAUCAAAGAUCGUGGCCUGCUCAAACUCAAUCAACCCUCCGAUAAAUUCCACCAGUUUCCAAUCAUCCUCCGUCGCGAAACGCUGCUUACGGUGCCAUACCGUUUACUCGGAUGUCGAUAAUUCUCCUUCCGCUUGCGUCUUCCAUGGCCACAUCACUGGUUCGUAACGUACACUCGAAAUUUUAAAAUUAGGUCUUAGAUGUUUUUCCGAAGAGUGGGGAUUCGUCUUCACAGUUUUUAUAUUCUUUUGAGAAAAGCUUAUAUUGAGGUUGAAAUAGUACGUGAAUCUGGUUUUAUUAAUAGGGGAGAGGGGGUUGUUUGCUUUGUCGCCCCCGCACCAGGGGAUUGACGGUGAAUGGAGUGACGGCUCCGGUGUGAUCGUUUAUAAAUGGAAUGAUAAAUCAAAUCGUCCUAACUCCGGAACUGGCAACUGGAAGAGACGGUGGAGUUGUUGCUCCGAGUACGAUGAACGUGCACCUCCUUGCCGUCGGGGAUGGCACGUUUCUUACGACGAUGGGUUCACUUUGUAUUAAUAGAAUAGAGUGUCGUCUCUGCCAAUAAUUAAUGGCAUUUGUAUAAACCGUAAGAUUGAUGGCAUUCGUAAAUUGCUUGAAUGUUAUAAGAAGUGUAUUGUAAAGUGUAAAUUGCUGGGAUGUUAUGAAAAUUAUAUUACAAACAGAUUUCAAAUACACGCUCCAAACAUUGAAUCUCAAUCAUGUUACAUUACAAAAAUAAUCUCAAUACAGGCAUCAAACCUAAAUUAGGCAUGUAAGGUUGAUCAACCUUGCAUGAAGUAAAGAUGUGAACAUCUAAGCUAAUGUUGUGAAGUUUUAAUCAAAUUUGAGUAACGUUCAAAUUCGCAACUAACAAAUUAAACAUUAGCAUAUAUUUAAUUAAAACUUGCUAAAUUUACACAAGUCAUCUUCCAAAAACAUUAGAUUGUAUGAACAAAAUUCUCAUAAAACAGAGACGAGAGAGAUGAGUGUGAAUGGUGAAAAAAAGCAUCCGAUUCUCAUCAUUCAAGAAUAAGCAUAUAUAUAUAUGUGUGUGCAUAACAACAAAUUCAUACACUCUCCGAUCAAAUCUCCGGUGACGCCACAAAAGCUGCCUAAUACGAUCCCACCGUCUUGAACGAAUCAUGAACAUGCCGGAGCAUAUCCUGGUCCCGAUUCCACUCCGGCGUCGGCGCAUUCACAAAAUGAGCAUACAGCUUGUUCUUUGCACAAGUCACCGAGAUCAAACUAUGAGUUCCGGCGCCGUCGAUCUCGUACACAUAAUAAACCUGUCCAUUCUCAUCCUUCUUCUCUUCCGCCAAGAAGCUCUCGGCGCUCGCGAUUUGAUCCUGCAAAUUCACGUCCGAUAGAGCCAGGUUAUUCAGAAUCACAUCCUUCGGCCCUAAUUGCCGGAUUCCAGCCAGGAAAGUUAGGUAUUCUUUCUCUGAUCGUUUCUUCGGAUUGUAAAAUUCACUAUCGGUUCCGUUGGUACCUGCGGAAAUUAGUAGGUAGAAUUAAUUUUCGGAACGAAUUGAGCUAUUAGAUAUCUUUAAUUUAGGGAUUUUGGAGUACCUUUUUCGACUUUGGAUACUAAUCGCUCUUUCCAUCCUUCCGGCACGUCGUAGAUGUAUUCUGCUGUGUCUUUCUUGUUGGCGUUGCCACCAAGGCCACCGUAGUUGGCGGCGCUGGCGGCAGUGCCAUAGUAGACAUUGAAAGCGGCCCCGGUAUCGGCGAGGGAGGGUGUAGCGGUGCUAAGGAUCGCGGCUACGGCGAUGGCAGUGGCUGCGAUGGAGAUUGGGGCAGUUGAUGAAAGUGGAGGUUUGGAUUGGAGAAUGGGAAUUUGGGGCUUUGGUAACGAUGAAGCUUGCGGUGGUUUUGGGGCGGUUGUGCCGGUGGAGGUUAAGAACGCCAAUGGCGCGAUUGCUGUGGCCAUAGUGAUUGAUUUUCGUGGAUUUGGGCUUCUGGUGUAUCUCCUCGAACAGGAUUUUCUCCUUAUCCAUUCUUUUUCUAUUUUCCUUUAUUUUUCUAAAUCGUUUUUUUUAUUUUUUGAAUUUAUGUACUUUUUUUUCUAUUUUUGUAGAAUCCCAUUUAACUUUAUAACUAACCCCUAAUUUAUGUCUUUACUCUCUUCUAUGGCUUGCUCACGUUGAUGAUAUCACAUCACGACGAAUUAAGUUUUUCUUUUUCUUCAUGGUUAUUAAAUUUUGUUUUUACAUUCACCAAAUUGAAUUUAAAAUCCAUUUAAUAUAACAUUAAUUAACUAUUUGUUAAAUUUAGAUAAAUACAAGCAAAAGUCAAAAGCUUGAUGAAACAACUAAUUAAUAUACGAGCAUAUGUGGAUUGAGUAGUAGGUGUGGAUGAGAGAUUGUUAAAAGAGAAUUGUGAGGAAGUAGUAUAGUGGCGGAAGCUAACCACCUACUUUUCUUCCAUCUGCGAGCCCAUUAUCCAUGAUCCCGCAACUACUCUACACUUUGGGUAUUAUCCCACGAUCAUAACCUACUCAUGAGUAAUUAUCUACGUUUCGAGCAUAACUCAACUCUCACACUAACAAAGGUAAUCCCCAUUACGUGUCAAGGAGUUAAUGUCUCCAAUAAAAAAUAAAAGAAAAAUAAUUAAAUGUAGCUUGGACAUCACAUACAUCUCACAUAUUAUCUAAUUUACGUAUUAUCUGGAGUUGGAGAGUAGAAAGGUGAUCCUAAUUUAGAGAGAUUGUUUUUUAAAAAGAAAAAUAGAGUAGAGAAGUGGAGGUUGAAAACUCCGCCAUGUAUAUUUACGUAUUAACUCUUCUAACAAAAAAGAAAUGUAACGGUCACUAUUCUUACCUAAACGGACAAAGAAACCCAACCAAUUAGAUAUUUUAAAGCCAUCAAAUAAAAAAUAAGCUUAUUACAAAAAUGCCCUCGAAUUCACCAUGCAAUCUCCCUUUUCCGGGCAGGGGUAUUUCGGGAAUUAUCCCUAAAAUGAAUGGCCAAUGGUUAUAUUGCAUACUGACCGCCAAAAAAGCCCUAGGUACAGCCGUACAGGCGCGAGCCAUAGCUUUUUCUUUUUCCCUUCUCCGAUUGAAUUAUGCACUCCCUUCAUUUCCUUCAUUUCUCUUCCUCUUUUCAUUUCCCUCCACUACCUAUAUCUUUUUCAAAUCUUCUCUCACUUCUUUAAUCAAUCAAAAUUUUUCAUUUCUUUUUCUUUCCUUUUUAUUUCAUUUCAAUCCGUUUCUCUUCUUUCGAUCGCCAUGUCUAAAAGGUCAGUUUCUCGCUUUGACUAUGCUUCUUUAUACGUUCUUGUUGAUAUUGUCUCUUGUUUUUCAUGAGUUUUGAUGAUUGGAUUAUGGGUUCCGAUAAUCGCUUCUUGAUAUUGUUUUUUUCAUCAUGGUUCUUUGGUAUCUUGGUUUUGUUUAUUAGGUUUUGGGCUAUUUCGACGGGAUGGGUUCUUUAACGUUUGGAAUUUACGUUUCAUGAAAAGUCCUUUUGUGGGGUUGUUAUUGAUGCGUUUAUUUGAACUUUGACUUGUUGUUCGUACGGGUGUUAAUUUACUUUGCUGGUUUGUUUAGGGUCUUAUGCAAGUAUUUUGCGCAUGGAGCUUGUUUAAAAGGGGAAUAUUGUGAGUUUUCUCAUGACUGGACGGCUCCACCAAGCAAUGUAAAUAUUACUUUCUCUCCUCUGUGUUGCCAUAUACUAUAAUGGUGUUCAGACUAUUGUUUCUUUCUGAUGCAUCGUCCAUAACAGGUUUGUACUUAUUAUCAAAAGGGAAGGUGUGCUUUUGGCAGUCGAUGCAGAUAUGAUCAUGUUAAAGUUUCUCACGCCGAAUCAUGUUCGAAUGUUCAGCAAUCUCAUGGGUCUGAAUCUGUUUCUGUAGCUCAUUCUCAAUUGUCAAGGCCACUUUCUCCCUUUUCUGGAUCUACAAGCGAGCUUGCUAGUUCAGAGAUACCCAGUCUUCCCUUGCGCGAAGAAGCUGCUUGGAGUGGAGAGUUUGUGCGUCCAGACGGUCUUGAUGAUUGGGUGAAUGGGGAGGCAAGGGUUGUUGGUCCAGCUGAUAUACCUAUUUGUUCUUUUGCUGCGGCUGGUGGUGACUGUCCGCGUGGUGAAAAUUGUCCUCAUAUUCAUGGGGACUUAUGUCCUACAUGUGGAAAACAGUGUUUACAUCCUUUUAGGACGGAUGAAAGGGAGGAGCACUUGAAGGCAUGUGAGAAAAAGCAAAAACAUCUAGAGUCUUUGAAACAUAGUCAAGACAUAGAGUGCAGUGUUUGCCUGGAGCGUGUGCUUUCUAAAACCGAAACAGCAGAGAGGAAGUUUGGGAUUCUAUCAGAAUGUGAUCAUCCAUUUUGCAUUUCUUGUAUUAGAAACUGGCGCAAUAGUUCAUCUACCUCUGGAAUGGAUAUUAAUAGUGCCUUAAGAGCCUGCCCAAUUUGUAGAAAGUUGUCAUACUUUGUCAUUCCAAGUGUCAUUUGGUAUUCUUCAAAGGAAGAAAAGCAAGAGAUUGUUGAUAGCUACAAGUCAAGGCUGCGGUAAAUUUAUGUUCUUUUAUUUCUAAUUUGUGAAUGCAUUAUGGAAACUGUUCAAUUGCUUUCCAUUAUGUUCACGUUUUCUGCUUCCCUUUUGUUAUGUUUUGUUUUGUGUGCGUGUGUGUGUUUAUAUAUAUAUAGAUUUAUUUAUUUAUUUAUCAAACUCAAUUUAGUAAAUUGAAGUUAUUACAUAUCAAAUGUAAUUGUACGAACUAUUAUUUAGAGAAUGGAAACUGCAUAACUACUAAAGUAAACUGCAUAACUGCUAUUAUUUGAGAUGAUUUCGCUACUCUAAUCUGUGAGUUUUUAUCAUUUUCAUAUUCAGAUCAAUAGAUUGCAAGCACUUCAACUUUGGAAAUGGGAACUGUCCUUUUGGAUCCAGCUGCUUUUACAAGGUAAGUUUACCUCUGAAAGCAGUCACUUCAGUUUCCUUAUCCUAAUUGUACUCUUUCAAGCAUGAUGGAUGUUUUUGUACCGCCUUUUGUGUUGUGAGGACUUUCCUAUUUUCCUGAAUUUUUAUUGUUCUUCAUUUUCUUUUCAUUAUGCCCUUGUCCAAAUUGUUUUCUUUACCUUUUUUAUUGAUCAUUGAUAUGCAGCCUGCUGAAUGAAAAUCUCGACCUGUUUGGUUUUGCUAAUCUGCAUACGCCCUAGGAUAUCUGUUAAAUAGUACAUGCUUGCCUACUGGACAUGAGUUUACUAGAAGAAAUCCUUUUUGAGAUCUGAAUAUGGAUAUCUAGUAUAAUGGAAUAUUCUUUUAUCCUAAUUAUUUUCCGUUGGUUUCAUAAGCACCCCCAUCUGCCAUGGCUAUCCAAUCAUGGCUGGUUAGAUAAGGCUCAAUCAUACUCACAUGACUUUUUUUAAUUAAUUUAUUUAAAAAAUGAUAGUUCUGUUUGAGGGGUGGCUAAGAAUUUAAAAGCGCUUUUAAAAUGUGUGAGCUAAUUUUUUUACUUUACUUGAAUUUUUUAAUAACCAUCUUCUUCAUUUUUCUAUUUAAAUUUUAAGAAUGUUUAAAAAAUCUAAACCUACAUUUGAAACAGAAAAAAAUCCCCAAGAACUAUCAUUUUGUUUUUAAAUUUUGGUUGAGAAUCUUCAAGUGUUCUGAACCCCUAUUUGAAACCAUUUCAUUUUUUUUGUUUUUGUUUUUGUUUUUUUAAAUUAAGCUUGCACACACCGUUUUUAUCUAUGGGUUUUAUUAUGUAAUCUACUUUUUAUGAGUUUUAAAAACCAAGCUAUGUUUUGAAAACAAACUUGUUUUUGUAUUGAGAUUCAACCUUUCAUUGGUCUGAUUUGGAAGUCGCAUAUAUUUCUAGGAGAUAUGAAGACCACUAUGGAGAAAUGAUGUGAAAAGAAGCUAAUUUUUCAUUAACUAGAAACCAAAUGGUUAUCAAAUAGGGCCUAAAAAUAUAAAUUAGGAAACGAUCAGCAAUCUUGCUUAAUAUUUGCAAUUACUUUUGUCAUCCCUCUUCGAUAAUUUCUAUGGCUCAAUUCAGGUACAAAGUGAUGUGCUGACUACUUUGCCUGGUUGGCUCUGCCACCUCUAUGUAGUUGUAGUAGUGUAGUAAUUUAGUCUUAGUUAAAUUCCUAGUAAGAAAAAAUUAUAUAUUUUGGACACCGAGAUUGUGUUGCUAGACCUGCUACAAUUGAUUGAUGGGAUCCCUCUGAUUCAAAUUAAUAAUAAGUUAUAUUCCUACAGACUAACAGGUGUUUGAUUUGAAAGUGUUAUCAUGGGAAAAUAAAUGUAGUUUAGGACUGUAGCAAGGCUGGCGGGACCUCUCCUAAACUGCAAUCUGUUAAUCUAUAUAUAUACUUCAUUUGCCAGUCCUCUGCGCUCGUCUAUUUUAGAAAGAACAAAUGCAACUGCUGUGUCACAUCUUCUUCAUCUCAUAUGAGUGUUGCAAUCUCAACAACCCUUAUAUUUUUUGGUGACGUGUCAUAGGUGUCACAUAAGCAGUGCUGUUGCUGUUCAUUUUCAAUCAGUUUUUGUGGUAGAUGUUGAAAGAUGUGAUUCAUAGUGGAUUUUAUCUUCAGAUCUAUUCGCAUUCUGUUUGUCAUUUAAUUUCAUUAGAGCAGAUUGGCUUUCCAAUGAUACAAUGUUUGUUGUGUUCCAGCAUUUGGUCAUUCCUGGUUCAUACACAUGGAAAUAUCACAGGCCACCUCCACGCCAACCACAAUCAUGGAGAACUCCUCCAAGCAGAUCUAAUAUUGUCGAUAUGGAUGCCUUUUUUGAAAUGUUCGAAGACUUGGAGGAUUUGGAUUUUAGUGAUGAAGAUUUAGAUUUUGAAUAUUUAACACUUUUGGAGAUGGCACUAAUGCAGUUGGGUUGUGAAGCUAACUCGUCAAGUGAUGAAGAGUCAUAGUUCUUGGGCUACAGUUUUCUUCUUAGGUUGUUGUAACCUGAUUUAUGUUGGGUGUUUGGCGAGUUUCUUCUAGUCUUGCCAAAAAACUUUGAAUAUUUGCUUCUCUGGCAUUUUUGGCCACCUAGCAGUGCUUUUGUGCAGUAAGAUAAGCUUGUAGACUUUUUUAAUUAUCAUAAAUGCCAUGUUAAUGGGGACUCGUACUUUGCAAAAGGCAACAGUCAUUUGUCCUGGGGAAAAUUAGUUACCAAGUUAUCAAGAUGACGAUGGUCUAUUUAUGGAAGAACCUUUUCUUUGCGUAGAUUAUAAUAUGGCUUCUUAAGUGUUGUAUUUUACUACUGGGAAUUAGGAAUAUCUGCUACAGCUAUCUUCUUCGUUCCUAGAUUUUACGGAGAGUUCCAUUUCUAACCCUCUUGCUUACCAAAACCAAUUGUGUGCUCCUUAUGUUGAUCCUUAACAGAUUGGUUGUUUAUUAUCCCAGUAUGCUGGUAAUUUGAAGUGAAUGUUCGAUUAAUAUGUUCUAUUAUCUAUGAAGUAGUUUUUCCCAUAUGUGGACUUUUGCACACGAUGAUUGUUUUUUGAAUGAAGCCUUAUCUGUUUGCAACUGGGACGUGUGUUGCUUCUUUACUUUCAUUCUUGUAUGCAUUUUUUUUUGUGACUAGCUGUAUUAACUUCAAAAUGAGAGUCAAAUUUUCAAUGUGAUUUUCUCACUGCAGCAUGCACAUCGGGAUGGUCGGUUGGAAGAGAUAGCUCUGCGUCAUAUUGGGAAUGAAGAUGGUCUCACUGUUAUAGCUAAAAAUCUUAGGUCUUGAUUUGUGCAUUGCUUUAUAUUGACCAUUUAUUGUGCAUCUUUUACCUUAUAAAUUUGAAGCUAUUUUCAGGUUGUCGGACUUUCUCAGUGACUUGCAUAUCAGGUGAAGAAUCCUUCAUUCAGGUAUGGAACACACUAACCACUCAUCCUUUGACCCUGAGGUUGAAAGUUCAUACUUUAUGCCAACUUUUGCUAUCUAUUAAAUAUUUCGCAUUUUAAUAUGAUUAAUCAUUUGCCUUUAUGGAUGGGGUAAACUUCAAUAAUUAACCUUGAAAAUAUCAAUUGAAACUCAACAUUUAUAUUAGAAACAGAGCGAAUUAAUCUUCUGGCACUGUCGCUAUCACUAUAUUUCAACACUUCUCUGGCUCUAAAGAGUCCAUGAAACGCUAAACUCUUUGCAUUUUGUAUUUAUCUUGAGUUACAAUAUAUUUCACCUGUCAUUUAAAUAUCUUUUUUAUUGUUGGUCUUCGUUAACACUUGCAAUGUAAUCGAAGAGUUUGAAAAACCCAUUUCAGAUGUCGAAUUGCUUGGUCUGAAGGUCUGAUAUUGAGAAAUGGAAGGUGGGGGUAUCGAACACGGUGCUUCAAACUUUGUGUUCUACAAUAUCAAAAUAAAGCUAAAGACAUUUAUGUCAUAGUGAGAAAUGAAUGUUGGAAACCCAAGCUUGUUCUUCCAAUGAUAUGGUGAAAUAAAGAAUCAUAACAUUCACAUCUCACAUGUUGAAUUUCAGCUGAAUAAUAUGUAUGGGUUCUACAAGUUGUACUAAACAACUGGAAAGUCACAGAAUGUAUUUUGGUUUGGUAUUUUAAAAGAAAGAUAUGUGGGAAUGUCAAUGUUGUAUUUUGUUUUAUACAGAAACAAGUAGAAAAAAAAAAGUAGCAUCAGGAUUUGCCUUCGGAUGAGACUUAGUACUCAUCAAAUUUACAAUAAAAAAAACUGUGAUUUUUUUUCUUCUUUUUAUUGUCAUUUUCAUUAUCAUUCUCUCUUUCUGUUAGUGAUGAUUUGUUGUAUUAGUCAAAUAUUGUUUCCUUCUUUCUCACCUGAAUGAAUCAAAAUACUUGUACAAUUAAUAUAUGUUUCUAGAUGGUUAUUUUUUGCUAUAUUUGUCAACAUCUCCGUAAGUUUUGUCAUUUUUUGAAUAAUUUAUAAGUAUUAGUUUAGUCAUUUUAUCAUGUGAUUACAAAGUCUUAUUUAUCAUUAGCUUUACUCGCACAUCCGACUGUAGUUAUCACCUUUAAAUUUGUGAUGAGGUCGUUACAUAACGAGUUUUAUAUAAUUUGUAAGAAAUAUUUAAAAUAAAUUGAGAUUGCAACCACAUAUUUUUUUUUAUUUUUCAAAGAUGAAAAGAGUUUGUGAAAGCAAUUUGAGGUUACGGUCUUUCAUAAUUUAGUUCGAAUUUCAAAGAUGCUGUUGGCUUGUAAUAAUCUUUCAAAUAUAAAGUCUCGAUUACUUUUCUUUCUUGCCUUCAAAAUUCUUCGGAUAUUGUUAAUUAUAAAGUAUGCAUUCACACUUUAAUUUAUUCAUACUAUUUCAUUUCUAAUUUUGAGCAUUUCUUUGUCAUUUAAUUUUAUGCCAUUCAAUUUCGAUUUCUCAUUUUGAAAAUCUUAGCAAUGUUUUGGAGUAUACGUUACUUUUCUAAACAUGAGGCCAUUCUUUCUAAAAAAUUUAGGGUUGGCGAGUUAUAUAAACAAUUAAUGUUAUGUAGAUGUUUACUUUUAAUUAGAACCUAGAGCUAUAUAAUUAAUUAUUACUCGUUAACAAAAUAUCUUAUUAAUUAUGUGUAUGUAUUUUCCUUGGAAAAUUAAUAAGAGAAGGGAUUGAUAAAAAAUAAAAUAAAAAUAAAAAUACAAGUUGUUGUUUCAUUGUUUUGAGUAAAUAUGCAAAAUAAUUUUAAAUGACUUUAACUAACUAAUUAAUCAAAAUACAUUCAAAUAUCAGUUUUAUAUAUUCUUAUUAUAUUUUGGAUUUUGUUUAUGCAAUUUCAUUAUCUAAUAUAUGUUUAAAUGUAUUCUCAUGCAUAAAAAUUUAAAAAGAUAAAUAAAAAAGUUGGAAGGAAAAUUAAGUAAAAAUCUUCAUAGUUGAAUUAUUUAUUUUAAACAUUAUGAAGGAAUUUCAAUCAAUUUAUUUUGUGUAUAACUUAUUUUAUUUGGUCGUACGAAAAAGAAAAAGAAAAUUAAAUAGUUAACAAUUUAGUAGUAUUAUUUAAGAAAAUGAUGUUUUUUAACCUACUUUUAUUUAAACACUCUCGAUAAAAUAAAAGUUUGCUUCAUUUGUUAUUUUUGACAACUCACCUUUUUAUUAUAUAGGAAGUCUUUUUAAUUAAUUUCAAAUUACUAUAAAUCAAGAAUUUAUUGGUGGAGGUGAUGGCCGGAGUUGGUCAACAGUCAUUUAGAAAUGUAAUUAAAGGUCGGUUGAUGGAUCCUUAGAAAUGACAACUAUAGUCUAAGGUUGGCCACCGAAGAUCAUCAAAUACAUUGUUAGAGAUUGGUAGAAGUUAGAAGGCAACGCUAGAAAAUUGGAGAGAAAUUAAGCUUUAAAACAUUCAAAAUAAUUCAUUUGUCCAUAAACCAACUUAUUUUGUAAGCUCAUUCUCUAUUUCAUGUUUAGGUGGUUGUCAUUCUUUUUCGAAACAACUUACCCUUUUAGUUAAAAAAUAUUUACACGUACAACAAAUAAUCUAAAAUUCUAUAUAUAUAUAUAUAUAUUUCCUAAAAAAAUAAAAUAAUUAAGUUUGUAACAAAAUUACGUCAACAUUAGAUUAGGGUAUAUGAUUUUCGUGCUCUCCUAUUAAAGAUGCAAAUCAUUAAUUUAAAGGCAAACAAAUUUGUCGUAUUAAUUAAAUAUAUUUGUUCUUAUACAAAUACACUUUUUUGAACAAUAAUUCAACCUUUACCUCUCAAUCCAAUUCAUUCCAUAAAAACAAAAACAAAAACUCUAAAUCCAAAUUCCUAAUUUGAAAAUUUGACCAAUUAACCUUAAUUGGAAAAAAUGGGGAGGAAUAAUCCUAAAAAUAACCAUCUUUCACAAUUACUGUUCAUAUUAAUUACAACGUUUCUUUGUACCAUUUUUUUGCCAAUUGGUUAAAACAUCGUUUUUUUUUUAAUUUAUUGGUUCAAUUUCAUUUCCGAUGGGUUCAAUAGAUCUUGAUAGUUUAAUGUUCAUUUAAAUUUUUUCAUCUAAAACAUGUUCAUCCAUUGUAUGACAUAAUUAAACCUAUUAUUGUUAUUGUUGUUGUUAUUUAUUUAAUCAAUUAAUGAAAAGGAAGAAACUAAAUUUAAAUGAUUAAUGACAUUAUAAUAUGUGUAAUCACUGACUUUGAAGUCCCAAAUUGAAACAGAAAGAAGAAGACACAACACCCUAUUUUUAUUGAAUAAAUCACACUAAAUUAAAAAAUAAUAAUCAUACAGCAAAAACAGAUCACUAACAACAAUGAAUCAUACAGUAAAGAGAUUCUAGAGAAUCUCCAUUUUAUUUUCCGAUCAAACUAACCUCUAAAUAUAAAAAUGAUAAUUAAUUAAUUAAUUAAUGUAUAUGAAUUAACAAUCCACAUUCGAUUUAAUUUAGAGCUUUAAGAGUGCAGGAAGAGAGAAGAAGAAGGAAGCAAAGAGCAGAGCCAUGGAGGUCGCAACAGGCAGGGACGACGCUGCUCCUCGGUCGAGCCCUGGCGCCGGCGCUGGAGCUUCCUGAGCGGAAACGAGGGCGGAGAAGAGAGCAACGAGGGCGAGGAAGACGACGGGGGAGAUCUUGGAAAUGGCCAUUGAAAUGAGGAAAGAAGAGAAGAGUAGAGGAGAAAGAAGAAUUGUGCGGGGGAAUAAUUAUGAUUUUUACUAUGUGAGGGGAGAGGUUAUUUAUAGUGAGGGGCAGGAUGGCGCGUGGAACCCACUGGGAUUAAGCGUCCAAUGAGGUGACGAAAAGUCGCGUGAGAAUUGUGGUCACGUGGAGGGUACGUGGAAUAUAAAAAUUGUAGACAAAUAAUAAAAUUCUUUACGUUUCGUACUACUAAUUGAUUAAUUAAUUCAAAUCCAUACCUAAGUCAGUAAUAGUAAUUAACUGUCUUAGUGACCAUCGUUUGUAUUUACGUGGAGGUUUAGGUUGAGUUGGUUCAAGAGAAUACUCAUUUUUAUAAUACAAUUUUCGUACAUAGGAUACACCUAUUUACCUACGUACUUUUAGAAAAAAAAAGACUAUUAAAACAGUAUGAUUCUAGAAAUUUUAAAUUUUUACUAAAGACACUUUGCCAAACAUUGUUUUUGUUUUCUUUAAAUAUGAUUCGGUUGAUUGAGUUGGUCAUAUGAGGGGAUUGUAGAAGUUGGCUAUCAAAGGUUGUUACCAUGAAUUUGAUUAUAAGAGGUGGUUAUUUGUCCAAAAUGGUCAUUUGAGAUGAGUGUCGGUGUUGGCUAUUACAAGUGGUUGUCUCACCAUAUAGUUAAUCAUUAAAGGUGGUUUUCGCCAAAGUUGUUGGAACUCGAAAGUGGUCGUUGGAGUGUACCAAUAUAAUCGUAUUAAGGAAUGGAAGGUCUACAAAUAAAAUGAGUGAAAACAUUAAAGAGUAACGGUUGAAUCGGUUAAAGUAAGAAAUUUCACUGUAGCAAAGUUUGAAGUGGAUGGAAAAAACCAUAAAAGUAGGUUUGUGUGUAGAAGGAGAAAACAACAAAAGAGGGAGAGAAGUUUGAAUUGAGGAAGAAAAGAAAGAAAACGCGGCGUUAGUUCAAAGGCAAUGCGCGGAGGGCAAAGUUGAGAUUUUAAAUUGGGUGGGGGAUGGGAGCUUUGAAGUUUGUUCAACCAAAACAGACGAAACGGCCAAGUGUGCUUUCCCCCCUCUUUUCUUCACUUCGAAUUCAUCUUUCUUUUUUCCUUUUAGUAGGUUUGUGUGUAUGUCUGACCUUCUUUCUUCUACUUUCCUCCAAAACGUAACCCCUUUUCACAUCUGACUUGGGACAAAUAUACAAUUCCUUUCCCUCUUCCACAAUUUUCAAUCUGUCUAAUUAAUUUAUUUUUAUUUUCUGAGUUUCAAAACGUUAUAUUUUUAGUUUUGUUUAAAUUUGACUGCCAAGUGCGUCAGUGAGUCAUGGGGAAUAGUAAAGGGUCUUUUCCACCCACCACAUUCUUCUACUCCUUUGGUUUGCUCAACUUUUAAUUGGUGGUGUCUUCCUUGUGAAAGUUACUUCAAACCCAGCUUGGAUUUCUGAAGCUUUUAAUGUAAAAACAAAGUGUUUAAAAAUAUAAUUUUCAUAUCUUAAUUGUUUUGCUCUCAAAACCACCACUGUGAGAUCAAUUUCAGUCCUAAAUCAUUCUAAUUCAGUUGCUCUCCAGAGUUAAUACAUCCUCCAUUUAUAGGGUACUCAUAAAAAACAUAGAUAAAUGACUAAGAUAAAAUUGAAAAAAAGAUUAAUGUGUUCUCUUUUAAAGCCAACAUGACUGGAAAGCUUUUAAGAAAAAAUAAAUGAAUGAAAACUUUUUAUAUUAAUUUAAUAAUUAAUUCAAACAUGCUAUAACUAUUUUUUUUUUUACAUUAUGAUUGAUGCAACAUUGGUCUUUUCAGAUCAAUAACAAUAAUGUUACAUAAACUAACCUUAUACUAAUUACAUUUACUAUUUUCAUCUGACUUGUUGUGUCAACAUUAAACCAUUACUUAUAAAUUUAGGACAUAAUUUCCAAUCUUGUUUAAUCCAAUUCCUAAUCUUUAACACUUCAAUUCAUAUGUAAUAAAUAUUUUAAAUUUUGUUACUUUUUCUUUUGGUAAAGAUAUUGUAUUUAAAGCCUAAGAAAGAAAAAAUGAACAUGUAACGUUAAAAGUUGACAUAGGAGAAGCAAUUAAAGUACACUGAAAUUUCAUUUAAAGUUGCAUUCAAAUCUAAAGGGGAAGAAAAAAGAAUCCAAGUUGUUAAUUAUUUGGUAAAAUUUUGAAUCUGCAACCCCACCAUCCACAUAUCAUCAAACGGCCCACGUAAGACUCGCUCAAACCAAUUACUUAAUUCAUUUUAACCCAAAAUUAGCAUCUUAAUCUCACCUAUAAAUAAUCUCAAUUACCAUUCAUUAUUCCUCAGGCAGCAAUCCAUCAAUCAAUCAAUCAAUCAAUCAAUCAAAGGCUUCUUCGGUUCGAUCGCUCUCAUCUCCACCGGAAGUGAGUUUUCUGCCGAAGAAAGCCAAUUCGCUCAACCCCAUCCCAUCAUCCUCAAUGGAAAUGAAGAAGAUCGCCUGCGCUGCUCUUUUCGCCGCCGCUGCCAUCAGCGCUGCCGUGGCUGCCGAUGAGUCUCUCUCUCCCGGCGCUUCUCCCGCCGCUGCCCCGGGGCCGAGCAGUGCCGCCUCCGCCGCUCUCCCCGUUCUCGGUGCCUCAGUUGUUUCCUUUGUUGCUGCUUACUUCUUGAACUGAAGCCCCGUCAUGGAGAGGGAGAUCAAUUAUUUCAAAUUUUAUGUUUUUUUCUUUCUUUUUUCUUUCUUUAAUGUGUUUAUUUUCCAUGGAUGAUGUGAUGUGACGAAUUGAAAACAAUAAUAAUAAAAAGGGAAUCCGGAUUCUUUAUAUUGUUUAUUUUCCAAAUUAUGUUAUUCUCAAUCUAUAUUUAUUGUUGUUGCUUUAUAAACAACUUUGAUGAGAAAAUGUUAAUAGUUGGAUUAUAAAGUUUAUAGUAAAUUAAUCUCUAUACAUUAUACUUGAACCACAAUUACCCUUAACUAGUCUACACAUCAUAGCUAAGUUGCAUCAUAAUGGGUGAUUUUUGUUGCUUUUGAUUCAUGAUUAUAGUCAUGAGAUAAAGAUAUACUUAAUUAGGAGAAUAAGAAGUUUAAUAUUCUUUUUUUCUUCAAACAUUCUAUUAAGAAAAAUUAUUAUAAAUGGUAAAUUGGUGAAAAUAUUUACAUAUAAAAUAGUAGAUUUUAUCAAAAAUAUAUACAUGAUUGUUUGGAUAAUAAUAUAAGAAUAAUAUUAUUUAUAAAAUAAAUGAAACAGUAGUUUUAUUAAUUUUCAUCUACAGACAAAAGAAAGAAAGAAAUAUUUUUAAUAACAUUUGAAAGAGAAAAAAAAAAAAGAGCCUCUGUGUAAAAAUGGAAGAAAAAAAAGGUAUUUAAAAUAAAAAAUAGAGAGAAAAGUGAUUAAAUACAUAAUUAACGAAAAUAGUAUUUGAUAAUAAUAUCGAUUCUUUCUUUCUCUGUCUCUCUCUCUCACAAACAUUUCCAAGUUGAAAAUCAAUAACCCAAAAAUGGCCGCCAUUGUUACGCGCAGGUUAAGCUCCAACAUUUUCAGACCAUUUCUUCCUUCCACCUUUCUCAUUUCUCAAAUCCCUCACGAGCCCUUGACCCGAUUCCAUUCUCCACAUUCCGAUCCCUCGUUUCUGGGAUCUUCCCGACGAACAUCUCCUAACACUACGGUUGACCUCUUCAAUUCCAUUUCGAAAUCAAUCACUCACGAUUUACUGGUUCAGAAUAAAACCCUUAAUUUCAAUGACCCAAUUGGAUCUGGUUCUUAUUCGAUUAUGAAAUUGAGAAACCCUAGCUUCGUUUCCAUAUCGGAUUUCGAUCGGAAAUCCAGGUUUUCUACAACUUCCGAGAAGGAGAACGAGCAGAAACCGGAUGAUUUCAAGCACCAAGACAUCGAAGGGCCGACCGUGGAGAGAGAUCUAUCGGCGUUGGCUAAUGAAACCAGAGACGUGAUUGAAGCGAUGAUGAAGAAUGUAUACAGGCUAAGUAAAGCUAUGGCGGUUCUGGGUUUGGUUCAACUCGGCAUUGGGGCUUGGAUUUCGUAUAUAACCCGGGGUUCGCCGAUUACAGAAGUUUCAAUCCAGAGCUUUGUGGCGUUCGGGUUUCCUUUCUCGAUGGCGUUUAUUUUGCGACAGUCUUUGAAGCCGAUGAUGUUCUUCAAGAAAAUGGAGGAACAAGGUAGGUUGCAGAUUCUAACACUGAGUCUUCAGAUUGGUAAGAAUUUGAAUGCUCUGUUUGUUAGAGUACGAACUGUUUCUUUCUUAUGUGUAACUGGAUUGUCUGUUGGAAUUUUGUUUGCUUUGCUUUCCAGAUGAAUUCAUUUGAGUUUGAAAUUGUUGGAUUAUCUUAGUCAUAAUGAACAAAUGUUCUGUUCAUGUAAUGACCUGAAUUUUGAAAACAAUGAAGGUUAUUACACCACCUAUUUACAACACACAUACCAAUUAGAUCACGUUCAUGUUCACAUUUCAGCCUACCGUCUCGAUCCAAGAAGCUGUAUUAAAUUUGCCUUCACUUGUUUCUCGUGGGUAGUGUGUUUAAACCUUUGCAGUGCUAUCUAUUCGUUUUUAUGUGUUUGGUUAAUAGAUGAUUUAGGAAGCAGUAAUGUUUCCAACCACGUUUCAACCAUGAGAAGGUGCGAAAUUGACAAAGAAAAUAGUUGACAUCAUCUAACUGGCAUGUUAACAAGUAAAAUCCUUUUAUUCAAGAGAUGGAAUUGAUGUAAACAGAACAAAUUCUAUCCCUAAAUUUUGUCCAUUAACUUCUACGUCAUUUUUAAUUGGGUCAUCAUGCUAUUCUAGAGAGGUAUGAAAUAAAAAAAAACCAGUUCUAGACUUGUAGACAUCAGCAUCAAACUUGAAUGACUAAUUGCUUUUGGUAAAAAGUAAUUAUAAUAGAUAACAAUUUUAGUGGAGAUAGAAGUAUAUUGUUGAUAGACCCACAACAAACUUUAAAUUUAAUUGUAACCAAAAGAAAUUCACUUCUAGCUAUUCAAAUGAUCAAAUGAGAUGACUUACAUUUUUAAAGUUGAAUUACAAUACCUUCUCAAGGAAAAAAACUUACAAUUACAUUAAAUUUGGAGGUACUUAACUACCAGGGCAUGUAAAAAUAGAUAUAUAAAGAAAUAAAUCUCUCACAAAUAGAAUUUAGGAAGAAAAUAAAAUUGUUUCUAUCAAUUAAUAAAUAAAUAAAUCAAUCAAUAUAGACUAUUAUUUUGACUCAAUUUUAUUAAGAAUGAGCUCAAAAUCAGGCAUAAACAAAACGAAAAAUUAUAAUAGGGAAAGAGUAAAUACAUAAAAAGUAUGGAGGGGGGAUGAAUAUGAGAUUAGCGUUGGGUUUAAAUAUAUUGGAUAUAAAAUAACGUGUCAAUGAAGCAUGGAGUAAUAGAACAUAAGAAAGAGUAGAAUGGAGACACGUAACCCAAACCCCAUAAACGGGAUUUAUCGGAGCUUUUCUACCUCCAUCUCCUACACCCAGUUCUACAUAAACUCGCCACUCUCUUCAUUUUCAUUCCCCUAAUCUUUGUUUCUCUGACUUUUUCCAUUUUCAUCCAUCCAUAACUCUCCACGUAUAUCCCACAACCAGCCCUUAAGAACUCGUAACGUUUUUUGUUUUUAUUCUUUAUUUUUGGCCCACCAUUUGGACCCUCGAUUCCCCUAUAAAUGAGGAAUUCUAAUGUAAACAUUUGCUUUUUCUCUCCACCUUCGAAACCCCCCUUGCCUUUCUGAUCGUUGUAGGGUUAGUUUUCCCAAUUUCCUCUUCGUUUUCUUUUUUUUUUUUUUUUAAAAAUCUUUUCCUUCAUGUUUUUGCUUUUAAUCUUGUUCUUACCAUGUGGGUUUUUUCUGUUUUUUUCUUUUUUUCUAUCUUGUUGAUUUUCAGUGGAAGGAGGGGAGCGAAGAAUCCUCAUCUCGCUGGGAAUUUUAUGGUGUUUUUUUCUAUAAUCAUCGAUUACGCAGCGGUCGAAUAGAGCUUUCCCUCCUACACCCACCAACGAACAGGUUAGAAAUUAAGAAUUGAAGAAGGGUUUCUUUCUUUUCUCGAAUUUGAUUUGUGGGGUUCUUACCUUUUUUUUUUUUUUUUUUUUUGGCUUUCUGUUUGUUUCUUUUCGUAUUGAUUCGUCGUGAUUGUUUCUGGGUUAAGCGAUUGUGUUUUUGAAAGUGUUGAUGGUGUUGUUUUGUUGGUACUAACAGUGGUGAUUUUUUUUUUUUUGCUCAAAUUUCUCCUGCUAAUUUAGGGGGAUUUUUAAUCAAACUUGUGGGUGGGUGCAAUUUUAUGAUGGUUUUUCGGCGGAUGCUUGCAUUUUCUGAAGUUUUUGGACAAUACUAGCAAAUUUUUGCAUGUCUGGUUUUGUCUUAUCGACGAAUUUCACUUGUUGGCUCCCAAUUGUUUGUCAUGUUUUUUUUUUUAUUCUGUUGUUGAUCGAUCUCUCUUCCUUCUCUUUGCAUUGCGAUGUGAUGAACACCUCCUUUGGAGUGGAUUUUCGUUUUAGAAUAUAAUUGAGGUAUUUCUGUAUUUGAAUUACCAUUCUUUGAAGAAUUGUUUGAGUGAGUGGGUUUUUUCCCCCCCGUUUUUUUUUCUUUUUUUGUUUGCCUUAGGUUUCCAUUUUUGUUGAAUGGUUCUGGACUCCUAUUGAUUUAAUGGAAAGGAAUGAAUAACUCUCAAAGGGAGUGGAAAAGAAAACACCACAAACAACAAAUACAACCAUAUAUUAGUAGUCGUGCUGAUAAAUAAACAUUUAAGAACAAAUAACUUUUUCUGAAAAACUUAAAGAGCUUGCAAUUGAAUGAUGAAACAAUCGAUAAGGCCUUCACUAAACACUGAAAACCUUUGGCCACUUCAAACCUUCCAAAGACAACCAUGAAUGGAUCACCUGUCAUCAAAAGAAGCCUUUCGAAGGCAACAUGUUGCAAUGUUGUCAGUAAGAUUCUGAAAACCAAAUAGAUUAAUAGAUCAAAUCCACCGAUGUUUCAAACUCCAAAUCUUCAGAGCCAUUUCUACACAGGACUUCUUGAAAAAACCUUUUAGUUUUACGUGAACCUCUAUCCCAUUAAAAGAGAAGCUUUGGAAGAACCAUCACCGUCAAAAAAAAAACAAAGGUUCUCCUUAUGCAAGACAAUCCAAUUACCUAUUUUGACUGGAAAAGAUUGCUUCCCAUGCACAGCCACUGAAGUUAAGUCAUUUGGUACACCAACCAAAGUUAUAAUUUGAUCUCUCUAUGUAAGACAAGUGAAGCAACUUACUCAUGCAAGAUCUCGAGAUCUUUAGGCCCUACUACACACAUCGUUAGGAUAAAAUGAAUAAGAAAGUAACUCAAAAUUUUUGGAGUCAUUUGAAUGUGAAUUUCAUAAAGCAUUUGAUUUUCUUCUCAUCAUUUGGAUUGGAGUAUGGGUCAUAAUUCAAGCAGUGUCAAAGAUGUUUGGCUUUCAUAUGGACAAGUGCAACGACUUUUCCUGAUUAGGUCAAUGAGAGAAGAAUGUUAGAAGAAUGGGAUUAAAGAUGUAAACUAGAACCUGUGUGAACUGAGAAGCCAGUAUCCCUUUGGCUUUUCAGUUAAAGAUUGUAGUUAGUCGUUCUCCUUUUUCUUGAUGUGGAAUAGUAUCAUUACAGAUAACCAAUGAAUUAACAUAAUUUGCUUGAACGUUGCUUAACUAUAGUAUCUUUAACAUAUUUACCGUGGCUGAUGGACUAUUAUUUUACAAGAAAGGUAAGUAAUGGAGCAUAAAGAGACAGGAUGCCAAGCUCCUCCAGAAGCUCCCAAACUUUGUGCAAACAACUGUGGAUUUUUCGGAAGUGCUGCAACUAUGAACAUGUGUUCAAAAUGCCACAAGGACUUCAUCAUGAAGCAAGAGCAGGCCAAGCUUGCAGCAUCCUCGUUCGGUAACAUCGUGAAUUGUGGACCAAAUGACCAUGGCAAGAAGGCUGUUGUCACUUCUCCAACUAAGCUGGAAAUCGAACCAGCUGAAUCAUCCAUCAUUCCAACUCAAGCAACUUGUACUUCAUCAAAUGCAAGAAGCAUUGUAGAGAAGGUGAAAGAAAGCCCAAAUAGGUGCAGCAGCUGCAGGAAGCGCGUUGGUCUAACAGGGUUCAACUGCCGAUGUGGAAGCCUCUUCUGUGCAGUCCAUCGCUACUCUGAUAAACACAACUGCUCUUUUGAUUACCAGGCUGUUGGUCGGGAGGCAAUUGCAAAAGCAAACCCCGUGGUGAAGGCUGAAAAGCUGGACAAGAUAUGAUAGACCAGACCUAGGUGACCGAAAGACAAAACGAGGUGCAGCACCAAACCUAUGUUUUCUUUCUGUGUUUGAAUGAAAUCUAUUACGUUUUCGUGGUUGAUGUUUUUUUUGGUGAAAAGGGGGUUGUGUGCAAAGGUUUGUGAGGCAUGUCUGUUACUUGGAGGAGCAUAAUGUUGUGAGACAAUCCCACUGGAGAAACGGCAUCGAGUGUGAGGAGUGUGUGAUUGUAGGUUUUGCUUGUAAACCAGUCAGUUGUAUGGAUGGAUUAUGCUAUGCUUAAAUUUCUGCUGGUUGAUUUUGUCUCUUUUGGUGUGUUGAGCUUAAAUUAUGGUAAAAUAGAGUGAUGAAUUAUAUUUUUUUUUUAAAAAUAGUAACUUUUUAUGAUUGUCGAGAUCGACCAUGAUAAUGCUUCAUAAUAUUUGUUGGUUUGGCUCAAAGUGGUAGAAGGAGAAACAGACUGCAUUUAGAAGUUGUGUUGUAGUCAAGUUGAUGUCAUCGAAGGGCUGUUAGGAGUGGCAAGGCAAUUGAAAGUGGGUUUCAAUUUCAAGAUUAUGAAUUUUAGAAAACAAUUGUCACGUAAACAAAUUGCCAUGUAUGGGAAUUCAAUUACUUGUUUUCUUACAUGUUCUAAUAUAUCUUUUUUAAUCUUAGUUAAGAUUACAUUUAAAUUAUCUUAAAAAUAAAAAAGUAGAUAAUAAUUUAAGAAAGGUCAUGGACAUAGUUCAAAUCUCUACUUACAGAACUUGAAAAAAAAAAAGGUUAAUUAUAAAAUAACAUCAACAAUAAACAAAAAUAUAUAAAGAGUAGAGAUUUUUGAGUCAAACUCAAAUUUCGAAUUGAAAAAUCCAAAUGAAUGUCCAUGAUUUAGGUUGAACUAAUCUAACCUUUCUCUAAUAAUUGAGGUUUUUCGAGAUAAUGGAUUAUUUAAACAUUAUGUUAUCAUGAAGUUAGGUGUAUAUUUAUUCCACUCUGUCAUUUUUCACAGAUUCUGAAAAGAAGAACCAUAGAUAAAACAAUAAAUCAAUAAAACUUAACAGAAGAAAAAUCCCCCAAAAUUGGGAUGAAUUUGUUAGCCAUAACCAUAAAUAAAGAAAAAAAUAAUUGAAGUGGGAAGGGAAAGGAAAGGAAAGGGGAGGAGCUGAGCUGUGUAAACAGUAGUUGAUAUUUAGUGCAGAAACGACAUGUCGUAAUGGUAUGUCGGAGGGUGGGUAACGACACGCGUGGGUCAGUACUCAGCGGGCAAUUGGGUCACUUUGUGAUAAAGCGAUAGGGACGGUCCGGGCAGCAGUCCCGGUCACAGUUGGCGGCUUAAUUAUAAAUUAAACAAAGAAAGAAAAAAAAGGUGCAAACUUUGCUGCCUUUUGCGUUUACGUUCUCUGCUCCGUUUCUUUUCUUCCAAACCUCACCGUUUCAAUAUGAAUUCCCCGUUUUGCCCCCACAUUCUCUCCCCUCACUAUUCAUAAUUCAAAAAUGUAUAUAAUGGCUUCAGUAGACUAAUUCCAUACCACUUUUAAACUGCUUUUCCAUUAAUUCAUUCAUUCACUACUAAUUUCUCUCUAUAUAUUAUAGAUGAAUAAAAGUGAUUCUGUCCUUUUUAUUUAUUUAACACAAUUGUCCCCCACAUCUACUUUUGGUAUUGCAUAUUUUUACUUUUCAAACUUCUUGACUUGGUUCAUUUGAAUUGUUUUCAUAAAUAGCACAUCAAAUGCCUACUUGGAUUGGGUCUUUUAUUUAUUUUUUUCUCAUUAUUUCUAGACAUGACCAAAUCCCUCAAUAAUUCAUUCAUCCCUUCUUCUCGCAAUAAUGUUCAAAUAGUGAUUUCCAAUUUUGUCAAUUUUCUUUUUCUUUUUUCUUUUUUAAUUAUGAGAGUUACUGUAAUUUUUAUGGCUCCUUUUGUACUUGAUUCUGUUAGCAAAACAUUAAUAAAAGUGGUCAAUAUUAUUAUUAUUAUUAUAUUUAUCUCAGUUGUAAAUGUAAAAAUCAUAAUCAAUAUAUCAAACACAAUUAGUUAUUUAAUGUGACACUUAAACACAAUUGGAAAUACAAGAAAAAUCCAGCCAUGUGAGUGGGUAGAUUUUGCUACAAACCCGAUUGAUUUUUGUUUAAUAUCUACAUUUUCAAUUAUCCCAUUUUUUUAUUUCUACUUUCACUCCAUUUUAAUUAGUCUUUCAUACGGGUUCAGUGAUAAACAUGGAUAGUUGCUAAUAGAUAACGAUGUAUAUUAGUAAAAAUGAUAAAAUUUUAUUACAAUUUAUCAAUAUAUAACUAAGGUUGAUCAUGGAUCAAUCAAAAUCAUAUUUUUUUUCUUUUUACAAAAAUUGACCCCGGACCGACUAUAAUCAAUUUAGUAAAUAUUCAAACUGACAUUGAAAUCGAUGAGUAAGGAUCGAUUAGUUUUAUGUUUAGAAAUAAUUUUUUGAAAUUCUUAAUUUGAAACUUUUCGAAUCCGACUCUUGUUUUCCUAAUUGAUGGAGUUCAAUUUAGUCGGUCGACUCGAUUUUUUGGUCUAUCAUGCUCUCCCUUAAUAUAUAUCACUCCUGUUUUGCUAUGUUUGUAAAUAUUUUUAUCUAUUUUUCUAUGUUUGAACAGUUUUUUUUAUUGUUUAUUAAUGUUUUUGGUUUAAAUUUUUCAACUAUAUUUAUAUAUUACAUUUCCAAAAAUAGAAAUUAUUAUUAUUACUAUCUACUAAAUUAAAAAAAAUGUUGGAGGACUAAACUUACAAUUUAUUAAAAAUGUGAAGCUAAAAUUGAAUAUUUGAAAAUAUUGAGUGUAAGAAGAACAACGAAUUUUAACCAUAAUUACAUCAAUUAAUUAGACAUUAAGCUAAAUUAUCAUAAUAUAGAAAAUAAUUAUAGCAUAGCUUUAAAAAUAUGAAAAAUGGAAAUGAAAAAGAUAAAAAUCAAGAAAUUAGAAAGAAAAAGAAAAAAAAGGUAAUAAUAAUAAUCCGAAAGAAGAAAUUGAGGAACGUAAUUAAGCAACUAACGAUAAUGAGGAAGAACACGUCACAACCGAUUAAGAAGGCAAAGAAAAGUGGGAAGGGGUAAAAACGUAAAUCAAACAAAAAAAUAAAGGAUAUUUUAGUAAAGUAGGUAAAAGGAAAGAAAAAAAAAAUGUUCAAUACGCGUCUCUAUGAGGCCCAUAUUCCAUCGCCAUUACCGACCUUUCAAUCCCUUCAUAUUCCUUCCUUUCCAUCUUUCUCUCUCAUCCUCUCAAGAAAAACCCAACCCCUAAACCAAAUCUUCUCGUUCUUAUCAUCUCCCUUUGAAUCUCUCCGGGGAUUUUUUCUUCUUUUGUUUGAGGAUCCGAUCGGAAGCUAUGGCUCAGAGAACCGAGAAGGAGGAGACGGAGUUCAAAGUUCCCGAGACGAUCACGCUCUGCGUCAACAACUGCGGCCUUACAGGGAAUCCAACCACGAACAAUAUGUGUCAGAAGUGUUUUAAUGCCACGACCGCCACCGCAUCUAUGGCCAUCAAGUUUUCCGGUGAGAAAAGUCCGAGAUCUACUACUUCUCGCUCGCCUGAGAAAUUUCGCUUCGUUUCAGAGUCUAGGAGGAUUAUAACGGCGGCUGAUCGUCCCAAGCCUGACGAAUCCGCAAAACGAGAGGUGAAUCGUUGUUCUGGAUGUAGAAAACGCGUUGGAUUGACUGGAUUUAGAUGCCGAUGUGGUGACUUGUUCUGUGCGGAGCAUCGGUAUUCAGAUCGUCAUGAUUGUAGCUUCGAUUAUAAAGCGGCAGGUCGUGAGGCAAUCGCGAGGGAGAAUCCGGUGGUGAAAGCGGCGAAGAUCGUUAGAGUUUAAAUUCGUAGAUCGAUUGAUUACUAAAAAAGAAAAAGAGAAAAAAGAAUCCGAUGAUGAUGAAAUCUGUGCAAAAAAACCUUUGAGCUGAUUGUUAAAAAUUUUUCUUCAGAGUAUUGAGGAUUAAUUCCUCGAAAUAUCCUCUCAAUCAAAAAAAUUGAGAGAAGGAGAAAAAAAAAAUGGUUGAUGAAGAUGAUGAUGGUUGUGUUUUCUCAGAUAAUUAUGUUCUUAAUUUUAAUUUUAAUUUUAAUUUAUUAUUAUUAUUAUUAUAAAUUUUUUUGGUUUAAUCGAAAACGAAAAGAGAAGAUUAUCGAUUACUUGUUUGUGUUUGAAAAUGCCGAUGGCAUGUGAUGUAAAUUGGAGAAACUCUCGGGGUUUAAUUGGCAGCUUGAAAACCUUUCUAGUUUCCACCACCCGAAGAAACAAAAGAAAAGGAUGUAUUUAUUUAUUAUUAUUAUUAUUAUUCGAAUUUCAUUUUAUUUUCUUUUAAUUAUUAUAUCACGAUGGGGACAUUUGCGUAACCCACUUUCCUUUCGAAUUCAUUCAUCUACAUUCCAUAUUAUCAUAUCUUUCUUUUUAUAUUGACCCAAUGGAUAUUAUGUGCUCUUUCCUCUUCCAUUGACACUCUUUAUUACUUUACCUUCUUUAAUAACCUCUCUCUUUACGUUAGUUACUGCAGCAUCUUCCUUCAAAAGUUACCUUUUCCUUUUUCUUAAAGAAUAAUUAUUAUGGGAUGAGUUCAUAUUUGAGAAAUAUUAAAGAAAAACUAUGUAGAGGUUUAAAAAGAAGGCUUUAUGAUGGUAGAAUUGAAUUGAACUGAAUUUCAUGAAUGAUAUUCUUUGUUGGCUACAAAUAUGUGGGUGCGCCAUGUUUUAUUUCUAUUAUUUUCUUUUGAAGGACAACACUUGGUUUUUGUUGAGUGGAAAAUGUAUAGGAAAAAUGUGCCAAUUUUUGAAAAGGUGACCACAAGUCAACUAUAUAAGAUACUUUUUUUUAAAAUGUAUUAUAAUAUGAUAUUUUUAUGAGACCAUGUUCAAGUACAAAUGAUGUUUGUUUUGACAUAAGUUUUCACUAAGAAUAUAUAUAGGGUUAUGAUUAGAUUAAUAAUGUUUUCUAAAAUAAUUAAUUAAAAUUUAUAAAUAUGUUUAGUUGGAUAAGUUUUAUAGUGUGGGUUAUUGUCCAACAGCAACUUAUAAUCUCUUACAAAAAUAACUAGUUUAUUUUGAAAUUAGUUUUCGGGUAAGUUCGUUGUGGAGGGGUUAAUUGGCUAGAGACACAAGAGGUUAAUUUGAUGUGGCCAUGGGUGGAUCACAAACUCUCAAGGGUCUCCUGUUGAGUGCGAGUUCUAAGGCGGUGUACAAUAUGAGAUUACACUAUAUUGUUUUGAAAAGCAUCUACAACAAGGAUAGUGUGGAAUCUAUUCGAGAUCUCAAAUGUUGUCAUGAAUGAUAUUUUUUCCCUUGCUGCUUAGAUGAAUAUCCUAAUGUUUUGUUUUUAUAAUAGGAGACUUACAAUAAGGUUUACUCAUGCCCUCCAAACGUCGAAAUAAGUCUAUCUCUCCCGACUCCCCCCAACUGAUAAACUUUUCUUUGGUUGGAUAGUUUCCAAAGAAAGUAUCUUCUCCCUUGUCUAAGAGCUUAGCUAUUUUUAGCUUCUAAUUUCUAUACAUUAUCUCAUGAUAAACAUAGAACCACGAAUUAAAGUUUGGAAAAAGAAAUUAAAUGGGAAGAUGUGAAAGUGACAACCAAAUAUGUAAUUUAGCUGAAAACGAUAUAUUAAAAACAAAUUAAGAAGAAGAUUACAUUAGGACGAAUGCUGAGGGCUUUUGGAUGAAAUGAAAAGCUUUGCCAGGUAGGACAGCUGGCUGGACCCCAUUUGAAGAAGUAGCCAAUAAAAACUUGCCAUAUCAUAUAUCUAUUUUUCAUGGAUGAAAAGAAAUCAAUAAGAAUAAGAAGAGAUUAACUUAAUUAUUGAAGUGGGACAGAAGAGAAGAUAAUGUAUUAACUUUGAGGGGCAACGUAUGGGCCGUCCAUAUAAUAAUGGAUUGCAGUUAUCUACUUACUCCACAAAAAUUAAUAUUACAUUACACACACAAAGAAAAAGAAAUAUAUAUUAAUUAAAUUUUUAUUUAUUGUAUAUUAAUUAUCGUAAUAAAUUUUUGUUAGGAAUGUAUUCAUGGUUUUAAUAUUAAUUUAAAAAUCUCAAUUUAUAUUUAUAUGUUUUAGUGAUUUUGAUAUUACUUGACCUUUUAUGUGUAGAAGUGAGAGAUUCAAAUUUUGAUAUUCUAUGGAUAAAAAGAAUAGGUUUUAAGUUAAAAGGGGUUGAGGUAAAAAUGUGGGAGGGGUAUAUUGGGGUUUUGAAGUGAAAUGACCUUUGGAAUUGUAAUUGAAUUGUGUGAAUUCAAAUUCAAAAUGAGUUUUGACUUAAUAAGAUGAUGGAGAUUGAGAUUGAGAUUGAGAUUGAGAUUGAGAUUGAGAGGCCCUUUGUCUUAUUUUUAUUCACUUUACUUUUGUAUUUGACUCCAUCUUUUUAUAUAUAUAAAUUAUUUGGAUUGAAAAUGUGUUGUCUAAAAAGAAUCUAAUAAGUUGGAAGGGAAUGAGAUGACGAUCCACCGUAAGUAGAAUAAAUCAACCGCGUGCAAUAAAACCCCAUCUUCCCCGCCAAGCUUUUUGAACGAAAUUCACAAUUUCCGCCAUGAAACUCAUUCAGAGAUCUAAAGCUUUCUCGUCGCCCGCCGUACCUAUUCUCCAAUAAAACUCCACUUUUCUCUCUUCAACACAGAAAUCUAAGGUAUCUCUUUAAUUUCUCCGCCCUCUCUUUUUCAACUGAAGCUUUUCGCGUUUUCUUGUUAUUUCCCGUGCCCUUUUAUCUGCCCUGAUUACUCCUCAAUAGAGCGAAUGCUGAAUGAAAUACUUCAACAAUCUCUUACCUUUCAAUCGUACCCCUGCACUUUAAUUUUUGAGCCGUUAUAUACGACUUCUUGUUUAUACACUUUUGUAACUCCGAACUCUAGUAUGGGAUGCUAAUUAUGUUCUUUUGAGUUGUCCAGCAGAGGAAUUGCUCAUUUGUACUUCACAUUUUCUGUUUGGUUUGUACGAUUUUCAUAUUGUUUGUCGCUAUUAGUAAUUACUGUUUUAUUUAUUUGAUUCUGUGAAAAUUAGCCGAAAUUUGAAGAGUGUUGAGCUUGCUUUGAUUUGUAUGCUUAAUAGUAUAUUAGUAUGUAGUUUGUGUUACAAUCCCUAUGUUACCAAUACCACUGUGGUAAAUGUGUUUAGACGAACUGCCGAAUUUGAGUUUACGCUGCUUAUAGGUGAUAUUAAAGCGGAAUUUGAUGCAAUUGUGAAACCUAGGUCACUCGCUCCAUUGGAAAAAAGAAAAUACUCGAAGAUAUAAUGUAAUGGGAUUUUUAGAGAUUUUCAUCAAUUUUAGGGGAAACCCUUAACUAAUUGAAGCAAUUUUCAAUAUCUUUGUCAGUCAUAAGUGGAUGUUUUUUCUUUUCCUUCUUUUAUGUGCUUUUCAGAUAUGGAGGGUGAUCAAAAUCAUUCUCUCAAACUUGGAGGAUCCUCUGUUGAAGGUGACGAUCAAAUUUACAUCUCUGGGCUUAGUACUCUUCUGGUUGCAACGAUCCAGGAAACUAAGGACAGGUUAUCCCAGAUUGAAUUUCUUUUCUGUAGCCAACUCUUUCCCAGUUUUCAAACAAAAUCAAAAAGUUUGCAAAAAAUAUAUUCUGAGGCUAGGAAAUCUGCAGAGGAUGCAUGGAAAGAGAACGAAAACGAUCUCCUAUUUCAAAUAGAAAAACUUAAGCGCGAAAAUCAGCGUAUUCUUGAAGAGAAUAAGUCUUUGAAACUUGAGAAAGAAAAUCCAUCAAGGGAGCUAGCAGAAAGGAUGGAUCUGCUGCGGUCUAAACUACUUGGCGAGCAACUCAAAGCUGAGGAGCUGGCACAGCAACUUAAGCAGAAAUCGAGAGAAAUCGACGAGGGGAUUGAAUUGCAGCAGAAAUUACUUGAAAUGGUUCGGUCAAAAACUUCUCUGAUAAUGAGUAAAGAACAAAAACUGAAAGAGUAUGAAGACCAAUCUAAUGUAUUGCGCACCAAAUUGACUAGCAUGGAGGUGAAGUUUGAUGAGCUCCAGAAGAAGCUUAAUGCGAAGACAGAUGAAGUAUCUACAGUCAAAAAGUUGGAAGAGAAUUUGUUCAAAAAACUUGAAUUACAAGCUUCAGAAAUUAUGAACAUUGAACAGAUGAAUAGUGAUCAACAAAAAGAGAAACAGAUGCUUGUGGUGAAGUUAGAAAAAUUGCAGGAGAAUGUAAAUCGUCUAGAGAAGGAGCUUUUGAGCAAGACUGAAGAAAUUGAGGAAGGAAGGAAACUGCAAACCAAGUUGCUACAGCAAAUUGAUUCAGCUGGCUCAGAAAUUUCAAAGAAUACAGAGCAGCUCGAGGAACUUCAGAAAGAGAACAAACAACUCUUAGCCAAGUUGAAUGGUUCUCAAGAGAAAGUUAAUGAGCUUAAGUCGAAUCCGAGGGUAAAGAAUAAGGAAAUGGAAGGAAAUGAAUUGUAUGAGAGUUUACGUGAACAGAUCGAACUAAAGUCCUUUGAGUUACAGGCUGAAAAGAAGGCAAGAAGAGGCGUUGUUGAUGCCUACAAAAGGCUGAAAUCACAAUAUAACUUCCUUUGCAAAAAAUUUGGCCUUACUAGCGAUAAUAUGCUGCUGAAAGACAGAAGAGAAAAUGAAACCGAUUCAAUGGCUUAUAAUCAAGAUCUUGCAUCCUCACCAGGUAAACAUCCUCUUCUUCAUAUUAUAAAUCCAAAUUUCCUCCAACAUUGAUAUCUGUAUUCCAUGCGUUACUAAUUAUCUAUUGACUGGAGCAGUAGAUCCCGACGCAGAAACUGAAGAACCUUCUAUAGCCAUUUCUGAUACAUCUCAAUUGAAGAAAGAGAUUAGCGUGCACCAUAACAUAGAGGAUAAAAAGGUAGUCAGGCUAAAUCAGGCCUUGAACUCCCGUUCCCCUCCAAAAACUCCUAGUUUCUCAAGCGGCUCGAAACGUAGUCCCAAUGUAAAAUCUGCACCAAUAGCAUCUAAAAGACCAGCAUCUAAUUGGAGAGGUACAAGGACUCAUUAUCAAGAGCGAGCGGGGCCUGACCCACACGAUGAUUUUCUUGAUACUCCACUCGAGAACAUCCGAGAGAAUUUAAACAAUCCUGUGAAGGACAGAGUUAAAGAUCUUCCUCUUCCUGAGGUGGUUGUAAAAAACAUCGAUAUGGAUGUUUCCGAUGACGAGACACAAGAUUUGAAUGUUGUUAAUCCACAACAACAUCAAAAGCAGAUGCCAAUUUCAGUGACUGGGAAUAGAGGAGGAGGCAUUAAGUUUGUGGAGCCAGUGAGAAAGAAAGCUGACAGGCAAAAUUUAAAAGGAGUGGAGUGCAAGCAAUGCAAGAAGUUCUACGAUGCUGUUCUUCCAAAUGAUGGCAAUGAAGAAACCAACGGUGAUAAACCGUGUUUACGAUGUGAACAUCAUGAUGGAGUUUCAAGGCAUCGGUAUAGGUAUGUUCCUCCCAUGACUCCUGAAGGAUUUUGGAACAUUGGAUUUGAAUCUGAAAUGUAAUGUUAAUGUAGGAUUAAACCCAUUGUUUGAUAAUUAACGACAAAGUAGGUGAUAUGUAUAGUAUAUUUUAGAUAGAAAACUAUGAAACAAUUUAUGCAUUGGAUAAAUAUAAAUGAAAGUUUUCAUUUUUACCUCAAAUUUAUCAUUCAAAGCAAUUUUUAUGAACUUUUAGCUAAGAUAACAUAUAGUGAUCAUUUUGCUGUUCCCAAUAACUUUUCAAGUUUAUUAUUUUAAUUCUUCAAACUUUUAAUCAGUAAUCGUUUUGGUCCUCACAUUGAUCUAAAUUUUACCAAAUUAAUAACAUAGUUUAGAAGAUAUGUUACCAUGCAAGUGUACUCAAACCAAGAAAUAUUUUCUGUAAAAGUAAUGUAACUAUAAUUUUUAUUUUUUAUCUUUUUAUCACUCGAGUUCGAAUACUAAAGUAGUUACGGAAAUUCAAUUUCGGAAUAGAACAAAUAAUAUAUGAGAAAAUUGUAGCAUUAAAGUAAUGUGAAAUCCAAGUAAACAUUACAAAGUAUAACAAAAUAGUAACAUAACAGCAUCAUGCAAUGAAUUGGCUUUAAUAUCAUAAGGUAAACAAUGUUUCUUUGAGAGUCUCCAAAUAAAAUUAAAAUGGUACAAAAUUUCACAUCUAAGGAUCAAGCAAAAACAUCCUCUGUAAUAAUAGAUUGUUCAUUGUUAGUACAACUCUCUGAUGAAACCUGAAGUUGCUCGUAAUUUAGUUGUCUUGAAGCUUCGUAUAUAGCAAUACCAACACUCACCGAGAGAUUGAGGCAUCUAACAUAAGUUUCAACCAUUGGAAUUCUUAAUGUCCCUCCUCCAAAUGGCUGGUUUUUGCAGUCCUCAAGCGCUUCAGGUGGUAAUCCAGUAGUUUCUGAGCCGAACAACAAGUAAUCGCCCCGCUUGUACGAAAAGUCCUGCAGAAAUGAAAUGAGAAAACAAAUUGUUACUCAAAAUUCCUCCUGGCCUAUGAGCAAUUGACGAUUCGUAUAGAAAUCAAAUCGUCAGAGAAAUAGGCACUCGCCGAGUGAUGUGUUGUUCCUCUUUUUGUAAAUGCUAGCAGCCGCUUUUCUCCUUCCUGUACAUAUCAUAUCAUUUGAGUUGGUAGACAUAGUUUCCAACAAUGUAGGAUGCAAAGAGGAAACUAAAAUGGAAUCUUGUCCAUGCUUACCUGCUUCUUAAAGUAUUCUUGAAAAUCCGCCCACGUGUUAUGAAUUUUAACGACAACGUAUCUAAAAUACAAUGUUAAAACCCGAAAACAUUGAACGAACAGUGACAGCACGAAAUAGAAAACUCAAACAGUUCAAGACAAAGUAAAGCACAAUUUCCUAACAUUGAAUCCCUGAUAUUUAACUGUAAAUGAGAGCAAAUGAAUCAUAUAUAAAAUGCAUCAUGGGAUACGGCCAAUAAUCCAAACCUGCCCGCUUUAGCUUUGUGUCAUCAACCUUAAAUCCCAAUGGCUGAGAAGGAGACAAUACAAGUGGAUAAGUUAUUAAAGUCAGAACGAUUAUGCUUAAAGUAAAGAUGAUACAAUACUAACCCCAACUAGAUGUAGUCCUACAGCCGAUGCAGCACAUGUUCUGGCAAUGCUACCAGUGUUCCCAGGAAUCUGCCAAGGACAACACAAAUCUCAGAGCCAUCCUUGAGGAAUUUUGAGGUUGUCUGCAACCCAAAAAGGCAAAUGGAGAAAUUACAAUUGGGCGUUCACCGUGUUUCACACAACUGCAUACAACGUGCCGUGAUAUACAAACUAAUAAGCGGUGCCGUAUGUGUACACACAAUGUCGAGUGUGUAUUUCAUUAGAAGUAGAAAUCAAUUUGGAAGAAAUUUGCUCCAAGCAUUUGAUACUAACCAAAAUAAAAGUUUACGAUUAACAUCACAUGACCUUUCGCUAUAUAUGACAUAAACAACCAUAAUACGCCUAGCAAGUUUUCAAGCAAUCUAUUAAAAUUUCUAUGAGAGGUUUUGCUCAACCCUCACAUUUCGACUUGAAGAAGACUGUUCCCAAGCAGCUCUACUAAUUUCAACUUGUUAGUCAUCCAAGAAUACCACCUAAGAUUGAUGCAAAGAUCUAACUAAAGGCUCCCUAGUCCUUGUUCAUUCGGUUUCAAACAAAAUACCAAGUAAAAUGUCAGCAAAUUUCCAUGUGCUAAUAUCCUCUGAGUUUCAUAUAUAUGUUUGUUUUAGUAACACGGUAUCGAGGGCCUUAGCCCCAUUAAUUCGAGGGCAACCAAGCUCGAGUCUAACCCAAUGCCUAGAUUCAAUGAACAUGUUUGGGAAGCUAGAAUUUGAUGGUUAGGGUUUUGAGCCUGGUUUGUAACUCCUUUUAUAUUCCUUUUCCAUUAUUUUCAACUCAACUCUCUUUCUCCCAUUUUUCCCGUUUCACAAUCCCAAUUUAACACCGAAUUAAACAUUUCAUCGUAAUUUACAUUUCAAUCUCCCAAACAGGGUUUUUUUUUUUCUUAUUAAGCUCAAUCCAAGGUUCGAAGUCAUACCACUCAAUUGACUGCAGUUCUUAAAUGUACAGUUUACAUUUGAUCAAAAUUUCCAAUAGUAUGAAAUAUCAUCCUUUACAAUCAAACAAAAUCUUAAAGCAAAGUGAAACUUAUUCAAAAUAUUAAAUCAAGCCAUACAACUCCACCAAAUACAGAUAAGAACACAAACAAUAACUAAAAAUAGCGAUUACUAGAAAAAAAAAUGCAGAAACGAAAAGCAAGAAAAAGAAUCAGCUAAGCAAUUACCAAGGGAGACACCAAUACAACUUGAAGAAGCUUUGGAUGCGAGACCCCAUUGACGGCCUCACCAACACCGGUCGGUAGGGAACCAGAACCCUCCACUCUGUCAGCUGCGCCAUGAACACAGCAAAAUCAAACUGAAAAAAAUAACCUCAACCCAAUUCACAGCAGAGAUUAUAGAGUCCAUAGGAUGUAAGAACGUUUAAUUACAGAUAUAUCAUAUAUACUUACAUGAGGAGCAGAAGGGGAGUAACCGGCGUAAGGAUGAAGAAGAUAGAUUGUGGUGUUUGUUGGUGAAAAGGGAGAAGGAGCGAGGGCGAAGAAGAUGAAGAGACCUGGAUGAGCGUAGUUGAAAAGGGGUAAAUGGGUUUAAAGCUCUGAGAGUGGCUGUUGUUGUGUCCAUUAACGGCAUCUCAGCAACACUAUCUUCUGCUUCUUCCUUCUUCUUGUUGCCGCUCGAGAGCCUCACUAAGUUCGUUUCAAAGGAAGAACACUCGCUAUUUUUUUAAUUAUUAUUUAAAGGUUAAAUUUAAAAAUAUUUGUAGUUUGGGUAAAAAUACUAUCAAACUUUCAAAAGUUACAAACAAAAAAAAUACAUACAUAUAUAUAUUCAACAUUCUUAGUUUCAUACAUACACAUCAGCUUUAAAAAAAAGUUAAAAAUAUUCUCACCAAUCAACUUUUACAUCAAUUUUUUCAUUAAACUAAACAAAAUUUAAUUAAAGAUAAAAAAUUUGAAUUCAUUUAACUAUUCGCAUAAAGUUAGAGGAUAAAUAUCCUAAAUCUUACUAGACUAUUAACCCAUGAUGAUAAUUCUUAUUUCAUUUGGUAAGAUUUUGUGAAAUUUUACGUUUUAGCUAAAAUUUAAAACAUGGAAGGUGAUGUAUAUAUGAAAAUCUUGAUUUUACAUAAAAUUCCAUUUCGAUUUAUAUCUUUAAAAAAUUUUAAAAUAAAAUUUAAUUAAUAAAUAAAUAAUUUAUUAUUUUCAUAUAAGUAAACAGGAUGAAUUCAUACAAAUGUGAAUUAUAAAGUUGAGUUUUAAUUUAACUUUUUGGUUUUUAUUUUAAUAUUAAAAAAAUUAACAUAAAAAUUAGAUUAAUAAAAAUAUUUUUUAUUUGGAGAGAUAUUUAUAAAACAAAACUUUAACAAAUUUCUUCCAAAAACAAACUAUAGUUUUUAUAAACUCUUUUAGAAAGUUGUAAAAGCUUUUUGAAAAAAUUUAUAGGUAUUUUUGAGGAAAGUGCAUUUGAUGUUAUUUAAUCGAAUUCUCGGACAUUUUAUUGGUGACUGAAAAAUUUCCCUUUUAAUAUUUAUAUAUUAACGAAACAUCAACCAAAAGGCCUUCUCUUCUCCUCUUCUCUUCUCUUCUCUUCUUCUACUUCACUUUUCUUCGCCAAACACGAAUUCCCCAACCUUCGCCUCACUUCAUCAUUUUUUCCAAUUCCAUUCUUCCUCCAAUUCAUCUUCCAAUCCUCAAUCGGGGUCACCGGAGCCUUAUCUCCGUCUAGUUUUACAAUCGAACCGGAAGAUUUCCAUUCUCAGAUUCAAUAUUGUUCCGCAGUGCUUUUGGGUCAGUUCUUGAUUCGUUUUGAUCCGUUGAAUAAUCUUCCUUACUCUCUCUUGCUCUUUUUGUAUUCUGUAUUUUUUUGUGUUUUCACUUUUGUUUGUUGAUUGUUCUUCGGGGCUUUUUGGUUCUGGAGCUAGGGUUUGUUUUCCUCCCUUUUAUAUGGUUCUACUUUUAUUACGCGGCUGUUUUUUCAUGUACGUAAUAUUUUUUUUAUAUGGGUUUUCGUGAUUUUUACCUUAUUAAUCGUCGUCUGCAGUUUUGGGUGGUGUUAAUUUUAUUUAAUAUUCGAUUACGACAAUGACCUAUGCCUAAGCAGAUCGUGUUUAGAGAUUUUGUGGAUGAUUUUAAUAUUAAUUCGUCCGUGUUAGCAUCUUGUUCUUAUCUUUCUAAUUAAUUGGUUCUUUCUUGUGUUUGUACUUUUUUUUUCUGUUUAAUUAGUGAAAAAGUCGAGGGAUGUUUGAAGGGAGAAGGUUUUUGUCGAUCCUUCGAGAUUUCCCUAUAUAUAUGAUUUGAAUGUUCUUUUUCAAGGAUUGUUGAACUCUUUGGUUGAUUGCUUUUCUAAUGAUGAUUCAUUCUAAGCAGUCUGAGACUGAGUACUCAUUGCCUCUCGAUGGACAAAGGAAUGCCCCCUACCCUUUUUGUCAACGACGGAUCAUUUAUGGAAAGGUUUAAACAACUCCAACAGAAAAAUGGUGAGAAGGAUAAGGAUAAAGAUAAAGGUGCUACCUCUGAGGAGCCAAAACCAAUCAAGAUUAUAGCAGGGACUUCAAUUCCACAUAAUACUAGUGGUAAAACUAGUAUGCAGUUUAAGGGUGGUGAGAUUCGUAAGACUGCCCCAACUGGAAAACUUGCUUUCAGCUUGAAGCAGAAGUCUAAGCUUGUGGCACCUUCUGUGAAGUUAGGAGCAGAUGAGGAUGAAGAUGAACCUGAUGCGGUAGAUGCAUCUGAUCAUCUACCAGAGAAGCGUCAAAAGUUAGGUCCACAAGAUGGUACUGAGCAGCCAGUACUUCAAUCUGGUGAUGGUAAUACUAAUUACUACUUUAUACUGACACUCCUCUCUUUUGGGAUUAAUGGCAAGUAUCUGCCAGAGUUUGUAAACCAAAAAACCUGGUCUGUUUAAGGCCAUUUCUGGUUGAUGCGGUGAAUUGGUACUUAAUUUCUGAUGUUCUGUUAUAUGCAUGUUCAUUCAUGAUUCAAAUUUUGUUACCCUGGAGCAUCUAUUUGUUGGCUUGCUUAUAUUUUUUAUUGACAAGUUGACUCAAGUUAUUGUCUUGAACCACUGUUAUCUGCAGCUAUUGAAAAUUAUUUGGGAUAGGGAGGUGAGCAAAUAACUUGUAUAUAAUUUUCAUUUUUAAGUCAUUAAGAAUGUCGGACCUCAAUUGUUUUAAGCUGAAAAGAACUAUGGUUCAGGGUGUUGCUCUCAUGUCUGCAUUCUUCCUUUCUGUUUUCCAACUUAAAUUGGUCUGUGGAAGAUUUCUUACUGAUUUCAUCUUCACCCUUUCAUCUAUUUAGCAUUAGUUUUUGCAUGAAGAGUCGCACCUUGUUCUUGAGACGAUGGAAAACCAUUUUUUGUUCUAUUGGGGGGUUGGGGCAUUAUAGAAUUACCAUCUAGGUCACUAUCCAUUUCCCCCUUCAAUUAACUCUAAUGGCUUUGUUGGGACCGUGAGUUUAGAUCUCUUCUAAAACUUGGACUGCUUCACUUGUAGAGUACAAAGCACUCUUGAAAAUUUCUUGUCUCAUGAAUGCAGUGUAUACCUUUAAUACCUUUCAACAUUGGUGGAAGAGAUGUUCAAUGAAAGAAUUGGAAUAUGUAGCAGCCUGCUGCAAGAGUAAUUUGCAUUCACUUGUUCAUGCUCUUGGUAUUAAUCAGUUUUAUAAGUGAUAUGCAGCACCACCUUCACCAAGUGAUCCUACAGUGAAGAAAGUUGCCGACAAGCUAGCAAGUUUUGUGGCUAAACAUGGAAGGCAAUUUGAGCAUGUUACUCGCCAAAAGAAUCCUGGAGAUACACCAUUUAAGUACGUUCUUGUUGUGCUUUAAAAGUUCCCAUGCAUUGUUCUUUCUUAACAUUGCCGUUGCUACUGCUUUCUUGAAUCUAUUGCUUCAUUUGUUUUUUUUUAUGCUUAGCUUCUCACUUCUCAAUAAAUGUUUUUUUAACAAAAUAUCCAUCAAUCUUUGCAGAUUUCUGUUUGAUGAGAGUUCUGCAGAUUACAAAUACUAUGAAUAUCAGCUAGCUCAAGAAGAAAAAGCUUUCUCAGAAACCGUCGAACCUAAAUCCUCUAAUGGUUUGGGCUUCUCACUUGAUUCUCAUAUUAUCUUUUUGAAAACAAGCAUUUGUGUCAUUGAUGACUUAGGGUUUUCUCAUGGGUUUUUCCUCGAGAUCCCAUUUUUUUAUGAAAUGUUUUUGGGAGAUUAAAUUGUUUUUCACAUUCAUUUUGCCCUUUCUAUCUGUAGAUGGUGGGAGCACGCAAACUUCUAAGCCAAGGACUGGUUCCCAGAAAUCUCUCCAGCAGUCUUCCUCAUCAAAUUAUCAAACCCCUGCCUCUGCUUUAUAUGAACCAUCAGAAGAUUCAAGGACUUCAGUGGGUUCAUCUAAUACUACUGCGUGGCCUGAAAGAGCAGGUAACUAUUUGACACCGUGACUGUUUAGUGCUCACUAUGUUUCAAUGAAUUGAUAUUGUACUUGACGUGUGGUUUUCACUUUUUAAGGUGAAACUAGACCACCACCAUCUAGUGGAGAUCCGAUUGCAAUGAUGGAAUUCUACAUGAAGAAAGCUGCUCGUGAAGAGCGGAUGAGGCAACCUAAACAGUCAAAAGAUGAAAUGCCUCCUCCUGCGUCUCUUCAAGGUAUCAACCUGCUGGGGUGUAGCUGGUUGACCAUUAUUUGUUUAGCCUGUGGCAUUAGUGGUUUUAUUGCUUGAACUUCCUUUUCUAUUUUGGGGGUGCUGUGCAGCUUCAGCUUUAGGGAAAAGAGGGCAUCACAUGGGUGACUUCAUUCCCCACGAGGAGCUUGAAAAGUUCUUAGCUACAUGCAAUGAUGCGUCUGCCCGGAAAUAUUCUAAAGAAGCUGCUGAUAAGGCUAAAAUUCAGGCUGAUAAUGUGGGGCACAGACUCCUAUCUAAAAUGGGAUGGAAAGAAGGUUCCCUCCCUCCCUCUUUCUUCAUAUUUUUUCUCACACACCACAUGUCACAUUGCACAUGGGUCAGUACAUAGACCAUUGGACUCGACAAUGCUAGGAUCUAGAAUUUUUAAUUAGAUAUAUCUCCAAGUUCAUUUUGCUAAAGGCUUUUAACAAGUCCUUAGACUUCUUUUCCUGGAGCUUACGUUGAACCCAAAGUUCAUAUUAUAAUUCCAGUUUAUUUGAGAAUUCAUUUGGUAAUGAAGGAGCCUUCUAAUACUGGCAAGAGAACUGCAGGUGAGGGUCUGGGAAGCUCCAAGAGUGGAAUUGCAGAUCCCAUAAUGGCGGGUGAUGUAAAAACAAAUAACUUGGGUGUUGGAGCCCAUCAACCUGGUGAGGUGACUCCUGAAGACGAUAUAUACGAGCAGUACAAAAAACGAAUGAUGCUUGGUUAUCGUUACAGACCGAACCCACUGGUAUUUAUUUAUCACACCCAUUGAAGUUGCGCUUACUUCAAUACCUAGUUAAUCAAGUAGUUUUGAUGUCAUACUUUUUUGUUUUCGUAGAAUAACCCUCGGAAAGCAUACUAUUGAUUGAUGACGGUUCUGCAAAGGCACUUUGAUCAUUCUGGCUCUGUUUGAAAAUUAUGAGAAAAGCCAAACUACGUGGUGGGAGUGGAAAUUAUCUCGAUCUAUUGUGGCAUAAUUGAUGUCAUAACUCAAUAAAUAAUCAAUAGAUGUAGUUCUUUUUAUCCUGUCAUCGUUUUGUUUUUUUUUCCCUUCAUUUUCCAUGUGGUGUGGGAUUCGGGGAUCGGGAUCAGGGUCAGGGCGGGGUUUUGUUUAAUCCUAUUGUGCUUGAUCAGUAUACUGGACUCGUCCUAUUUUUGUGUUAAAUAUGCAUAACUUGAAGCGUUAAUUACCAUUCCUUUUUUUCUUCUUUUCUUCUAAGCUCCAUUGGCUUGCUAGAGCAUCAUUCUGUAGUACUUCUCGGAUAAUUGUGGAGUUUGACCUAAACAAGUUUUGGCUUUUAGAUGAACUACCCAUUCCCUACCCCCCUCACCUCCAAUGUCAUCAAUGUUCUUUCUCUUGCUUUUCCCACCUUUUUGACUUAAAUUGUUUCAAUUGAGCAAAAACUUUACAGCGUUUUCCCCUUCUGUCGUGUUCUUUCUCCAUUUGUGAUUCUGCAUCAGGUUUCAUAGACAGCAAAACCAAUUCGAUUCUGACUCAAGAUGCGGUUUACCACGAUCAACCUCGCUUCCUCAUUUGUAGCUCUAAAAGCACCACUCUUUUUUGCAAAUGUGAUUAAAAUUUAAGUUAUUUUUCAAGAAUUGAGGCAAUUUGUCAAUAUUUAUCGAUGGGAAGAAUCAAGUUAUUUUUCAAGGAUUGGUGCAAUUUGUCAAUAUUUAUUAAGGAUAGGAAGAAUCUUGGGCGAGUGUUUAUCAUUGCCAGGAAUUACUACAUUUUGGAUCUGCUUCAGACAAAUUUUUGGGUCAUUUUCCUGCAAAGUCGUUAAUAUUAUUUUUUGACUUGGAUUAAAAGUUAUAUCUUUUAUUGACAUAUUUAAAUCUUCUGACAUUUUGAGCUUCCUUAGGAUGAACUAUUAAAACAAUUGACCAAAAGGGUUGUGAAGUAAUUGACCAAUAAGGGUUGUGAAAUAAUUGACCAAUAAGUUUUGUGUGAAAUGUAGAAAACUUGUGACAAUUAUCCCAUUUUUGGUUAUUGACAAUUCAGGUUGGGAAAGGGACUGCCGAGGGGAAUGAAAAUUCUUUUUAGUGGGUAAUUUCUAAAAACACAAACUUCUGCCUUGAAAGCCCAACAAGUUUAUGGUAUUUUUGUCCAAAGAUGAACAAGAGAUCUUUAGGUUAGUUUGAUCAAGUUAAUUUUUUUGUGGGAAUCGUUUUUGCAAAAUUUGAACAAAAUAGACUUUGAGAUGAUUUCAAGUGGACAUGAUAAUAUUCAUAAUAGGUUGUCUCCUCAUUUUUAUGGUAGGAUAGGGCGAACAAAUUAGUAGCCUAAUCAAUCUAAUUGACGUAGGAAAAGUAAUAUAUAAAUUCCAAGAUUGCAACAAUAGAAUCGAAAUCCCAAUCUAGUUUCCAUCUUUUGAUUCAUGGAGGUAUAUAAUUUCACUUAUCUAAGGUGGGUUUAUCUUGCAAGUAUUGAUGCAUGAAAAUAGAGGGUGACAGAUUCAAGGAAAAAAAAGUUCCAAAAUGGAACUUUAUGCAUUUAGAUUGGGACUAACACUCUUACUCUCCCUCGCUUGCAAGAAAUCCGACACUUACCAUUCUCAAUCUUCACAAUCCAUCUCGAUCUCCUUUCUUUAUGUAAUAUUCAUCAAUACAACAUCUCCAAUUUUUUCUUGCUUACUAGUGGGUAGAAUUUAGUUAAGAUCUAAGUAGCUCAAACCUCCCUCAUUGCAAUAGGAAGCAUAAUAUCAAAAUUGCUAGUUAGUUGAAUGGAAAUCUAUCUUCUAGUCUUCUGAUCUAGAUAAUCCAAGUUCCACUCUUUACAAUUUUAUUCUCCCGUCAAUAAAAGUGUCUCAUUGCAACGUUCCAAUAGCCAUCGACAUCUAUGGAAGGAAGUUAGGAGAGCAAAAGAAACAAAAAAAAGAAGGGAUAAUUGUGUAGUUUUGGUUGGUAACGUAAGGUAGAAGAAAAUCUUAAAAGUUAGAAAAAUUGGAGAAAAACAAUGUUUGGGAUAAUGAUUCCAUAUCAAAAUUCUCAUUAUUUUUUGGGAUAGAAAAAGAAAACUCCAAACAUUCUUAGAAUUAAUUGGUUAAUGGAAUUAUUGGAGAACUCAUUCGGAAUCGUAAAUGGGAACAUUGUGGGGGAGGCAGUUAUCCCGGUGAAGGCGUAACUUAUUGGGGCAUCCAAACACUACUCAGAUCCGAAUCCAGACGACAAUUGAAGCGUUGUCGGCGGUGAAGGUCUCAAUGCUCCACCUAACUUAACUUACCAAUAUAUAAUCAAAAUGAAAAACGACAAGUCGUUGACGAAACUUAUGGCUGCGUUCCGAUUGGAUGAAGGCAAGUUGAAGGGGAUCGGAUCCUCCCUUUUCCGGCGGCUGCGGUGAGGGCAUUAUUUUAGAUUUUAAAAUUGGCAUCUCAAUUAUUAUUUGAAUUUCUCUGUUUUUAUAAGCAUAUGUUCUACAUUCCUUUUUAAAAAAAAAAAAGAAAACACAGAAUAUUCUUUAAUAAUACAUAUUUUCCAUUUUCAACUUGUCUUUCACCUUAACAUACACAUCAUUUUUAUGUUAUAUAAAUGUAUGAUCUGAUCAUGAGUCAUGGCCCUCUAAUUUUCCUUUUUAGGUGAUGGAUUGCGAUGUGUUAGUUUCUUUUCAAAUGCAUGAUCUUUAUGCAUUAUUUUACAUUAUCAAACUUUAUGAUCAGAUUAUGGAUAUAUAUGUAUGUAUAUAUAUAUAUAUAUUAGGGAGAUUGUUUAAUUAUAUCACACUACUUUUCUUAAAAAGCCACUCCUUUUUUCCCCCUCUCCUCAAGUCUAUUUUUAAAAUGAUUGUAAAGUUAAAAAAAAGUUGUUUGAUAUGUGUUCUUAGGAGGGAGGUGAGUGAGAAGGUAACUGGGUUAUAUAAUUAAGGGAAUAAACAUGAUAAUGUUAGAACAAUAUAGUGUUAAAGUCGUUAUAAAUUUGUAGUACAUAUUCGUUUGGGUGAAUCCAAAAGCAAAGAUAUGAGUAUAAAUUUAUAUUAAGGUCGAUUAUAAAUGUUGGUGGGAAAUAAUGUAAUAUGGGUGAACUAAUUAAGUUUACCAAACUUAACUUAUUGUUUAGUAAAAGGAUAUAUUAAACUUGUGAAAGUAAGUAUAAGGUUCUUACAAGUCACAUUUGUUGUUGUGAUUAAUUAGUGGUCACUCCACUUACCUUACAAAUGUCAUCUCAUUCCAUUUGAAAGCAAUAAUGUUUAGUUCAAGAAACGUUAAAUAAAAUAAAAUUAGUUGUGUUUAGAUGAUCAAAUAUUGUUUUUCAAAAUCCAAAAUUAUAGGAAAAACCCAACCAUUUUUAUUUAUUUAUUUAUAUUUUAAAGAGCUUUGAUUGAAAAAGGAAAAUACCAACUCCCAAAUAUAAAAAGGUAAUAUGAAUAAGACUUAAAAUAAUAUAAUUUAGUUUCAUAAUUGGAAAAACGUAGAGAACACCCCUUUGAAGAAAUUACAACCCAACAAGAAACCAUUUCUCAAAAGAAACAUUAUAAUAAUAGAAAACAGUUUGGACUUUCAUCCUUUUUUAUUCUUUUAUUUUCUUUUUUUGUCAUAUUUAAUUUUCGUUCAUUUUAAUUAUUUUUUCCUAAAAAAGGCUACAAAAACACUCUCACUCAACUUUAUUCUAUACUUGUAUAACAUAUUUUCAUACACUUUGUUUUUUCUUCCACAUAAAUUAUUAAUAUUUAGAUGAUAAAACUACAAGUAAUGAUGUUGAAAUAAGCAGAAAAAUAACCAAAAAUUAAAAAUUAUUAUUACGAUUUAAUGAAAUUUGUUUUGUUGUAUAUGUAAUUUGAUAAACUAAUCAAGAAUCAAAUCUUUUAUAAAAACUAUAAAGAUUAAGUCGUUAUAUAAUAGGUAUGGAAUUUUUUAACUAUACAGAUCAAAAUUAUUACAAAUAUUUGACAGUUUAAUUUAGGGAAAAAAGAGAAGAGAGGGUUAAAAUAAUUUGUAGGCAAGAAUAGUUUUAAAAAAAAUGAUAUGAAUGGGGACGAAAAGUAUGAUGAUAAGGCCACGUUUGGAAGUGCUUACCGACUUUAUGAUAUAUAUUAUAUAUUAUAAUGAGAAACACUUUUGGCUUUGGUUGCAUUUCCCCAAUCUUAGUUGUAAUUAAUUUUUGUCUUUUUGUGACAUAGGAAAUGUAUUUGGUUCUUAAUUAUUUGAACGAACGAAAGAAAGAGAGGAAGAAAACAAACCAUUUUCUUUCCCAAAUCUAUGGUCCAAUUUCCAUUUUUCAUGAAUCCACUUUCCUUUUUCAUUCUCUGGUUUCAUCUCUUUAAAAGCCAUCUUUUGGAUUUAUUUUCCCUCUUGACCUCUUUUUCAACUUCAAAUUUGGUGUCUAAUCAAUUCUCAUUACUACCUUUUAACCUUUCUUUUAAAUUAUCUAAAAACUUUAAUAACAACUUAAAUUUAAUAUUUAUAAAAUCUAGUUAUUAUGUACUAGGAAAGAUAUAAAAUUAAAAAUUAGGGUUUAUUAAAUUUUCAAUGGUUCAAACAAAUCAUUUUUAUUAGAGUUGUAAAGUGUAGUGAAUGUGAAAUAACUAAUAAAUUGAAACAAAUAAAAUCACAACCAUAUAUUGUAUCAUAUAGGGAGACAUGAUCAUAUGAUAGAGUUAGUUGGAUGGAUUAGAAUAAGGUUAAAUAGUUUUAAUUUGAGCAAAAGUUAAACAUGAUUGAGUUAGUAGCUAGAUAAUUAUUAUAUUUACUAUUAUUUGUUUCUUUCAUUUUCUUAAUACAUUUAUUUAAGAUGCGGAUUGUAUAUCGCCACGACAUUCUCUUUUUUAAAAUAUUACAUUACAUAUAACUACGAGAUUGUUCAGAUCCAUCUUUUAUAAUAUAUGUAUUGUUAGGUCCACACACACAAAGUUCUAUACGUAACCUAUCGAUAUGAGGUGGAGAGAAAUAAUAUUAUAAUCAAAUAUCUCUAAUAAAAAAGAGCUCAAGUUGUUAUGUAAUUAGGGUAAAUUUUUAUCGUUGGAAUAUAACAUGAAAUCAAAUAUGAAAUAUGAACAAUAAAAAUUAUAUAAUGAUUUUGUUUAGAAUCUUUGCAUAAAAAAUGAAUUUUUAAAAAAAGAUUAAAGGAGGUGUAAUAACCAUUUUAAUUUUAUUAAGCUAAACAAAUAAUAGUUUGAUAAACACAACACACAAGAGAUUAUAAUAGUAAAAAGUAGUUCGGUCAAAAUAUAAUAGUGGUAAAGUUCGAAAACCAAAUUUAUCUUAUCGGAUUCAUUUCUUCGGAUGGAGUUAAAUUAUGCUAAAAUAUUAUUUAAGUUAUAAUAACACGACAUAAAAAUAUUGAAAAUAAAAUGAUAUGAAAGUUUAAAGUCUUAUAUUAAUAAUAUAAAAAAAAAAACGUUAAAAGUUUACUUUAUUUAAUUUGAUAACUAUUGAAUAAAUUAAACUUUUUAGAUUUGAUUUACUAUUUCCUUUCUAUAUUUUAAAUAAGGUUUUACUUUAGAUCUGAACUCAAAGAUAUUAAUAUAAGAUUUAGCAUUUCAAAAUAUAACGUGACAUAUAAGUCAGAGAUUAUUUAGAUCUCCAAUUUACACGACCUAUACUUGGGUCCAAAGCACGAGUAGUGUAGGUAAGAUAUUGAUAUUAAAUAAAAAGAAAUAAUAUUAUAAUCACAUACUUUUUAUAAAAAAGAACUCAAGUUGUGAUGUUAAGUUAAAAUUGUGGUUUAGAUAUAAAGCAUGAAGGUCAUUUAAAUACACUACUACUAUAUAGUACUAUGAGAUGGACAGAAAAAUAAUAUUUAAUUGCAUCAUAUUUAAAUCAAUACUUUAACCCUAAAAUUUAAAGUAAAUUCAAUAUUACUUUUCAACUAUUAUUACCUCAAAAAAUAAAUAGUCAAAUGCCUUGUUCACAAAAUAUUUUCAUAAGAACAUGGACAAUUUUAUAAAAUAAAUUCCAAGGUACCCUUGAAUUCACUAUUGUUUUUUCUUAUAAAAAAAGGUAACAUAUUAAAUUUGAAAUGUGGGUUGAUGAGUGUAUCUAAUUAUAUAGUUGAAAUUUGAAAAGGAUUCACUAAUUUAAUUACUUGUUAUUGUUAAUAUUAAAUUAAUUGGUUCAGAUUGUAGUUAGUGACAAAAGAAGAAUGGGGUGACGUAAGCUUCUCAAUCUCUAAUUUUGCUCUUAAGGCUUUGUAUCCCAUUGUACGGACAUUGAUACAGAUGAUGUCAUCCAACUAUUUUAAAUACCACUUCAUCAAUAUCUCUUAUUUUUUAAAUAUAUGAUCAUUUAAAUUAUUUUUAAAUUAAGUAUUACUGUUUUUCUUUUUUCUUUUUUUUUGUGUUAUUGAUAAAUUAUAUUUGACUUUUGAUUAAUUAAAUAAAUUGCUUUAGCUACACUACCAAGUUAGUAUAAAAUUAUUCACUAAUUACACAAUGAGCUUCCUUUUAAUAUUACACUAAAACCAAAAUUUUAAUUUAUUUCCUAUUUUUUUUAUUAAUGUAAGAAUCAUGAGUAAAUUAAAAUAGGGGUCUAUUUUUAAAAAAAAACUUAAUAUAAUUAAUUUCAAUAAACUCAAAACAAAGCCUUCAAAAUUUUUUUAAAAAAAACUGUUGAAUAGAGAAAUUUUAGAUUAAUAACAAAUUGCCACGUCAUUUAGCUGAUUAAAGGUACAAAUAAUUAAAUUUGUAACUAACUAAAAUAAUUGAUAUGUGUCCCGAAUUAAACCAUAAAUUGGUCAAUUUUGAUAAUGCCACAUGUAUUAUAACUACCAAAUUAAUUAUUUUGAUUGAAUUAAAUAUUAUUUACUUUGGUUUAAGUUGAAUCCAAAAAUAAGCUUAAUUGAGCUCAACAGUUAAAUAUGACUCAAAUCCAUGUGGUUAAGUUCAUAACGUUCCCUACAGAACUUUAUAAAUAGAAUAGUUCUCCUCGUUUGUAAGGGUUGGAAAUUUUUUACUCCAUAAAGUUUAGAGAGAAUUCACCAAAUAACUAGAAGAAUCUAUGAUUCCUGAAGUUGAUUGCCCUCGAAGAUUGAAGCUCAUUUAAAGAUAUAAGUUUUCUUCUAAUACUUCAACUUUAAGAACAUCAUGUGCUCCGUUUUCUCCAAAUCAAGCGUAAACAUCACAUUAAAUCAACAAAAAUACAACAUCAACUCAAGUUCAACGAAAACCUUAUGCAAACAAUAACCAUAAAAAAAUUAGGCACAUAAAUAAUAAUUUAGAUAUUUAAAAAAAUUGAGUCAUUUUAAAAGUAUUAUAAAUAUGACUUUGAGAAUAUUUCUGAUAGAGUUUUAGAAGAAUGAACAAUAGGUCAACGAAGAAACGGUAAAUAUAUACAUAUAUACGUUACAAGUUAGGUGAAUUUUUUUGACAAUAUAUUAUUAAUUAGACUAAUUUUUAAUUUAAAUAAACUCUUUCAAUGGUAUUAAUAAAUAUCUGUCAAGUACUAGAGGUGGGGAGUAGAGUUAUUGAUACAUACAUACACACACACACAUAUAUAUAUAACUUAAAAAUAUCACUUAAUACUAAACAAAAUAAACAUCAGUUAAUAUCGACAGUAUCAUAUUAAAUAAAAAAUAUUAGACAUCACUUAAAAAAAUUGAAUUUUCAGUACCUUAUAAACAAAUCGCAAAGUAACAUUUAAAUAUUAGGAAAGACUAAAAAUAAUCAUAAUUUUUUUUUAUAAAGAAUUGGAUUAUUUAAUUACACAAGGCGUAAAAAACGUGAUAAUUUUGUAAACAUAAAUAAUAUGAAUUUGACCAUAAACAAAUUAUAUAUAGUUAAUUAGAUGGUAAUUAAAAUUAUAAGAAGAAAAAUUGAAAAGAUAGUAAAUGGUCGCAUUAAGUUGGCUAAACUGCCCUCUCUGACUUUAUAUUUAAUUUUAUUAUAAUGUUUUUUGUUUCACCUUUGAUUUAUUUUUAAUUUUAUGCCUUGAUGUCUCUUUCUUUUAAAAAGUUGAAUAAAACAAGGAAUUAAAAUACAUAUAUUUCUUCCAUAGGUUGAAUUCCAAACCUUGAAACCGCUUUUAAAGAUUAGCGGUUUUGUUGACUUUAGUUGUCAAAGUCCUUCAAGGAUCACACACCACAUUUUAUAACCUUUUUUAUUUUCACUAUUAAAUUCCACUUCAAACCUACAAGUAAGUAAUAUAUAUUAAACGCCCAAAUUGGCUUUUGCCCUUUUUUUGGGUAACAACGUUUGUUUUAAAGCUUCAUUUAUUUUUAAAUAUAACACCCCAUAAAUUGUAUACUUUUAAUCAUUCUAUUCUUUUUUUAUUAUAAUAAACAUCAUAAAUUUUGACACGAGCUUAACUAGAUUCACAUAAAUAUAUAGUUCGAAUCUAAUAAUAUUUAGAGUGGUUUUAUAAUUUUCUACGAUUUUAUUUUUAUGCACUAUUAAUCAGUAGAGAUAAUUUAAUAACAUUUAACUAAAUAAUAUAUUGAAUUGAUAAAUUAAAACUCUGAAAGGAUGAAUGUUGGCAUGACAAAAAAAACAAAAUAAAAUAAGACUUGAGUUAGCUUUAUUAAUCACAAAAUAAGACUUGAGUUAGCUUUAUUAGCUCAUUUUGUUAAUUGACUAUAUUAAUUAGAUUAAGUUCCUACGUGUCUAUUUGGGGAAAAUUUUAUAAAUAUUUUUACUAAUCAUAUUUUUAAGAACAAAGCCUUAGUAAUUUCACCAUAAAUAAAUAAUUAUAUUUUCCACUAAGAGAAAUUACAGUUUUGCCCUCGUCGAUUUGAUUCGAUCUCUGUGGAUAUAAAUUUUCGCUCUAAUAUAAAAUUCUAUGGAGAGAAAAUAAAUAACAAUAUUGUACUUUUUUUCAUUUUUAAUAAUUUUAACCUUUCCUAAAAAAUAAUUUAUUAGUUUAAAUUUAAGUGAGAUAUGACGAUACUUAUCGACAUUUGUGAAAAAUAUUAAAAUAAGCUCAAUAGAAAAACAUUAAUAUUAAAGUGAUUUUUCCGAUAAAUUUUUACUCUAUUUUAAAUUUUAUUGAAUUAAAAGUAAGUUUUAUGUUUCUUGAAAUACUCGUUUCUAAAAUUUUCCAUUUAAAACGUAAUAUGAGUUUAUUAAUAUUAAUUUAUGUAUAGAGUCCCUUUCUUCGAUUUAAAGUCCAAAAGGUAGACACAUAAGAGUCAUUAGUAUAACAUAGUUAAAGAGAAAAAAAAAAGUAUAAUAUAUGUAUAAAGAUAUUAAAAUAAAAUUGAAUGAAUAAAAAUUUCAUGUAGGUACUAUAUAAGAUUUAAAAAAGACUUUGUGUUAUAACAUUAUUAUUAAUUAUAUGAACUAGUUGCCCCUUUCAAUGAAUGCCCAAUUUGUUCAUAAUAACUUUAGUUGACUUCUAAUUUUAAAGUCAACACCUAGUUAUUAUAGUGAGUAUAUAUAUAUAUAUAUAUAUAUAUAUAUAUAUACUAACAAACAUUAUGCCCUUUCCUUUAAUUAAUCCCACUUUAAUUAAUAAUACUUAAAAGAAGACUCUACUUUUGUUUUCACUUCUAUAUUCAUUAAAUCUCAAUUGAUGAUAUUACUUCUAUUAUUGCAACAUUUUGAAUUUGAAUCAAUAACAUUCAACACACGUUAACAUAAUAAUUAAACAUUGCUUUUAGAAAUGUACAUGUUAAAGUUUGUUUCAUUUCAGUGACCCUAAUUGAAAUUAUGUUGAGUUAAUACAUUUUCAUGCAAGCUAUGAGCACUUUUAUGACUAAACCAAUACUCCUUUUCUUUUCUUUGGGAAUUAGUACUUCUAUGUUAAAUGCUUUUCUCAAGCUUUAUUUUAAUAUUUCAAUGUUAUUUUCAACCCCCUUUUUUUUUAUCUACUUCACCCAUAUUUUCAUGGAUUGGUUUGACCAUUUUUGAGUUAAUCACAAUGAAUAAUUUUGUUUAAUUGGUUUCACUAGUUGAAUUUUUAGAUCAUUCCAAAAUAUAAACAUAAAUACAAUACAAACUUUAAUGGUAGACAUUAAUAUAAAUAUAAUUUGACUAAUCUACUCCUUAAAGCUUAGAAUUGAAUUCAAUGAUUUGAAUGUUUUAAGGGAAGGUGUUAAAUUUGACAAACUACAAGAGGAAAAAACCAAAAAAGAAAGAGAGGGAUAGGAAAUAAUGAGUGAUAUUAUUGUAGCAUUGAUUCUGGUUUAGGUAAUCUUCUUGAGCAUAAUGAAUGGAAGGGGUUGAGAAGUAUUGACUUUAGAAAUGGGAACUCGGAGGGUGACUCGCCGAGUUAGAUAAUAUUUGGAUGUAUACAAAGCAUCAAUGUCCUUAUCCAUUUUGAGAAGGCAUAUUUCAUUUUCAAACUUUAUGAGAAAGUAAAGAUUUUUUUUUUUCUCUUUAUACAAGAAAAUUUCUAAGCAUAGUGUUGUACAAGCCAAGUCGGCUAGGGCAAAUUUAUUAGGAGUAUCAUUUAAUUCAAAAUAUCUCUUCUUUUUUCAUUCAGUCUUAUCCUCCUAUUUUCAUCGUUUUUGUCUUUUACUUCAAAGUCUUGUUCAUACGAGAUAAUUUCGAGUAUUAUUAUGGUAUAUGAUUCUCAUUCAUAACUUACUAUAAAUUAAAGUAGCGCGUUUAAGAAUCAUGUGGAGUUCAUAAAUAUUGAAUUAAUAAAUCAUUUGAUGAAUUAUCAAAUGAUGAAUGGAAGUAGUACGUACUACGAUAGUAUUAUAUAUUUUUUUAAUUUACUAUUAUCCAUGAGAUGUAACCACAAAAAAAUUAACGUGAUAAGUUAGUGCAAUCAUGAUAGUAUUGAAUUGUUUUAUUUAUGGUUGUUCUCAAAGUGGAUGAGUUUAACCUUGUCCUAAUAAGUGAAUUGAUAUUAGUUGUAAUUUAUCAUCGUUCGGUCUAAUCCGUUUUUUUAACCAAAUCGUCAUUGAAUCGAUUAUGAUUGGUAUAGUGAAUGAUGAAACGGACAUCAACGGUUGAUGAAGACAUAUUUCUAAAACGUAAAUAAUAAGCAAAAAGAAAAUUACAAGGGUAAAUAUAUUAUAGACAUUUAAACAUAUUUUAAAAGGUUAAAAUAUUUAUUUAUUUUAUGAAUAAAAUUCACCAAAUUCCAAAUUGAUCAAAUAAUAUCUUAAAAUUUCUACAAUUCAACUUUAUGGACUAUUAAAAUCACUAUAUGAUUAAAAUUGAAUGCUUAGUAGCUUAUUCUUCAAAAUAGUAAUAAUAAUAAUAAAUGUGUUUGGCUUAUUACCGAAGUAAAAAUAAUUUCAUGUAUUUAAAAAUAAUAGGAGUAUUUACUCAGCUUAAAUACUGCAAUUAAGACUUCAAGAAAUUCUUUUAGUUUUAUUUUAUCCAAACUACGGAUAUUACACAAAUUUAUCUUCCUCUUCUUCUUUUUUCUCUUUUUUUUUCAUUUGUAAUGAACUUAAUACAUAAUAAUUAUAUGAAUAAAUAAAUGUAUUAACAUCAAACUUCAUAGUUCCAAAUAUUGUUUAUUAGUUGAAGUGUUUAAUUUAAUACAUUAGCCACUCAAAUUCACGAGAAUGUCUUACUACAAAAAUUCAAUCAUAAAUUUUAAUUCUUUUUAAGUAUUCAUAAAUCUAAUAAUGACGUUUUUCUUAUAAAAAUGAAAAUAAAUAAAUAAAUAAAUCGAACGCGCUAUAUUUUUAUUUAGAAUAAAACUAUGUCAAAAACACGAGGGGGCGGAGAAUGACCAUUUUGGUCAACGAAAAUAUGAUGUCACCGAGUAGAUUCCCUCUCAAUGUAUUGGCAUUUUUGGUAAUAAACUUUAAAUUUCAAGGGUAUUCAUCAAACCUUAACCCGUUAAAUAUAUGCACAGGUGGCUCUAAAGGAUAUCGCCACUUUCUUCUUUCUUUUUUUCUUCAAACCUUCAACUGAUAGUGGAGCUUCUUCAGUAUAUGAAUUUAUCAAUCAAUUUGCUUCUGUUUUUCUCUCACUCAAUUCAUUUCUUUACCUUUGGAACUGUCUUUUGUUUGAAUCUUUCAAGUUUAUGAGGUGAGAAGAUCAUUUGGAAAUGGAUUGAAAAUGGUUUUUUGUUCUUGGAUUAUGCUCACUCUUGUGUUUUUUUCUAUGCUGUCUUUGCAGAAUUGGAGUUUGGUUUUGUUGAAUUCAUCUUACUUCUCAUCUGGGUUUCAUUUGAGAACAGUUUUUUUGUGGAUUGGAAUUUUGUCCAACGGUUUAGAGACAUUAUGAGUUUGCUUUACAGUACGAAUUUCAAAUUCUCCAACGACGAAAUGAAGAAAUACCCUGAUUUUAUGGAUUGUGAUUCGACCAACAACCAUCAUUCUCAACAAGAACACAACAAUUCUGGUGGUCUUAUGCGUUAUUGCUCUGCUCCGACCUCUCUGUUUGCGAGUCUCGUCGAUGGAACUGAAGGUUUUAAUUCCAGCAACAAUGGCGGUGGGACCCGUGAGGAUUAUCGGUUUAUUCGAUCUUCUAGCCCUGAGGUCGAAGUUAUUUUGUCGAGGUUUAUGGCGUCGUGUAAUGGAAAAUUUGAUUCGGGAUCUGGUGAGAGGACGGUGAAGGAAGAAACAGGGGAACCGGUUCAACAACAAAACGGGUUCUGUAAUCAACCAUCUUCAAUGGUUAAUACGAGGUCGGUUGAUGCUGGUGGUAGAGCUCCGGUUGGGAACUCGUAUGGUGUUAUGAAUUCUUCGGAUUUUGAUAACUCGAUGCAAUCGCAAUUGGGUGCGAGAAAUUGUUCUAAUCUUUUUAGGCAAAGCAGCUCUCCUGCUGGAUUUUUCUCUCAUUUGAUUGCUGAAAAUGGUAAUAUUUCUGUACAUGAAAUCCCCUUUUUGUUUUUGGUUUUUUUGUUCUCUCAAAUUAUAAGGGUGUAGGCUACAUGGUUUAGUCAACCUGAUUGGUUAAAAAAAUUUCAGCUCCAAUAUUUGUAAAGUCCUUUGCUCCCAUUAAUUUAACUUUAGUCGUUUUUCUUUGGGCUUCUGUUACAAAGAAAUUUAGAUAUUAUUUUGUUUGAUUGGAGAUGCCUCUGUUUUUGUAGGCUUUCCUUUGUUCUUGUAUUCGUUUGUUUACUCGUAUAAAAGAAAAUUCAGAAUAUGGUUUUUAUUUUCCCUUUUUGUGAAAAGAAAAAAGGAUUGCUUCUUCAUCUUCAUAGCAAACAUAGUUCAACUUACAUAUAUAUGUUAACGACGGAGGGCUUUGUGGUUAAAGCUGAAACUGAUAAUUUAGAUCGGAUUCUUUCAUGGAUUAGAUAGUGUAGAUUGAGUAGCUUUUUCGUUGAGUCACUUGUUAACAGGACUACCUCUUGUUAAAUUGCAGGCAAUACAACAAGGGAGGUCGACAAGUUUGGGACUUGCAAUAGGAAAGAUGUAGAUGCUGCUUAUCCAUCUACUCGGAUUGGUAGUCAGAUGAACUUAUCCGGCCAUUCAUUUGGCUCAAACCAUAUGCCACCAAUCGCGGAAGAGGAGAAUAAAAGCAUAGGCAUUGUCGGUAGCUCCCGCCAUCGUCAGAAAGCUAACAGCGGUGAUCGACUUCAGACCGACGAUUUCCUCAAUAGUUCUUGGGAUAACUCUGCAAUGAGGGACACAAAGAGAGGGAGAGAUAACAAUGGGCGUGCAUUUGCAACUUCGAUUGUGCUUGAAACUCAGGUACAACUUGAUGAGAGUACCUGCCAAGUGUUUUCUGAUUAAUAAUGUGCUUUGCGAUAGGGUUUGGCUUAACAAGUCUUUCUUCAGCAGAAUGCUGAUUCUGGGAAUAACAUUCGUGGAUUGGCUCAUCAUUUGAGUUUACCUAUAAGUUUCAAUAAGGAUCCGGUAGAGAAAUUUUUACGAUUUCAAGAGCCUGUCCCUCAUCAAAUUCGAGCAAAAAGAGGAUGUGCCACACACCCGCGAAGCAUUGCAGAGCGGGUAGAUCCUCUCUUCUUUCAAUCAACCUCUCAUUGUUCUUAACUGAUUAACUCUAAUGUAAACUCAUCAAAUUCUUAAUCUCCUAAUGCUCAAAUUAUCAGAUGAGAAGAACACGGAUUAGUGAGAGAAUAAAAAAACUGCAAGAGCUUUUUCCUGACAUGGACAAGGUAAUUAUCCUGAGCCUAGAUGAUAAAUCUUGUUUAUGUCGUAAAGUUUACAAUGUUUAAAGACUAAAAUAGUUCGAUCGCUCAAUCUUUCUUUGCAGCAGACAAGCACAGCUGAUAUGUUAGAGUUGGCCGUUGAAUACAUUAAAGGGCUGCAGAGACAGGUCAAGGUAACCUCCAAAAGCAACCUAAAGUUCAUAAAAUCACAUGAAGAUCCAGCCAAUACCUUUUACUCACAAGAAUCACUUUUCUUUUCGUGCAGACUCUCACAGAUACGAAAGCGAAAUGCACUUGCUCAUGUUCGAGUCAAUAACAAGAAGCCAUAAAGAAAGCAACACCUAUCUUUUAGUUUGAUUUUGAUCUGUACAGAAAGCAGGCAACACCUAUCUUUUAAGCUCUAAGGAAGAAAGAUACAAGAAAGAACAAUACAACGUUGUCUACUUUGUUUAAAAGUCAUAGGAUUUUAGGAAAUUGUCUGUGUAAUAGAAACUCUUGUAAGUUAAAAUAGUUCAAUGUAAGAUCCAAAUCAUGGGUCAUUCACUCAACAAAAUCCAAUUGAAUAGUUCGCUUUCUGGCAUGUAAAUGUGCUGCUUCCAUCAUCAUAUGCAUAACUAUAAGCCAAUGGACAAGCUAACUUGAAUGCUUUCGAAUAAACUGUCGGCUUACACGUCUUCGGGGUACUGUAUACCCCCGUGCAGCAAUACUCUGGCUUGUUGAAAGCCAGGCAUGCACUCUUACAACCAAUGACCGUAUCAUUCUUCUUCAUCUCCAAACCAUCAGGGCAAUGCUGAUUCAAAUCUGUCAGGCAUUUCACCGUUUGGCAAGUACUCGAUCCACCAGAUGGAGCUAUCGAAAUUGGAAUGUUAUAGCCAUCAACAAGGCUAACAUCAUAAAAAUCUAAAGGACUGUCUAAGGUGAACUCUGCAAGUGUGGCAGGUGGGACACCACCCGCCCCUGCACAUUCGAGUACGCCACCACAGUCACCAGUUUGGCACGUUCCUUUGCCAGAGACAUCAAAGGAACAUCCACGUCGACCCCAGAAUCGUCCGGACCAUCCUGUAGGCGCAUUGAUCGUCACGGUCUCGCCAGGCUUAAGCUGAAAUCCACCAUUCAUCAGUUGAGGCCUCCCAGCUCCUGGUUGGAUUCCUGGCCAUAUUAUGUCAUUACAUUUAUUCUCCAAAGUGAAAACUGCAGCAUCAAUGCCUGAAAAGGAAAACCAUGCAUCAGAAUACAAAGAGAAAGAAAGGAAAAGAGAGAGAGAUUUGUGUUUGGUACCCAAGAAAAAGCACAAAGGCAGAAUGACAAACAAGAACUCCAUGAGAGCAGGAAAAAAUGGGAACGUUGGAUUAUGAAUAUUGGGUUUUAAAGAAGGCCAAACAAACAGAACUUUCUGACCCAGAAGAAAUCCAACAACUUGUCACAUGAGGAUGAUUUUUACGACUUGAUAUGUUACCAAAAUUGGAUGGAAAAAACGAUACGUUUGGUAAGUGAGUGAUUGAAAGAAAAAAAACUGGUCUUAAAUUCACUUGUAUUUGACCACAAGGCCAGAGAGUAAAAACAAAUAUGGUAAUUUCAGCAUUUAUGGGUAUAGUUAAGCUAUCAAAAAUGGCGAAAAGAGAAAUAUUUCAAUGGUCUAAAGCUUACUAUCUACAAGAAUCAUGUGAUAAUUAAUGGUGGGAAAAUUUCCAAUCAUGUUUUUACUUCAUUGGGUGCCCAAUUUUAAUUUUAAUCACUUGGAUUGUAUUGAUUUUUAGUAAAUAAUGAGAGUAUUAAGUACAUAUUAGCAAUUGGUUAAGAGUUUGUUGAGAGGAGUUUGGAAUCAUAACGUUAAAGCUAAUAUCAAUUAGCUCACUUGUUUUGAUAUUUAAAGAAAUACAAAUGUGGUAGAUACUAAAAAACUCAUCGAAUUUUGGAGUAUAUGAAAGAAGUUAUGAACUAUGAAGGUAUUAUUAUUUUCCUAAAAGAAAACAUUGGGUUUAAUUAGGCCUUGAAAUGAGGAAUGUCAAUUGGGGAAGUCAUCCCAAGUAUAUAAACACAAGGCCUUUGGGCCAUAGCCCUACUUCUACUUCUUAAUUGUUGGGCCACUUCAGCACUUUGUUACCCAAUUAUUAUCAUCUAAUUGUAAUGACUAAUUGACUAAUUAGAUUAGUAUCUUAAAUAAACAAACAUGGUACAAUAAUGAUAAAACAUUUGUAAAAUAGCAAAUAUUUUACCAAUUAAAUAGUAAAAUUUUUGAAAAUGUCAAGUUUGAUCUUCCUUAUGAAAAUUAUUAAUAGAAGCUAUCACUAGUAACCGAUAUCAAUGACAGCACUGAUAGUACAUUUUUCAAAUUAAAAUCUAUUAUUAAUAGCAUCUAUCGGUGAUAGUAACUACUAUCUAUAAUAGUUUUCAAUUUGAGAAAAUAAAAAAAAAAAAAAAAACUUGCACUUAGAAUAAUUAUUAGUGAUAACAACUAAUAACGGCUAUUAGUGUGAUAAUAUUUAUGAGUGAUAGCUUUAAUUUGAGAAAUUUGGAAAGGAACGCUCAAAGUGGUGGCUACACGUUGAUUUUUUUAGUCUUUUACUAAUUUUGUGCUAUAUGCAAUUAUUUCAUCACUUUGUUACAUAUUUUACAAUUUGUUGUUUAAAUGUCACUUACGAAAGUGGCUCAUUUUUAAACUUAAUACUCAAGUGUAUAACAACGUUGUUAAAGAAAUGUAAAUAUAACCAAAUCUAUAGACGUGAAGAGUAGUAUAAGUUCAAUUUUCAAAAUCCAAAAUUUAAAACACCAUUCUCAUCUUCUUGUUUUUUUAAUAAACAAAUGAAUUUCUUGGUUCUGGUUAUCCAUUCAUAACGUUUACAAAAUAAAAAUUAUCGUAAAUGAAAAAACUGUUGAAAAUAUUUAUAAAAAUAUAUAGUAAAUUUUCAAAAUUUAUUAAUAAUAUAGACGAAUAUACUCUUUUUUCUAUAUCAGCGUCUAUUAGUGGUAAAUUUGAAUUGUAAAUAUUUUGUUUCUAUUUGUUACACUUAAAAAUACCCUAAAUCUAAACCUAAUUUCGAAAAAUAAACCGUUUGCUAAUCAUUCGGUUUUGUAAAGUUAAGCAUAUAAACGUUAUUUCUAUCCGUUAUCCAUUUAGGUUUUGAAAGUAUAGUUUUUUUUCUUUGGAGAAAAACCAUAGUCAUAAUAAUUAAUACCUUUAGUUUUUUAUAAAAAAAAAUAUUUUGAAGCAUUAUGUAGUUGAAGUCAAAGCAAUAUGGUAAUUAAGAACUUGUUAAAAAUUAAACAACGUUAUUAUAUUAAUUAGAUAAAUUAGUUUUUGACUCUUGAAUUAAACAAACUUAAUCAUUAUUAUAUCAAAUUCAUUGCCCAAAUUGAUUAUAAACUAUAAAUUAAGAAUUGUAAAUUAUUAGAAAUAUGUGAAGGGUUUUGCUUAGUUGGUCUCAACAAUUUGUUUGGUUAAAGACAAAUCAGUAGAUAAAUUAAACUAAAACAAAGGAUUAAACAAAUCCAAUUGAAAAAGAGACUUCUUCUAUAAACCAUUUUCAUUAUUGUGAGGCAUUCAAAAUCAUCAUUAUUAUUUUUUUGUUUGAAAUUACUCAUUUUGUUUACCAUUUUAUUCCAUCAUAUUAAUAUUGGUCUCGAUAGGAACUAAAUCAUUACAAAUUAUAAAGUGCAUAAACUAAUUCGUUAUGCUUUUGCUUCCUCUCAUGAUGAUUUGCUGACUUGAAAACUAAACUUCUAACCAGAUAUAUUAUUCUUUUUGAAUAUUUGUUUUGGUUCAGAGUGUUGUUGUGUGGCUGCUAACAAAAGAAAAAAUGUAUUAUUAACUUAUACUGUAUAUGACGUGGUUCAUAGAAUAGAACUUGUUACAUUGACCGAAUAAAACUUUAUAGAUCUUCUAAAAUAAUAAAUAUACUCAAGUUGAAUCUAUCAUUUAUUUGAUUUAUGAUUGGUAUAGUUAGGUAUAAUUCCAUUUUUUUAUUGUCUUGUUCAAGUUUGGUACAAGCAAAAAUUUUGACAAUAUUAAUUGGAAACUAAUUGAUACAUAGUCAAAUUUUAAUUUAUUUUGAUGGUAGAAUCCGAAGAUGAUUUUCAAAAGCAAAAGUCGUUAAUUAUAUGUCUAACACACCUUUUUACUAAACUCAUAAAUUCAAAAACAUAUAAAACAUAAUUUUUACUUACCAAUCAGACGUUCAAACUAGUUAAUAAACCCGAUCAAAAAUCUUUUAUUUUUUAAAAAAAAUAUUGAACCCGAGACGUCUUAUCCUCGAUACAUAUACAAGUGUAUGUUGAGUAUCCAAUAUUUUUCUAAACCAAAAUUUGUUGUUUUUACUUGAAAACACAUAGACUUACAUGUUAGGAGGUUAGGAAGUAUAUGAACCUAAAUUAAUAUUACAAAUACAAAAAAUAAAAAGCAUUUAAAAAAAGGAAUAGAUUGAUUUUUGUGUAGUAAAAUAUAAGGUAACAAACACAUAAAUAUAUAAUUUAUGAAGAUUUAUAGGAUUUGUUUGUUGUAAUAAACAAUGUUUGGAAUCAUUCAAAUAUGAACUAGCACCAAUUACAACCAAUAAGAAACACCUAAAUAAUAUUUUUUGGUCAAUGCCCACACCACCACGACUUAUUAUUACUAUUAGUUUUCUUUUUUCUUUUCAAGCAAUAUCAUAUAUCAUAUAUCAUAUAUAUAUAUAUAUAUAAAUUAUUUCAAUAGCAUGAUAUAAUAUUUAUGAAAAGUUGGUAAGGUCAAGGUCAAACUUCCCACAUGAGUGAGAGAUUUAACUUUUUGUCAUUAAUUAAUAAGUAUGUGUGAUGUAUGAUCCUUUUGAUAUUCUAAAUUUAUGGUAUGAUAAUGUUAAAAAGAAAAAAAAAAAAUUGAUUUAUAAUUUUAGGUAGUAAUGUGUGUGUCAUAAGUUUAGUGGUUAUUCUUUGCUUAAGUAACUUUGUUUGAGAUAAAAAAUUGAAGUUCAAUUUUACAAUACGAAGAAAAUAUUGUAUAAUAAAACAAAAGGAAUAACCUAACCCUAAUUAAUCAAACUGUGUAAUUAGAUGGUGUUAGUCAUUAAUUACAUCUGGAAUAGGGUUUUGAAAUAUUAUCAAAUUUAAUUCCAACAAAACAUGGAUUAAUCUCAAACUUAAAAUUCUAGGUUUUGUUUUUAUUCUUAAUUAACAUAAUUUGUUCAAGGAUCUUUUAGGUAUGUUCGUGUGUGGAUAUGAAACUACAUGGUUUGUGCAUAAUGUAUGGAUACAUCAUUCAAACGAUUUGAUAGCAAUAUUAAUUUACUAACAAUAAAACAACUAGAUUGUUGCGAACAAAAUAUAGUGAUAAACAAACAUAAAAUAAUAUUGUAUUUAAAACAUUGGAAAAAUAGUUUUGUAUGUAAAAUUAAAAAGUUCAAAAUUCAAUUGUAUUUGUUCUAUCUCUUAAAAUUUCCAAAAUAAUAAUUAAUCAUCUUUCAUAUAGUUUCCAACAAUUUUUUAUUUAGAAAAAAACACUAUUUUUUUUUCUUGAACCUCACAAGUGGUAAUUAAAAUAGAGAAGUAAACAAUAAAAUACACAUUUUUUCCUUUUUUUUCUUUUUUUCCUCUCUUAAAAUAAUAUAUCCAAUAUUAAUUUUAUAUUUUAAUCAGAAGCAAAUGGGUUGAAUUUCACAACCGGAACGCAAUUGAGCGGGUGGGCCAUGGGCAACCCGAGACCCGAUCCGAUUUCCAUAUUCGCCUUUUUCUCCUCUUUGCCGUCCACUUUCCAGUCAAAGCAUUGAACCAUGGCGGCGAUUACGACGGUGCUGGUGGUGAAAGCCAAGGUAGACCCGGGACAGCCGCGCCGUCCGCCGCCAAAUGGAACGAAAUUGAAAUUUUGGCCCUUAAUUUCGUACUGGAUCUGCUUCAUGCUGUCGCCUUCCUUGGCCUGUGAUAUGAAUCUCUCCGGCCGGAACUCGUUGGGAUCUUCCCAGGAAUUGGGAUCUCUCAUAAUGGCGAAGAGAUUAACGCCUACCAUGGUGUUUUCCGGUAUGUCGUAACCGUUGAUUUUGCAGCUUUGUGGACAACUCCUCAUCGCCACCGGCACCGCCGGGUACAUUCUUAGGCCUUCCUUCACCACCGCCUACACAAUUUUCAGUUCACACUAUUUAACUAAAAAUAAGAGACAUUUUUCACAAAAAUUCAAAUUAUUUACAAAAUAACUAUCUAAACUGUUAGACGAUGUGAAAAUAGUUUCAAUCUUUUUUUAAUAACUAAUUUGUAAAAUAUCAAAUCUUUUCAAACGAAAAAGUAAAUUGUUUUUUUUACUUAGUUUCCUCCAUGAUAGAGGCAGGAUUUAAACCUUACUUGCAAGUAGGGCAUAUGGGGAACGUCGUUUUCCUGAACAAGUCUCGAGUCUCCGACAACGGAGAGUAUCUCUUCUCUUAGCUUUUUGAGCUCUUUUGGGUGGUUGAUUAGCUCUGCAAUUAUCCAUUGCAUCACCUCCGUCGACGUUCCGGUCCCGCCGACGAAAAGAUCCUACGAAUUAAACACCUCAAUUUAACAGACUAAUACAAUAAUAAUGACAGAUACACAAAACGACAUUUGUUACAAUUUAAACGCCAUUUUCUUUCUCUUCCUUGCCGCCACCGGCCGGCAGAUAAUACACGUCCGACAAUAAUCAAAUUAUUGAAUCAAUCAUCAUUUGAAAAUAACUAAUAUAUUUCUAAUGGUUUAAAUAUAGCAUUUGAAGACUAUUUAUUCUUUUUAUUUAUAAAAAGCAAAAUAAUAGCAAUAACUAUUUAAAUUUAUAGAUUAAAACGAUCUAAAAUGUGAAGUGUAUAAAUUUGACAACCCACUUUUUACAAAUGAAGGCAACAACCUUUGAAAUUAUAGUAAUGUUAAAUAUGUGAGUAUAAAAUACUAAGAUUCCUUCCAUAAAUCUAAUAUGAUCAACCAUUAAUGCUUCAAACUGAAAUAAACAUACUUUAAUUUUUGUCAAAGUUCAAACUUUAAAGAAAACUAAUUAAACCCCAGAUCCAUAUUUUUCUCUUGUUCAAAGUAUGAUAUUCCAAACCCCCUUUUUCUCUCUCUUUUCUUUUGAUUAACAAAAUGACAAGAAAAAUUAAGGAAAAUUUAUUUACAUAGAAAGGAAAAGCAUUUCAUGUGUCAAUAAAAACAGAAAAAUAGAUGAUGCAAAUAAGUUAUUAAUAAUGAGAAGAAAAAAACAAACUUACCAACAAGAAAGCCUUCACAUUUGUUCUAGUAAUCUUAAACUCCGCUUGACUAUCUUGAUGAACCUUCAAGAUUAUAUCCAUUAAAUCUCUGUCUUCUCUGUCAAAACCUUCUACCUUCCCUCUCUCUUCAUGUUGCUUUAAUGCUUUUUCUAAUAUCGCAUCGUACCUGUAAGAGUUGUCUCGUCAUAUUUAGUCAAAUACGUAUAUAUGAUCAUAUACGAUCAAAAUGAUCCAAGUUAUGUCCUUUGUACCUCAUCGUCACGUCAAUGGCUUGUUUUCCAUACACCCAAAAUGCCACCCUUUUCAGCGGCCAUCCCACCACGUCGCCGAAGGCUACUUUUGCUCCAACCUCCAUUGUAUCUUUUACUAGUUGUCGAAUCUUUUCGGAUUCGUCACUGUCAUCUGCGCACCUUAUGCUCAUCAUCAUCCUGUUGAAAUUUAAAAACAAAAAAGUUAAAAUUUACUACAACUCAUAUCAACUUAAUUCUUUUAGUUCAAAAGUUGUUAUUUGUUCAAGUCAUUCUCUUCGAUCUAUCGUGAUAGACUAUAGUGCGGAUAGUUAAUAUCAACCUGCAAAUGCUAUUGUUGGUUAGUUUCAUGAGCUCUGCACCAACAUCAACGAGCUGGUUGUUGUUGGCAGCAGCCACCAUUUUUCGCAAGAAUCUCAAAACCUCUUCAUACCGAACAGCGCGUGAUCGUUCAACUUGUUUCGGUGCAAGAAGCUCGGUCAUGGUGAGCUUCUUCAUGAAACGCCAAUAGUCACCGUAAGGAGCGGCGAAGAAUCCAGAGCUGCCAUAGGGGGUUUCAUCGCUGAAGGCAAACUUUGGACGAGAAGAAAAGGCGAGAUCUUGAGUCUUAAAGACUUCGGUAGCGAGGGAAGCGGAGGAGACGACUAUGCAACGGACAGCACCAAGUUGGAGGCAGAGAAGUGGGCCAAAUUUGGAGGAGAGGGCAGUGAAGGACUUGUGGAGGGAGGGAGAGAGGAGGUGGAGGUGACCAAGAAUAGGGAUGGACGGGGGGCUCGGCGGGAGGCGGCGAAGAUUGGAGGAGGAUUUGGUGGUUUUUGAUCUAUGGAAAAGAUAUUGGAGGAGGAGAGUUGAGAUGAAACAGAAGAUGAAACAGAGGAUGUAGGUGUUUGUUUCUGUCAUAUUUCUCUCUUUUCUUGUUGUUGUUUUGAGUUGAGAAGUUGAGAGAGAGAUGAGAAUGAAGUUAAUGAAAGAUGGAAUGAAUCAAUUUUGUUGUGUCAUCUCGUUUGAGACCCUUCCUUUCUUCUCUUUUAUUUAUAGAAUUCAUAGACUUUGGAUCUCUCUCACCCUAUAUGUGAUUUUGAGAUUUCAAAUGAGUCCCUUCCAUUUAUACUCCAAUUAUUUCAUUUAGUGACCAAAUUUAUAAUGAAAAUAUCGACUACCAUUUUAAGACAAUAUUAAAUCUAAGUAUGUUAGCAUGACAAAUAAUAUUUAUAACUUGUUAGGAGACAUGAAUAAUAUUUUAAUCUACAUAAAAAAAAUAGUUAUCAAAACCAUAUACUUUUUUAACUUGUAUCAUAUAAUUAGUGAGUAGUUUUGAGGAUCUCCUUUUAAAAAAAUUAAGAGAUUUCACCGUUUUUAUAAAGAUAAAUGAUUUCGAAAUGGUAUCACAUGUUAUCUAUUAGUAAUAGUUAUAAUUAGACUCUAAAACUCAUCAAAGUUACAAUAGUUAUAGAGAUUGAACCGCCAAAAUGAUAAAAAUCAAAUUUAUCCAAUCAUUACCGUUCUUACAAUUAUGUACGUUUAAAGGUCUAAUUUCAUUUUGAAUGAUAGAGUAUAAUUGCAAUUAUCAUCAUACUUUAGUGGUGGUCUUUUCAAUUUAUCAUAAAUUUGUGUCUUUGAUCUAGAUUUUAAUAAUAUCAAGAGUUGUUAAGUAUAUUUAUGUCCAUGCCUUAUUAUUUCUCCCCUAUACUAAUAUUUAUGUCCCAUGGGGCUGUCUCUAGAAAUGAAUAUUAAUUGAUGCCUUAAAAUGUAUAUAAUAGUAAUGAAACAUAAAUGAUUUAGGAACUAUAUUGUUUAGUUGAAUUAAAUGAUUUGGUAAAGUGUCACAUAUUAUUAUUACUUAUUUUGUAAUUUUUCAAAUGGCCUUUUUUUUUUAUUUAGUACAAAAGUAUAAUAAUAAGGAUCCAUUUUUUAUUAUUUAUAUUAUAAUUGGUUAUUUAAAAAGGGUGGAACUUAUAUAUAUUUCAUAAUAUAUAAAAAGCUCCAAUAAAACUCCCAUCAUUUAUUAACAUUUUUGUAAAUUCAUUGAUAUUUGUGUAAUUUUGAAAAGGAGUUAAAUAAUAAUUGGUAAUUCCAAAAAGAAAAUUUGUUUUCCUUCUUUAUAAAGUCAAAAUUCAACUCUAAGAGAAAUUACAAUAAUUCUUUCCACUCAAAACCCUAUUUGACUCACAAGUCCAUUUCUUUUAUCUUUUAAUCUCUUUCUCAAUAGAGAUAAAAAUAACUUUUAGGAUUAAACUUUUAAAAUAUUAUAAUAAUUUAGUUUAAUUACAUAUUAAUACUAUUUAACAAUAUCUGAAAGGGAGAAAAUUGAACAAUAUUUAACUUUUGUGUUAAUCUAUUUACCAUUAUUAAUCCAAUCAAUUAUAAUUCACAUAUUUAAAUCAUAAUUUUUUUAUAAAAAAAAUCUAAUAAACUAUUCACACUAUGGAGAGAAUUAAGGUAACUUAAAAAUAUUAAACUAAGGUAACUUAAACUUUCAUUAGAACAUAGUUUUAGACUAAAGACUAACGAAGUCAAAUUUUAAUACUUUAUUCUAUAAAACAAACUCACCUUUGGUAUUUUAAAUAAUGUAUUUCCUUCAAAUAAAUAUAUAAUUAAUUGUGAGAGCAAAUGGUUGAAAUUGAAAAAUAUAUCUAAUUAAGACAAUUGUCCCUUUUUUUCUUUAAUUAUGCAACAUGAAUAUAUAUUUUUUAUUUCAUUCAUACUAAUUAAAUUAAUAUAGUGUGUGUCUUACUCUAUAAACUAAUUAAAUAUAUUAUUAACUUUUGUCCUCAUUCAAUUUUUCCUUUCAUUAUUUCUCUAAAAACUUAAUUGUAUAAUUCUUACCCAUAUAUGAAGGUACCUCAUGGGGAAUAAUAUAUAGAAAAUAGCAUCGCCAAUAAGUUAUACAAUUUAUAUUAUGAAUAUGAUUGUUAAUAAAAUUAAAACUGUAUAUACUUUGUUUAAAUAAUUAGAUCAUAGUUUAAACUAAAUUUGUUUAGUUUAUUCGAAAUUUGUAUUCAUAAACAUUUAAUCUCAUCUUUUUUAUUCUUUUACUAAGGGACAAUGAUUUUCACUAAGAGGCAAUGAUUUGACCAGGUAACUAAUAGUUAUAUUUUAAUUCAUUUAUGCAGUUUUAAAUUUUUGUCUCUUUCUUUAAUGUACUUCGUCAUCGAAAAUAUAGAUCAACUUAUUAUUAAAAACCUUCAAUUUCAAAUGUAAUAUCAAUAAAAAAAAAAUGAAAUGGAUCCAUGAAUGACAUGUAACUAUUAGACUAAUGUUAAUAUUUUAGUUAAAUCUAAAGUUUAGGUGUUAUUAUUUUUUUCUCUCCUUGACUUUGCCAACUAAAGCCCUUAGUCUAAACUUUGAUGUAUGUAUGUAUCAUAGAAUAAUUUCCCAUCAUUGUCACAAAAACUCAUAUAAGGUUUUUUUUCUCUUUGCAUAAAAUAUUUUCUACUUACCAUUCAAUUUUCGUAUGAAAUAAAUUAUGCAAAUGUUGUAGUGGAUUUGUGCCUAAGUGCUACAAAAUAAUCAAAUUAAUGUUCUUAAUUAAAACUAUUGUGGAUAUAUAGGAAACGUUAAUGUUACAUCAUAAUCGUAAUUAAUAUCAAUUGAAAAUAAAUGAAACAUUAAUGUUACAUCAUAACAUAAUGUCGUAUCCAAAUGCAAAACACAAAAAACAAUCACUUAUCUCAUUUAAUUUUUCUUUUUCUAAUUCAAUUCUCUUUUUAUUUUUCUUUUCUUCUUCUUUCUCUCAUGAUAUCUACUUCUAUAUAUUUUCCAUAAAUUUCCUUCAAUCCUACUUAGUGUUUGUAGUCAAUACUAUUCAAAUGCUUUGGAAAUGUGGACUCUUUCCUCUUCAUUAUGUCUACCAUUAUAUAAAUCUUCCAAUUUAAAUUUACUUCUUGGAGAAAAUUAAAUAUCUUUAAUGAAGUAUUUUCCUAUAAACAUUUUUACAACAAAUGUCCAAUAUUUUAUAACAGAAAAUUCAUUUUAUCCUCCUAUAGCUUUAAAAUAAUUGAAUAAUAUUUACAAAUAUAUAUAUAUCUAUCCAAUACAAAUAGACAUGAAUAUUUUUUCAUGCUAUAUUACCUAUAAAUCUAAGUUUCAAUCCUUCUUUUCCUUCAAUUUUUCCCAUUUUAAGCUGCAUUUUUUAAAAUGUGUGUGUAUUGAUCAAUAACUUGUAUGUUAAGUAAAAUAAAUUACUUUUGUUUUAGGGAAAAAAAAAAAGAAAUAAAUGGUCAGAUCAUGUUGCAUUAUUUAAUUAUAACAGCAAUUAAUUGACCAUUACUAAAAAAGUAUUCACAACUGGACCAGAUCUCUUGCAUUAUUAUUUUAUAUCUACAUAUUAGAAUUAUGUAUAUGUGUAUAUGUGUGUAUUCAUAACUUAGCAUGACAUACUUGCACGAAAUAUGAAAUGGAAAUUUUUUAUUAUAUUAAACAACAAUAAGUUUAAAUAAUUGAAGCAUAAGGAAAGUAAGGUAUAUUAAAUUAAUCAUAAAAAUAAAAUUAUGAAGAGAAAAAAGAUAUUCUGAUUGUUCAAACUUAAUGAAACAAAACAUAUAGAAAAGGAGGGCAAUUGUUGUUUGUUUCAGAUCUAUUUAAUCAUAAACAUAAGUGCAAAUAAUCAUCCUAUGAACUGCUAAUCAUUUUUUGAUCAUUAGCAAAUUUGGUCGAAUUUAGUCUUCAUAAUUUAUAAUUAGAAUGUAAUGUUAUACUUUAACAAAUAAUUCUUGAGGUGUUGAUUAUUUAUGUUAUAAAAUUUUUAUCCAAUAAACUAUUUAUGAGGUUUUAUCCAACUAUAAGAACUAAAUUCUAUCUUUUAAAACUUUGAAAGUCUCCCGACUUAUAACCCAUUUUAAAUUGAUGUUCUUAUCAUCGUUAAUGAUACUUUUUAUUCGCUUUUUUGGUACACUUCAUCAUAGAUAUUGUUUUAGAUAAAUUUGGAUGACAUGCUACCCAUCUCGCAUAUCUUCAUUAGUGUAAAAUCCAAUAAAGAGAAGAAGUUAUGUAUUAUCUAAUAAAAUGGUCAAAGACUAGAAAUCUCAACUUCACAUUUCACAUCACUCACCAAACUCAUCUUUCAACCAAUGAGUCCAUAUGAAGCACCUCUAAGAAUUUCUAAAGUCGUUCUCAUUCCAAAGUUGAAACAAACAUAGUUAUUCUUAACUUAAACAUAUAUCCAACCAUGACAUCUAUCUAAACAUCAUAAGCAGCGUUAUUCAUCAUCUUCACACACCCCACCAUCGUCCCAACUUCUAGAAACCUGCAUUAGAAACCAAGUUUCUCAAGAAUCUUCAACACAAAAACUAGAAAAAUGUAGAGAGAUCAAGAAGCAAGGAGAAAUAGUUACAUGGCUCGAAAUUUGCAGCGCAUUUCUGAGGCAGAGACAUGGCCAAGUUAUAAUCAACACCAGAAACAGGGGGAGCAUCCAACAACGCACAAAUACAAGACUGGCCUAAAGUUUUGAUAGCAUCGCAACAGACAAGACUUGGUGGUAUAGGGUGGAAUGGAGACAGUGAAGGCCUACAAGGAAUUAGCUGAACAAGAGAGUAAAUUAGACUGUUAGAACAGAACUUGGCUUUAGCUUGCCCUAGAAAGGAUGUAAUUGCCAACAUGAACACCAGAAACUCCAGAGGCUUGAAGAUCGCCUGUUUCAUCUUUGAAUACAGAUAAAAUUCUCAAGUUAAAAUGAAGAUGAAUAUUCUAUCUAGUGAUGCUGCUUAUAUUGAGAGUAACUCAUGCUUUCUUACACUAUCUUCCUAACACAGUACCCACUUGCAAAUGCAAUGUGCAACUUUUUGUUUCUCUUACUAGCUAUGUAUUUUCUGAGGUUUAUCUUUACUCUUUUUAUUUUAUGGGUGUCAGAAAUUGCAAAACUCGUGUUUAUGUGUAGGUGAAACAGAAGGAAAGCACCUGGUUGGUGAAACAGUCCUGAGGAAGUCAAGAAAAUCAAUAGGUAUAAACAAUGCAUCCCAAAAUUUUACAUUCUAAAUAAAAACUUUCAUUAGAGAUAAAUGAAACCUUCUAACAAGUGACUGUUCAUCCCAAGAACAGUCCAACCAAAUAGACUUCAAUCAAUGACAGUCCCAAUCUUCAUACACCAACAGACCAAUGUAGUAAAACAUCAGAAAUUGUUGUUAGCUAACAUUUUAUUCACAUUAUCAAAAUUAGGAACUCACAAAAGGGUAAAAGAGAAUUGAACUUACGAGUUCACUAGAACAACAAAAUAAUAUUAACUCAUACCAUUUGAAGUCAACAAAUUUAGAUAGAGAUAAUAAAUGAAAAGAGAUAAUUCAUUUAGUAAACAGAUUGUUGAGUCCCAUAUACAUGUGACCUACCAUAUACUCAUGGGACAGCAUAUCAAAACACAAAACACAGUAGAUUUACACCAUAGACUAAAUCUAGAGACAGAAAAAGCACUUAAAAAAGUAAAAAACCAAAAACACAAUAAUCAAACCAAACCCUCUAAGCCCUUUCCCCUCUAAUCCUCCUUGCCAAUUGAAUAUCCUUAGGCAUAAUGGUUACCCUCUUAGCAUGAAUAGCACAAAGAUUCGUAUCCUCAAACAGACCAACCAAAUAGGCUUCGGCCGCCUCCUGAAGCGCCGCGACGGCACUGCUCUGGAACCUCAGAUCGGUCUUGAAAUCCUGAGCAAUUUCACGAACCAAACGUUGAAACGGAAGCUUUCGGAUCAGAAGCUCGGUGCUCUUCUGGUACUUCCUGAUUUCACGAAGUGCGACGGUACCAGGACGGAAACGAUGGGGCUUCUUCACUCCACCGGUAGCCGGAGCUGACUUCCUGGCAGCUUUGGUGGCCAAUUGCUUUCUGGGGGCCUUGCCUCCGGUAGACUUCCUGGCGGUUUGCUUGGUGCGAGCCAUUCGGGCAAAUCAGUAGAGCAGAAAUUGGAAGAUUUGAGUUCUGGAGGUUGAAGAUUCGAUUGAGCGAUGAGGAAACUUCGAUGGUUUGGUGAUGGAGAUAUAGGGUUUGCAAGAAGAAGAAAAGCGGGAGAUUUUAAAUUUUGGGGGAAAUUUGGUGGGUUCGUUUCUUAGUUAGCGUGAAGAGUCACCGUUGGAUGAUACCCAUUUGGACGGUCAGAUUACACGAAUUGUUUCCUAUCUAGGAUUGCGAUCCGUGGGGAAAUUUAUCAUCCAAUACAAUUCUGCCACGUAGAAAAUCCCCCCGCCUUCUCUUAGUUACCCACCGGAGGGAAACCAUUUAACCGCGCAAUUUUCUAAUUUAAUUUUUCGGCCAAAUUUUUAAUAGCACAUUUUAAAAUAUUAAAAAAAAACUAUUAACAAAAUCUAUCACAUUAUUCAUAAGUUUUUUUUUUUGUAUUUGUUAAAUAGUUUAAACUUUUGAUAUCAUAAAAGUGCAUCUUUUAAUUAACAUUUUCUUACCAAUUUUUCUUAAUUUGCAUUUACAGUGAUAAUUUGAUGUAAUUUUUUUAAUGUUUUUGUGUUAGCUUUUUCGUAUAUGACAAAAUGUACAAAUAAAAAUUGAAACCAAAUACAUCACUUUAGUAGCUAAAGUUAAGUGUCCUACUUGGACAUUGCCUCAAUAGCACAAUGAUCAUCACAAAAAUCAUCAUCAAUUGGCAUAGGAUUCUUGUUACCCCAUUAUUUGUACUAGAAGUAAUGACUUCUAUGCUGACCAAAAAAGUAAGUUUGGGCAACACAUACAACACAAAUACCCCAAAAGAAAGCGCUGACAACACAAAACCAAUAGCAUCAACCACAUUUGUGAAGAAAUAAAAUGUUCUUUCAAGCAUCAAAGCCUAAUAAUAAAUGCCACAAUGAGCAACCUCCAAUACACAAUCAAAUUUGAGCACCAUCAAACUUUGUUUUAUUCUCAACAUAUAAAUAUGAGUACAAAUUUUCAUCUCAUUCAACUUCAAAUUAGUCCAUGUAAUUAUUAACAAGCUAGCUAGUAGUUGCAAAUCGUGUAUAUGAUCAAGAAACUAAAUUGGGUAACUAUUGUUAUCUAGCAAUUGGUUUCUCUUAAAUCGGAGAACAUGAAAACAAACAUUCAAAUACUCAUCAAAAUUUGUUGGAAUAAAUAGUAUCCUUACUUCCAUUUAUGAGAAUAACCAAAUUAAAUUAGACAAAGCAAAGUGAACAAUUACUCCUCAACCUCCAACAAAAGAGUGAACAAAAUUAUCUCAAGUGAAUAACAUGAAUUCAAUGAACUAAAAUCUAUUAUAGAUGUGUUUAAUAUGUUUUCCUGCUUUGAUAUGUUUCUUGUUUAGAUAACAAAAUUAAACUUAAUCCAAGAAUCUAAAUAAUCUGCACUUCUUCCAAUCAAUCUUCAUUUUAUAGAAUGUAAAUAAGGCAUUCAACAAGGAUAUACGAACAAAAAAAGAUCCAAUUCCAAAACGGUGAUUCAUUCCGUAAGCAGAUUCAAGAUUCACAUAUACAUCCAACCUGAAGCAAUCUAAAGCCCUAGACACCAAAUGAACUCAAAAAAUAUUUUUAAAAAAUUAAUCCACAACUUUAAGCCCUUUCCCCUCUAAUCCUUCUAGCCAAUUGAAUAUCCUUAGGCAUAAUCGUAACUCUCUUGGCAUGAAUCGCACAAAGAUUCGUGUCUUCGAACAAACCAACCAAGUAGGCCUCCGCGGCCUCCUGAAGUGCCGCCACGGCACUGCUCUGAAACCUCAGAUCGGUCUUGAAAUCCUGAGCAAUUUCGCGAACCAAACGUUGAAACGGAAGUUUCCGGAUCAAAAGCUCAGUGCUCUUCUGGUACUUCCUGAUUUCACGAAGUGCGACGGUUCCAGGACGGAAGCGAUGUGGCUUCUUCACUCCACCGGUAGCCGGAGCUGACUUCCUGGCUGCUUUGGUGGCGAGUUGCUUCCUCGGAGCCUUGCCUCCGGUAGAUUUUCUGGCUGUCUGCUUGGUGCGAGCCAUUCGGGGAAAUUGAUUUGACGAAAGUUGAAGAAUUUGGAAGGUUGAACUGAGAUUUUGGUUGUGAUGAUUAAGAAAUUGGGGGGUGAAGAAAUAUAUAAAGGGUUGUGUUAAAAGGAAAAGCGGGAAGCUUUGAAAUUUUCGGAUUUUGGUACGCGAUGGAUGGCCGUCGGAUGGACGGUUGAGAUUUUAUUUACUGGUUUAUUUAGGAUUCGAUCCGUGGCAAUGCUCAACACCCAAUAGUAUUUUCCCACGUGUAAAUAAUGUUUUUCGAUUUUUUGUUUUUUAUCUCAAUCUUAUUUUUUGGGUUACUAAAUUAAUAAUGAGUUCUUAAAUUAGUUUAUGCUGUCCGAUCAAAACUUCUAAGUAUUGAUUUGAUGGAUUAGAGUUUUUUUUUUUCUUUUAGCAAUUUGGGUUCGAAUCUUUUGGGUUAAAGUUCAAAAACAAAUUUCUUAUUUUAAACUAGCAGCUAAACUAUACAAAUAAUAAUGAUUGUCAUUUGUAUGUUGAUUUCGUUUCUUUAUCUAUUAGGAUCCGUGUUGAAUUGUGCAAGCAAUGCACUAGAUUGAUGUUAGAAAAAUGGUUUGACCAUAAAUUUGUAUUAUGGGAGAAAAAAGUUUAGAUACAUGACAGAAAAUUUGAGCAUCGGUAUGGAUUGUGUGGUGUUAUGAAUAACUUGACGGUAAGAAAUGGUAGUGUAUAUUAGGUCAAGGUGUAUAUUCAACAAAUUGAUUUGGUUGUUAAUAUAGUAGUAAAACACAAUAGACACUUGGGCACAUAAUUGUCUCUCUUCUUUUUUUUUUGAAACCCUAGAGCUAGUACUAUUGGGUUGGCACACCUUUCUUGCAAUUCAUGUUUAAAUGUAUCGUUCAUUCGAUUUCUCAGUAUUUUCCUCAUAGCUCGUUCGUUGAAAAUGUAUAUGGUUUUUAAUCAUAUUACUUUGAAGUCUUAUAGGUCUUUUUAGAUCUACUUGGCUCUUAAUAAAUCCUUCUGUCACCCUAAAUUUAUGUGUUUUGAUUUGUUUUCAGUAGGCUCUUCUCAUAUUUUUACAUGGACUCUUCUCUCUUCUAUUGCUCCCACUAAGACUUGUAAGCUUAGGCUCCAAUGAGCUAUUCGCUGAUUGCUACCUUUUAGACUCUCUCAAGCAUAGCUUUCCUAUGUUCCUCUCUUAGAGCCAUCUCUUUUACUCCCUCGGGCUUGCUCCUUUCCUAGAGCUCCUUAUAAGUUUUCUCCUACGUAUCCUCCUAUAGUCUCCUAGCCUCUCAUGCGUUCCUUUGAGCUCCACACCCUUCUCGUGAGUGAUUGAAGCUUUCGUUGGCUAACUUAAGUUUCAACAGGCUCUUCUCACCAGUCAUUUGAACUUUUAGACUCUCCACAUAGAUUAUGAUUCUCCGAGCUCUCAUGGACUUGUCUCUCAAAGACCUCUCUAGACUUUCUCCUUAGGUUUUAUAACUCCUAGGAUAAAGUUCUAUUUCUCCCGAGGUCCACAAAGCUCUCUUAGGCUAUUUCCACAUGUCCUUUUGAGCUCACUUUAAGCUCCACUAGAAUAUUCUCCAUCUCUUUAAAAAAUUUCACUAGACUCGACACUUUAAACUUCUAUAAAUUCUCAUAUGUUUCACUCGUUAGACAACUCAAAUUUUGUUUUAUGUUUUCAAACUUGAACAAAUAUUAUAUUUGAAAAACAUUUGAUGUGUUUCAAAAAACUGAAUUAUGAACUAUAUAAUCCAAAUAGUGUGAAGAUUUAAUAUUUGUAGGUCCGCUCGGUAGGAAACUUAGAACAACACAAAAACAAUUGAUUCAAUGAACAUGUUUUCAUACAUAUGGUUGAAAUCAUAUUAUAAUUUAGAAGUAUUUUUAAAAAUAGUAAAAUAAAUUAAAAUAUUUACUAGUUAUAGUAAACUUUUGAAUUAUAUCUGAUAGUUUUCUAUCACUAUAACAUAUUAAUGACUAUCAGCGAUAGAAUUUACUAUAGAUUGUAAAUAUUUUGUAAAAUUUACAACUUUUAAAAAAUUUCCUAUAAUUUACUGAUUCUUAUGGGUGCUUUGAUUCUAUAUCUAUGUACAACUAUAAAGCCAAUCAUAUACCCACCAGUACAAGGUCAACUUAAGGUUAACUAUAAACAAUUAUAAAUCAAUCCAUGAACAUGUAUUAUAAUAAAAUCUGAGAUAUUUGUAUUGAAAAUUUGUGCUUUUCUCAAUCUUAAAAUUGUAACAAUUUGCAACGUAUCAUCACCAAACACAUAUUUGUUCAAUUCAAUGAAUCUAAAAACAUAAAACGAGACUCAAAUUGUCAACCAAACAAGCUCACGUUUCAACUUUUGAAUCAUGUUAUAAGUUCAAUUGUUCUUGUUAAAUUAAAACAAAACAUGUAUUAUAUAACAUCAUCAUUAAUUACUACCUUGUGGAUCAUGGAGUAGUUUUACAACCAUCUUAUAGAUUAGAUAAGAAAUAAGUACUGAAGCACCGAUUUAUCUUAAGGCAUGUCCCUUUAUGGGUAUGAGCCGUAAGUAUGACUCACAUCCCCACACACAGAAAUCAACCAAACAAAAGAAAAUAUCAUAAAUAUCAUGUGGUGGACAAUGAAUUAAUGCCCAUUAUGAAAUAACACAAGUCUAUACAAAUGAAACUAAAGUAUCUCCACUAUAUGGCGUUCGUCUCUCGCCCAAAUACUCCUACAAAACUUUCAUAUUGGUAAACCCAUUACUAUUUUCCUUCCCUUUCUAAAACUGGAGAAUUUGCUACAACAAAAUCGGGGUUUUGAGUGUUUAAAGAAUUAGUUUAGAAUGCUGCAUCUUCUUACCCAGAUGCUCCGGCAGCCCUGCUUUUAUCAUCUUCUCCUUGCUCUUCCUUGGAGAAUUCCUCGAUUAGUUCACGCUGCCUUGGAGUAAGGGUCCUAAGGACGAAAACAUAGUGCUAUUUAUGUAAAAAUAUCAUCUACCAACAGAUGUGCAUGCUCUUUAAAUGCAUACAUCGCAUUGCCUUCUAUCAAAAAAUGAUAACAGACAAAACAAUCCUGCUUGUAUGCCAAACUAAGACUAUUUGCCAAAGAUGCAGAGAUGGGUAAAACUCACGUUGGUAUGCUGACAUUGAAGUGCACAUAUUGGUCGCCGAAUGAGUAAGAGUUCCUUGUUUUUAUCCCUGCAAGACAACGCCAAGAGAACGGGUUAGUAGUUAGUAAAAUACUUUCUGUGGAUCAUGAUAGUCAUCAUCGGCAUCAGCCAAACAUCUGAGGGAGGAUCUGAGUAUAAUUAAAACUAUAGGAAUGAGGCUACAUAGUCAAUAGUUAGAAAUCAAUAGGUUGAGUGGUUGUAGUUAGAAACUAACACAAAGGAAUUUGGCAAACGAAUUAGGAUUUAAUUUUGAUUUUUUAAUAUAAUUCUUGUCACUCUUCCAAGUACAAUUCUAGAACAUUUGAUAUCUUAACACGGCUCCCACUUGUUAAAACCAAAUAUGCUCCCUUUGACCACUUGGAUAACUCAAAAAGCUGUUAGAUAUUGGAAAUAAUCGUGGCCACGCAUCAGACUGAAAACACUCCUCUUCACAAUUUAAUCCUUGUCAAAGUAGUCGAUAUGACAUUUCAACAUUUCUCAUCGUUUAAUUUGAAAAAACAAAAAACAAAAACAAGACAGAAUGGCAUAAAUGGCUCUUUCCAAUGCCAUCGAGAAGCCUAAAGAAAUGAUAUUGCCGAAUAGAAAUUGGUGAUAUUACCUUUCUUCUUCAGAACAACCUUUUGCCCAGGUUGAGUACCAGGACGAACCUAAUAAUUAAAAGUUAAUAUAGUCAAUCUGCCAAUGAAUCCACAAGAAUGGUAAUCCAUGGUUAUCAAUAUUAACAUAUUGCCAAACCUUUAGGACAACAUCUCCCGUUAGAGUAGGAACCUGGACAGUGCCUCCCAAUAUAGCCUGCACGGAGACAGUAUAUCAAGUACAAGUGAAUUUAAAAUUUGAUACAAGCAAGACAGCAGAAGACUUGAACCAUAUAUAAUAAACAACCAUGUCAAAAUAUCAUGAAAUGUGAACAAUUUAAAUCUUCAAACGUAUCCCUGAUAGGUUACUUAGAAAUAACAUCCUUCAAGUUUUGGUAUAUCUUUUGAAGGUUUACAUUUUUAAAUUGAAAAAAAAAAACGAGCUUUCAUCUAGAGAAAUUAAAUAAAGUUCCUAAUUUUGUUGGCCAUUUCUCUUUUAAAAGAUGAUUGCCAUCCUAAAACACUAAAUGUUUUUGCCAUGCAAAAUUUUAAACCGGUCUGGCAGAAAAUUUCAAAGGCAACAGUUACUUGAAUCAACAAUCUUAUUUUAGACAAUUACAAUGUGGUUUAGGGUCAUAGAUGGAAUAAAAUUCAAGCCAAUCUAUCUGCAGCUACCAAAUAGCAAGAUUGUUGAUAAAAAGGAAGGAUAUAGCCACAGAAAAAUAACUCCAUAAAUUUGGUCACUUCUUGA
rnacentral:lncRNA from 1 species